GCUCGUGCCCCUGUUAAGAGGUACGAGACCUCCGACAAGAUUCUUUGUCCACAAAGUAAAGGAGAAAAGCUCAAUCGUUGAGCGUGUGCUCAGAUUGUCUGAGUACGACAAUCGCUUGAAUCAAGUGGGGGUUAAUCUUCCAGAUGAGAUAGUGAUAGUUCUCUAAAGUCACUGCCACCAAGCUGUGAGAGCUUCGUGAUGAAGUAUAACAUAUCAAGGAUAGAUACAAAUGAUCUUUGAGUGAUUCGCGAUGUUUGACACUGCGAAAGUAGAAAUCAAGAAGGAGCGUCAAUAGUUGAUGGUUAGUAAAACCACUAAGUUUCGAGAAAGGCAAGGGCUAGAAGGGAUACUUCGUGAAACGGCAAAACAGUUGAUGCACUAAUGAAGAGACCCAAGAUUCAACCCAAACCUGAGACUAAGUGCUUCUGUAAUGAGGGGAACAGUCAUUGAGGCGGAGCAACUCUAGAUACUUGGUAGAUAAGUAGGCUGGCAAAAGUCGAAAGAAGUAUAUUUGAUAUACAUGAUGUGUACUUUAUUAGUACUCCUAGUAGCAUGAGGGUAUUGGAUACCGGUUCGGUUGUUAAGUGCUUAGUAACACGAAAUGAUAGCUAUGGCAUAAACGGAGACUAGCUAAAGGCGAGGUGACGAUACGUGUUGGAAGUGUUUCCAAGAUUGAUAUGAUCAAAACGUCGCACGCUCCCUCUACCAUCGGGAUUUGUGUUAAACCUAAAUAAUUGUUAUUUGGUGCUUGCGUUAAGCAUGAACAUGAUUGGAUCGUGUUUAUUGCAAUACGAUUAUUCAUUUAAAGAGAAUAAUGGUUACUCUAUUUGCUUGAAUAAUCACCUUCAAUGGUUUAUUGAAUCUCGAUCGUCGUGUUACACAUGUUCAUGAUAUUGGUGCCAAAAGAUGCGACGUAAUGAUGAUAAUAUCACUUACUUGUGGCACUGCCGCUUGAGUCAUGUUGGUAUAAAUUGCAUGAUGAGGCUCCAUGCUGAUGGAUCUUUAUACUCACUUGAUUUUCGAAUCACUAGUGACAUGCAAAUCAUGCCACAUGAGCAAAGCCUUGUUUUCAUUGAGAUGAAAUAAGAUAGUAACUUGUUGGAAGUGAUACAUUUUGAUGUAUGCAGUCCAAUGGGUGCUGAGGCACGCAGUGGAUGUCAUUAUGUUCUUACUUCAAUGACGAUUUGAGUAGAUACAAGAGUAUUUACUUAAUGAAUCACAAGUCUGAAAUAUUGAAAAAUUCAAUUCUGUUUCAGAGUGAAGUUCGUCGUAACAAAAGGAUAAACUGUCUACGAUAUGAUCAUAGAAAUGAAUAUCCGAGUUACGAGUUUUGGUACGCAAUUAAGACAAUGUGGAAAUUGUUUCGCAGUUCAUGCCACGUGGAACAUCAUAAUGUGAUGAUGUGUCUGAACGUCAUAGCCACGCACUAUUUGGUAUGGUGCAUGCUAUGAUGUCUCUUAUCGAAUUACCACUAUCGUUUAUGGGUUAUGCAUUAGAGACAACCGCAUUCACUUUAAAUAGGGCACCGCGUAUUUCCGUUGAGAUGACACAGUAUAGACUGAGGUUUAGAGAAAUCUAAACUGUCGUUUCUUGAAAGUUUGGGGCUUCGACACUUAUGUGAAAAAGUUUCAGUCUGAUAAGCUCGAACCCAAAGUGGAUAAAUGCAUCUUCAUAGGAUAUCCAAAAUGUUGGGGAACGUCGCAUGGGAAACAAAAAAUUUCCUACGCGCACGAAGACCUAUCAUGUUGAUGUCCAUCUACGAGAGGGGAUGAGUGAUCUACGUACCCUUGUAGAUCGUACAGCAGAAGCGUUAGAGGACGCGUUUGAUGUAGUGGAACGUCCUCACGUCCCUCGAUCCGCCCCGCGAACAAUCCCGCGAUCAGUCCCACGAUCUAGUACCGAACGGACGGCACCUCCGCGUUCGGCACACGUACAUCUCGACGAUGAUCUCAGCCUUCUUGAUCCAGCAAGAGAGACGGAGAGGUAGAAGAGUUCUCCGGCAGCGUGACGGCGCUCCGGAGGUUGGUGAUGACCUUGUCUCAGCAGGGCUCCGCCCGAGCUCCGUAGAAACGCGAUCUAGAGGAAAAACCGUGGAGGUAUGUGGUCGGGCUGCCGUGAAAAAAUCGUCUCAAAUCAGCCCUAAAACCUCCGUAUAUAUAGGUGGGAGGGAGGGGGCCUUGCCUUGGGGUCCAAGGACCCUCAAGGGGGUCGGCCGAGCCAAGGGGGAGGACUCUCCCCCCCAAACCGAGUUGGACUAGGUUUGGUGGGAGGGAGUCCUCCUCCCUUCCCACCUCCUCCCUUUUUUUUUCCUUUUCCUCUUGAUUUUUCUUCUCUUGGCGCAUAGACCACUUGUGGGCUGUCCCACCAGCCCACUAAGGGCUGGUGUGUCUCCCUCANCUAUAUAUCAAUCUUCGUUUCCGGACCACUCCGGAAACCCUCGUGACGUCCGUGAUCUCAUCCCGGACUCCGAACAACAUUCGGUAACCAACCAUAUAACUCAAAUACGCAUAAAACAACGUCGAACCUUAAGUNNNNNNNNNNNNNNNNNNNNNNNNNNNNNNNNNNNNNNNNNNNNNNNNNNNNNNNNNNNNNNNNNNNNNNNNNNNNNNNNNNNNNNNNNNNNNNNNNNNNUGAAAUCCGAGAUAGGAUCCAUGUAUGAGAACAAAGUGUGGACUUUGGAGAUACUACCUGAGGGCCGCAACGCUAUUCAGAACAAAUGGAUCUUUAAGAAGAAGACGGAUGCUGACGGUAAUGUGACCGUUUAUAAAGCUCGACUUGUGGCAAAGGGUUUUUCACAAGUUCCAGGAGUUGACUACGAUGAGACUUUCUCACCCGUAGCGAUGCUUAAGUCCGUCAGAAUCAUGUUAGCAAUAGCUGCAUUUUUCGAUUAUGAAAUCUGGCAGAUGGAUGUCAAAACGGCGUUCCUUAACGGUUUCCUUAAGGAAGAGUUGUAUAUGAUACAACCCGAAGGUUUUGUCGAUCCUAAGAAUGCUAACAAGGUGUGCAAGCUCCAGUGAUCCAUUUAUGGACUGGUGCAAGCAUCUCGGAGUUGGAACAAACGCUUUGAUGAGGUGAUCAAAGCAUUUGGGUUUAUACAAGUGGUUGGAGAAUCCUGUAUUUACAAGAAAGUGAGUGGGAGCUCUGUGGCAUUUCUAAUAUUAUAUGUGGAUGACAUAUUACUGAUUGGAAACAACGUAGAGCUUUUGGAGAGCAUAAAAGGUUACUUGAAUAAAAGUUUCUCUAUGAAGGACCUAGGAGAAGGUGCUUACAUUCUAGGCAUUAAGAUCUAUAGGGAUAGAUCAAAACGCCUGAUAGGACUUUCACAAAGCACAUACCUUGAUAAAGUUUUGAAGAGGUUCAAAAUGGAACAGUCCAAGAAAGGGUUCUUGCCAGUUUUACAAGGUACGAGAUUGAGUAAGACUCAGUGCCCAGCAACUGAUGAAGAUAGAGAGCAUAUGCGCUCCGUCCCCUAUGCUUCAGCCAUAGGUUCUAUCAUGUAUGCGAUGUUGUGCACUAGACCGGAUGUUAGCCUGGCCAUAUGUAUGGCAGGUAGGUUCCAGAGUAAUCCAGGAGUGGAUCACUGGACAGCGGUCAAGAAUAUCCUGAAGUACCUGAAAAGGACUAAGGAGAUGUUUCUCGUGUAUGGAGGUGACGGAGAGCUCGCCGUAAAAGGUUACGUCCAUGCAAGCUUUGACACAGAUCCGGACAACUCUAAGUCGCAAACCGGAUACGUAUUUAUUCUUAAUGGGGGUGCAGCAAGCUGGUGCAGUUCCAAGCAAAGCGUCGUAGCAGAUUCUACAUGUGAAGCGGAGUACAUGGCUGACUCGGAGGCGGCUAAGGAGGGUGUCUGGAUGAUGCAGUUCAUGACGGAUCUUGGAGUGGUGCCAAGCGCACUGAAUCCAAUAACCUUGUUCUGUGACAACACUGGUGCCAUUGCCUUUGCAAAGGAACCACGGUUUCACAAGAAGACCAGACACAUCAAACGACGCUUCAACCUCAUCCGCGACUACAUCGAGUAAGAGGACGUAAAUAUAUGCAAAGUGCACACGGAUCUGAAUGUAGCAGACCCGCUGACUAAACCUCUUCCACGGCCAAAACAUGAUCGACACCAGAACUGUAUGGGUGUUAGAUUUAUCACAAUGUAAUUCACAUGGUGAUGUGAGGGCUGGAUUAUUGACUCUAGUGCAAGUGGGAGACUGUUGGAAUUAUGCCCUAGAGGCAAUAAUAAAUAUAUAGUUAUUAUUAUAAUUCCUGUAUCAAGAUAAUAGUUUAUUAUCCAUGCUAUAAUUGUAUUGAAUGAAGACUCAUUUACAUGUGUGGAUACAUAGACAAAACACCGUCCCUAGCAUGCCUCUAGUUGGCUAGCCAGUUGAUCGAUGAUAGUCAGUGUCUUCUGAUUAUGAACAAGGUGUUGUUGCUUGAUAACUGGAUCACGUCAUUGGGAGAAUCACGUGAUGGACUAGACCCAAACUAAUAGACGUAGCAUGUUGAUCGUGUCAUUUUGUUGCUACUGUUUUCUGCGUGUCAAGUAUUUAUUCCUAUGACCAUGAGAUCAUAUAACUCACUGACACCGGAGGAAUGCUUUGUGUGUAUCAAACGUCGCAACGUAACUAGGUGACUAUAAAUAUGCUCUACAGGUGUCUCCGAAGGUGUUAGUUGAGUUAGUACGGAUCAAGACUGCGAUUUGUCACUCCGUGUGACGGAGAGGUAUCUCGGGGCCCACUCGGUAAUACAACAUCACACACAAGCCUUGCAAGCAAUGUAACUUAGUGUAAGUUGCGGGAUCUUGUAUUAUGGAACGAGUAAAGAGACUUGCCGGUAAACGAGAUUGAAAUAGGUAUGCGGAUACUGACGAUCGAAUCUCGGGCAAGUAACAUACCGAAGGACAAAGGGAAUGACAUACGGGAUUAUACGAAUCCUUGGCACUGAGGUUCAAACGAUAAGAUCUUCGUAGAAUAUGUAGGAUCCAAUAUGGGCAUCCAGGUCCCGCUAUUGAAUAUUGACCGAGGAGUCUCUCGGGUCAUGUCUACAUAGUUCUCGAACCCGCAGGGUCUGCACACUUAAGGNNNNNNNNNNNNNNNNNNNNNNNNNNNNNNNNNNNNNNNNNNNNNNNNNNNNNNNNNNNNNNNNNNNNNNNNNNNNNNNNNNNNNNNNNNNNNNNNNNNNCCAGUGACCCAUACCCUUGCAAUAGAAGCACUCUGUUUCAGGCUUAGGUCCAGCCUUGGGUUUCUUCGGCGGAUUGGCAACAGGCUUGCCGCUCUUCUUCGAAUUGCCCUUCUUGCCUUUGCCGUUUCUCUUGAAACUAGUGGUCUUGCUCACCAUCAACACUUGAUGUUCUUUACGGAGUUCAGACUCUGCGACUUUCAGCAUCGCAAACAACUCGCCGGGAGACUUGUUCAUCCCUUGCAUGUUGUAGUUCAACACAAAGCCUUUAUAGCUUGGCGGCAGUGAUUGAAGGAUUCUGUCAGUGAUAGCUUCUUGCGGGAGUUCAAUCCCCAGCUCAGCUAGACGGUUUGAGUACCCAGACAUUUUGAGCACAUGUUCACUGACAGACGAGUUUUCCUCCAUCUUGCAAGCAUAGAAUUUAUCGGAGGUCUCAUACCUCUUGAUCCGGGCGUUCUUCUGAAAGAUAAACUCCAACUCCUGGAACAUCUCAAAUGCUCCAUGAUGCUCAAAGCGACGUUGAAGUCCCGGUUCUAAGCCAUACAAGACUGCACAUUGAACUAUUGAGUAGUCCUCCUUACGUGCUAACCAAGCGUUCUUAACAUCCUGAUCAGCCGUAGCGGGUGGUUCAUCUCCUAGCGCAGCAUUAAGGACAUAAUCCAUCUUCCCAGCUUGUAAGAUUAGCUUAAGAUUACGAGCCCAGUCUACAAAGUUGCUUCCAUCAUCUUUCAACUUAGCUUUCUCUAGGAACGUAUUAAAAUUCAGGAUGACUGUCGCGUGAGCCAUGAUCUACAACACAAAUAUAUUCAAAGUGGACUUAGACUAUGUUCAAGAUAAUUAGAGUUCAACUUAAUCAAAUUAUAUGCUAAACUCCCACUGAAAAAGUACAUCUCUCUAGUCAUUUGAUUGGUUCAUGAUCCACUUACACUAUCCCAAGUCCGAUCAUCACGUGAGUUGAGUAUAGUUUCAGUGGUAAGCAUCCCUAUGCUAAUCAUAUCAACUAUAUGAUUCAUGAUCGACCUUUCGGUCUCAUGUGUUCCGAGGCCAUGUGUGCACAUGCUAGGCUCGUCAAGCUUAACCCGAGUGUUCCGCGUGCGCAACUGUUUUGCACCCGUUGUAUGUGAACGUUGAGUCUAUCACACCCGAUCAUCACGUGGUGUCUCGAAACGACGAACUGUAGCAACGGUGCACAGUCGGGGAGAACACAAUUUCGUCUUGAAAUUUUAGUGAGAGAUCACCUCAUAAUGCUACCGUCGUUCUAAGAAAAAUAAGGUGCAUAAAAGGAUUAACAUCACAUGGAAUUCAUAAGUGACAUGAUAUGGCCAUCAUCACGUGCUUCUUGAUCUCCAUCACCAAAGCACCGGCAUGAUCUUCUUGUCACCGGCGCCACACCAUGAUCAUCCAUCAACAUGUUGCCAUCGGGGUUGUCGUGCUACUUAUGCUAUUACUACUAAAGCUACAUCCUAGCAAAAUAGUAAACGCAUCUGCAAGCACAAACUUUAGUAUAAAGACAACCCUAUGGCUCCUGCCGGUUGCCGUACCAUCGACGUGCAAGUCGAUAUUUAUAUUACAACAUGAUCAUCUCAUACAUCCAAUAUAAAACAUCACAUCGUUGGCCAUAUCACAUCACAAUCAUACCCUGCAAAAACAAGUUAGACGUCCUCUAAUUUUGUUGUUGCAUGUUUUACGUGGUGACCAAGGGUAUCUAGUAGGAUCACAUCUUACUUACGCAAACACCACAACGGAGAUAUAUGAGUUGCUAUUUAACCUCAUCCAAGGACCUCCUCGGUCAAAUCCGAUUCAACUAAAGUUGGAGAAACCGUCACUUGCCGGUCAUCUUUGAGCAAAGGGGGUUACUCGUAACGAUGAAACCAGUCUCUCGUAAGCGUACGAGUAAUGUCGGUCCAAGCCGCUUCAAUCCAUAAAUACCGCGGAAUCAAGAAAAGACUAAGGAGGGAAGCAAAACGCACAUCACCGCCCACAAAAACUUUUGUGUUCUACUCGAGAAGACAUCUACGCAUGAACCUAGCUCAUGAUGCCACUGAUGGGAACGUCGCAUGGGAAACAAAAAAUUUCCUACGCGCACGAAGACCUAUCAUGGUGAUGUCCAUCUACGAGAGGGGAUGAGUGAUCUACGUACCCUUGUAGAUCGUACAGCAGAAGCGUUAGAGAACGCGGUUGAUGUAGUGGAACGUACUCACGUCCCUCGAUCCACCCCGCGAACAAUCCCGCGAUCAGUCCCACGAUCUAGUACCGAACGGACGGCACCUCCGCGUUCAGCACACGUACAGCUCGACGAUGAUCUCGGCCUUCUUGAUCCAGCAAGAGAGACGGAGAGGUAGAAGAGUUCUCCGGCAGCGUGACGGCGCUCCAUAGGUUGGUGAUGACCUUGUCUCAGCAGGGCUCCGGCCGAGCUCCGCAGAAACGCGAUCUAGAGGAAAAACCGUGGAGGUAUGUGGUCGGGCUGCCGUGAAAAAUCGUCUCAAAUCAGCCCUAAAACCUCCGUAUAUAUAGGUGGGAGGGAGGGGGCCUUGCCUUGGGGUCCAAGGACCCUCAAGGGGGGCGGCCGAGCCAAGGGGGAGGACUAUCCCCCCCCCAAACCGAGUUGGCCUCGGUUUGGUGGGAGGGAGUCCUCCUCCCUUCCCACCUCCUCCCCUUUUUUUUCCCUUUCCCCUUGAUUUUUCUUCUCUUGGCGCAUAGACCACUUGUGGGCUGUCCCACCAGCCCACUAAAGGCUGGUGUGUCUCCCCCAAGGCCUAUGGGCUUCCCCGGGGGGGGUUGCCCCCCCCCCCGGUGAACUCCCGGAACCCAUUCGUCAUUCCCGGUACAUUCCCGGUAACUCCGAAAACCUUCCGGUAAUCAAAUGAGGUCAUCCUAUAUAUCAAUCUUCGUUUCCGGACCCCUCCGGAAACCCUCGUGACGUCCGUGAUCUCAUCCGGGACUCCGAACAACAUUCGGUAACCAACCAUAUAACUCAAAUACGCAUAAAACAACGUCGAACCUUAAGUGUGCAGACCCUGCGGGUUCGAGAACUAUGUAGACAUGACCCGAGAGACUCCUCGGUCAAUAUCCAAUAGCGGGACCUGGAUGCCCAUAUUGGAUCCUACAUAUUCUACGAAGAUCGUAUUGUUUGAACCUCAGUGUCAAGGAUUCGUAUAAUCCCGUAUGUCAUUCCCUUUGUCCUUCGGUAUGUUACUUGCCCGAGAUUCGAUCGUCAGUAUCCGCAUACCUAUUUCAAUCUCGUUUACCGGCAAGUCUCUUUACUCGUUCCGUAAUACAAGAUCCCGCAACUUACACUAAGUUACAUUGCUUGCAAGGCUUGUGUGUGAUGUUGUAUUACCGAGUGGGCCCCGAGAUACCUCUCCGUCACACGGAGUGACAAAUCCCAGUCUUGAUCCAUACUAACUCAACUAACACCUUCGGAGACACCUGUAGAGCAUCUUUAUAGUCACCCAGUUACGUUGCGACGUUUGAUACACACAAAGCAUUCCUCCAGUGUCAGUGAGUUAUAUGAUCUCAUGGUCAUAGGAAUAAAUACUUGACACGCAGAAAACAGUAGCAACAAAAUGACACGAUCAACAUGCUACGUCUAUUAGUUUGGGUCUAGUCCAUCACGUGAUUCUCCCAAUGACGUGAUCCAGUUAUCAAGCAACAACACCUUGUUCAUAAUCAGAAGACACUGACUAUCAUCGAUCAACUGGCUAGCCAACUAGAGGCAUGCUAGGGACGGUGUUUUGUCUAUGUAUCCACACAUGUAAAUGAGUCUUCAUUCAAUACAAUUAUAGCAUGGAUAAUAAACUAUUAUCUUGAUACAGGAAUUAUAAUAAAACUAUAUAUUUAUUAUUGCCUCUAGGGCAUAAUUCCAACACAAAACAGUUGGGUACAUCUCCUAUCUCAGAUCCGAAAGCAAAGUGUUUGUUUCUAGAAACGGAUCCUUUCUCGAGGAAAGGUUUCUCUCGAAAGAAUUGAGUGGGAGGGUGGUAGAACUUGAUAAGAUUAUUGAACCAUCACUUCAACCAGUGUGUAGCAGGGCGCAGGAAGUUGUUCCUGUGGCGCCUACACCAAUUGAAGUGAAAGCUGAUGAUGGUGAUCAUCGAGCAUCGGAUCAAGUUACUACAAGCCUCGUAGGUUGACAAGGUCGCGUACUACUGCAGAGUGGUACGGUAACCCUGUCUUGGAGGUCAUGUUGUUGAGCAACAGUGAACCUACGAGUUAUGGAGAGAGCAAUGGUGGGCCCGGAUUCCGACAAAUGGCUGGAAGCCAUGAAAUCCGAGAGAGGAUCCAUGUAUGAAAACAAAGUGUAGACUUUGGAAGAACUACUUGAUGGUGAUAGGACUAUUGAGUAAAGAUGGAUCUUUAAAAGGAAGACAGGCGAUGAUGGUGAUAAGUCACUAUUAAGAAAAGCUCGACUUGUCGCAAAGAUGUUUCUGACAAGAUCAAACAGUUGACUAUGAUGAGACCUUCUCACUCAUAGCGAUGCUAAAAGUCUGUUAGAAUUAUGUUAGUAGUUUCUGCAUUAUUUAUGAAAUAUUGCAUGUAGGAUGUCAAAACAUUGUUUCCUCGACGGUUUCCUUGAGCAAACAUUGUAUGAGAUACAACGAUGAGGUUUUGUCGAUCCUAAAGAUACUAGCAAGUAUGCAAGCUCCAGCGAUCCUUAAAUGGACUAGUGCAAGCAUCUCGGAGUUGGAAUAUACACUUUGAUGAGAUGAUCAAGGAUUUUGGGUUUGUAGAAGGUUUUUGUGAAACUUGUAUUUCCAAAGAAGUGAGUGGGAGCACUAUAGAAUUUCUUAUAAGUAUAUGUGGUUGACAUAUUGUGGAUCAGAAGUAAUGUAGAAUUUCUGUAAAGCAUACAAGGUUUUUUGAAAGGAGUUUUCAAAGGAAUACCUGGAUUGCGCUACUUGAACGUUGAGCAUCAAAGGUCUAUGGAGAUAGAUCAAAAGCGCUUAAUGGAAGUUUGAACAAGAUGCAUGCCUUGACAAGAUUUUGAAGGAGAUCAAAAUAGAUCAGCAAAGAAGGAGUUCUUGGUUGAGUUGUAAGGUGUGAAUUUGAGUAAGACUCAAAACCCGACCCCGGCAGAAUAAAGAGAAUAGACGAAGGUCGUCUUCUAUGCCUUGGCCGUAGAAUCUGAAGUAUGUCAUGCUGGGUACCGCACCUGAUGUGUGCCUUGACUCAAAGUCUGUUGAGAGGUAAAGAAAGUGAUCCAUUAUUGAAUCACUAGCAGUGGUCAAAAUUUAUCCUUAGUAACUAAUGGACUAAGGAAAUUUUCUCGAUUAUGGAGGUGGUUGAAGAGUUCGUCGUAAAGGGUUACGUCGAUGCAAGCAUUGACACUAAUCCGAAUAACUAUGAGUAGUGAAACGGAUUCGUAUAGUAGAGUAGAUUUUUGGAGUAUUUCCGAAUAGCACGUAGUACCAGCAUCUAUAAGAUGACAUAAAGAUUUGUAAAGAACGCACGGAUCUGAAACUUUCAGAACCGUUGACUAAAACCUCUCUCACGAGCAAGACGUGAUCAGACCCCUUAACUAUAUGGGUGUUGGAUUCGUUGGAAUCACAUGGUGAUGUGAGCUAGAUUAUUGACUCUAGUGCAAGUGGGAGACUGUUGGAAAUAUGCCCUAGAGGCAAUAAUAAAUUAGUUAUUAUUAUAUUUCUUAGUUCAUGAUAAUCGUUUAUUAUCCAUGCUAUAAUUGUAUUGAUUGGAAACACAGUGCAUGUGUGGAUACAUAGACAAAACACUGUCCCUAGUAAGCCUCUAAUUGACUAGCUCGUUGAUCAAAGAUGGUCAAGGUUUCUUGACCAUAGGAAAGUGUUGUCACUUGAUAACGGGAUCACAUCAUUAGGAGAAUCAUGUGAUGGACUAGACCCAAACUAAUAGACGUAGCAUGUUGAUCGUGUCAUUUUGUUGCUACUGUUUUCUACGUGUCAAGUAUUUGUUCCUAUGACCAUGAGAUCAUAUAACUCACUGACACCGGAGGAAUGCUUUGUGUGUAUCAAACGUCGCAACGUAACUGGGUGACUAUACAGAUGCUCUACAGGUAUCUUCGAAGGUGUUCGUUGAGUUAGUAUGGAUCGAGACUGGGAUUUGUCACUCCGUGUGAAGGAGAGGUAUCUCGGGGCCCACUCGAUAAUACAACAUCACACACAAGCCUUGCAAGCAAUGUGACUUAGUGUAAGUUGCGGGAUCUUGUAUUACGGAACGAGUAAAGAGACUUGCCGGUAAACGAGAUUGAAAUAGGUAUGCGGAUACUGACGAUCGAAUCUCGGGCAAGUAACAUACCGAAGGACAAAGGGAAUGACAUACGGGAUUAUAUGAAUCCUUGGCACUGAGGUUAAAACGAUAAGAUCUUCGUAGAAUAUGUGGGAUCCAAUAUGGGCAUCCAGGUCCCGCUAUUGAAUAUUGACCAAGGAGUCAGUCGGGUCAUGCCUGCAUAGUUCUCGAACCCACAGGGUCUGCACACUUAAGGUUCGACGUUGUUUUAUGCGUAUUUGAGUUAUAUGGUUGGUUACCGAAUGUUCUUCGGUGUCCCGUAUGAGAUCACGGACGUCACGAGGGUUUCCGGAAUGGUCCGGAAAGGAAGAUUGAUCUAUAGGAUGACCUCAUUUGAUUACCGGAAGGUUUUCGGAGUUACCGGGAAUGUACCAGGAAUGACGAAUGGGUUCCGGAUGUUCACCGGGGGGGCAACCCACCCUGGGGAAGCCCAUAGGCCUUUGGGGUGGCGCACCAGCCCUUAGUGGGCUGGUGGGACAGCCCAAGAAGGCCCUAUGCGCCAUAGGAAGAAAAUCACAGAGAACAAAAGGAGGAGGUGGGAAAGGGAAGAAGGACUCCACCUUCCAAACCAAGUUGGAUUCGGUUUGGAAGGGGAGACCUUCCCCCCUUGGCUCGGCCGACCCCCUUGGGUCUCCUUGAGCCCCAAGGCAAGCCCCCCCCCCUCUCCCACCUAUGUAUACGGAGGUUUUAGGGCUGAUUUGAGAUGACUUUCCACGGCAGCCCGACCACAUACCUCCACGGUUUUUCCUCUAGAUCGCGUUUCUGCGGAGCUCGGGCGGAGCCCUGCUGAGAUAAGAUCACCACCAACCUCCGGAGCGCCGUCACGCAGCCGGAGAGCUCUUCUACCUCUCCGUCUCUCUUGCUGGAUCAAGAAGGCCGAGAUCAUCGUCGAGCUGUACGUGUGCUGAACGCGGAGGUGCCGUCCGUUCGGCUCUAGAUCGUGGGACUGAUCGCGAGACGGUUCGUGGGGCGGAUCGAGGGACGUGAGGACGUUCCACUACGUCAACCGCGUUCACUAACGCUUCUGCUGUACGGUCUACAACGGUACGUAGAUCACACAUCCACUCUCAUAGAUGGACAUCACCAUGAUAGGUCUUCGUGCGCGUAGGAAAUUUUUUGUUUCCCAUGCGACGUUCCCCAACAAGAAAUAGGUGAUAGCAAAUUUUGUAUAAUGGUUGACGAAGCUCCCGAUGAAUCCAAAAAAGAGCAAAUGGCAUUGGUCCUCCGGUUGCCCGACACUGAAGGGUUUAUACAACAGCGUUCGUUGAUGUCAUUCAUGUGAAUGACACUCUUGCAUUGACUCUCAAGGAGACAGUUUGCACUAUCCUAGCAGAUAACAAUUUAAAUGUGGAAGAUAUCAGAGGUCAAGCCUAUGACGGGGCGAGCAAUAUGCGAGGGGAGUGGAAUGGAUUGAAGGCUUUAAUUCUGAAGGAUUCCCCUUAUGCAUACUACAUUCAUUGUAUGGCGCAUCAACUUCAAUUGGCCCUUGUUGCAGCUUCUCGAGAGGUACAUGAAGUGCAUAAUUUUUUUCAACAUGCCAAUUUUGUCAUAAAUGUUGUUAGUGCUUCACCUAAACGCAAUGAUGAGUUACUAGCAAACCAAGCCGCCGAGAUUGCUAAUCUAAGUGAAAUGUAACUCGGGGAGCUUGAUACCGGAAAAGGGGCAAACCAGAUUUGCUCUUUACAGAGACCAGCACAUACUAGAUGGAGUUCACACUUCAAGUCAAUUCAGAGCUUAAGGAAGAUGCUUGGUGCUACAGUUACAGUCCUGCGAAGUAUAGCGAAUGAUCGUUCGGUCACAAAAUAUUCCCGUGGAGAUGCUGGAGGCGCCCUAAGGAUAAUUGUUUCUUUUGAUUUUGUGUUCAUUUUGCACCUCAUGGAGAGGAUUAUGAAAAUCACAGAUGUCUUAUGCCAAACACUCCAGAAGAAAUCUUUCGACAUUUUGAAUGCAUUAGAUACACUAUCAAACACUAAGAUGCUCCUUGCUGAUCUAAGAGAAGAAGGAUGGGAACCUCUCAUAGAGGAGGUUAAGAACUUUUGUACGAAGCACGAAGUUAAGAUCCCCGAUAUGAGUCGCAAGUACGUCCCUUUCCUCUAUUUGUAUAAUAGGAUAUUAUAUUAAUCACACCUGCUUUACUAACACAUAUAUUGUAUUUGUAAUUUGCAGGUAUGUUGAUGUUACUAAGUCUCGGAAUAAACAUAAUGACAUCACUGUGCUUCACCACUACAAAGCUGAUGUGUUUAAUGUGGCGAUCGAUCAACAAUUGGUGGAGCUAAAUGACCGUUUUAGUGUUCAGAAUACACAGUUGAUGACCCUCUGCGCAUCCUUGGAUCCAAGGCAUGAGUCAUUUGACAUGUCAAAGAUUUGCAGGCUUGUGGAACUUUUUAUCCAGCGGAUGUUUCUAGUCAAGAGCAGGCCCAUCUGGAGUCACAACUUCCACACUAUCAGUUAGAUGUUCACAAGCAUCCACAACUGAAAUCUUCGUCAUCACUUGCUGAUUUGACCGUUACAUUGCAUAAAACAGGUAAAGCUUCUAUGUAUCCAAUGGUUGAUAGAUUAUUGCAAUUCGUCACCACUCUCCCGGUGUCAACUGCAACUGCAAAGAGAGCUUUUUCAGCAAUGAACGUUAUCAAAACGCGUCUCCGAAGUAAAAUGGGUGACGAUUUUCUUCGACAUUACAUGGUUGUAUACAUUGGAAAGGAAAUAGCUUCAAAGUUCAAUGUUAAUGAGAUUAUUCAUUUGUUCGAUCGACCGACUAGGGGCGUAGAUCUUCGUUCGAACUAGUAGAAAUCUAGUUCUUUGUUGUUGUAAAUCUUAUACUAUUACAUCUUUGAUACACUAGAAUACUCAAGACUUCAAAUAUUUUUAUGUUACGUCUUUUGUGUGUUUGAGUGUAUUCUUCGCCCCCCUAUGUUGAAAUCCUGGCUCCGCCCCUGGUUUUCGGGCAUUACCGGUAAAGUACCGGGAGUGACGAAUGGGUUCCGGAGUUCUACCUGAAGAGGCCACCCAUCCGGGAGAGAACCAAAGAGGACCUAGGGUGGUGCUGGUGGGCUGGUGGCCAUCCCAAGGAAGUCUAUUUCGGCCAAUGGAGAAAAAUGAAAGGAGGGUGGGCCAAAACUGAACUAGGGAAGGAGGACUCCUUCCAGGUUGUGUUGGAGGACGACUCCUCCCUCUCCUCUUGGUUCGGCCGAACCCUAGGCUGCCACCCCUCCCCUCCCUCCUAUAUAUAGUGGAGGUGAGAGAUGCUUUUGGCACCUUGAUACGUCCCAAACGUAUCUAUAAUUUCUGCUUGUUCCAUGAUCUUUUGGGUGACAUUGUUAUAUGUUUUGCUACACUUUUAUAUCAUUUUACACAUAUUUGGACUAACCUACUAACUCAGUGCACCCAGUGCCAGUUUCUGUGUGUUGAUGUCUAUUUUGCGGGGGUUUUUACCAAAUUUUCUGAAUCCCGAAAAAAUCAGAAAAAUAUAAAAAAAAAUCAAAGACACAUAAGCUUCGGGAUCAUCGAAGGAGGGCCACACGGGGGCGAGGGGCCUCCGAGGCGGCCUGCUGGCGCGACCAGGACCUAGGCCGUGCCAGGAGGUCACCUGGGUGGGUCCCACCUCCUCCGGUGCCCUCCUUUGGCCUAUAUAAAGGGUCCCGAGAGAAAACCCUCAUAGACUUUCUGGAAUCGCGAAUUUCUUCAUCGUUCCGCCGCCGCAGCGCUUCCAAGAUCGGGAGCGUCAGAGACUCUGCCCGGCACCCUGCCGGAGGCAGGACUGACCUCCGGGAGCUUCUGCAUCGCCAUGGACGCUUCCCGGACGUGCCGUGAGUAGUCCUCCUUGGACCAUGAGUCCAUGACCAGUAGCUAUUGUUGGGGAAUGUUGCAUGGGAAACAAAAAAUUUCCUACGCACACAAAGACCUAUCAUGGUGAUGUCCAUCUACGAGAGGGAGAUUUGAUCCACAUACCCUUAUAGAUUGCUCAGCAGGGAGCGUUAACAAACGCGGUUGAUGUAGCGGUACAACUUCGUGAUUCAAAUCACUGUCGUCCCAAGAUCCGUCCCACGAUCCGUUCUGAUCUAACGCCGAACGGACGACACCUGCGUGUUCAACAUACGUAUAGCUCGAUGGCGAUCUCGGCCUUCAUGAUCCAGCAAGAGAUACAGAGAAGUAGAUGGGUUCUCCGGUAGCGUGACGGCGCACCGGUGUUGGUGAUGAUCUAUUCCUGCAAGGCUCCGUCCGAGCUCCGCAGAAAUCUAAUCUAGAGGAAGAACUACGAGGUGUAGGUUUGAGUUCCACGUGGCAAAGUUAUGUCUCAAACAGCCCUAAACCUCUAGUAUAUAUAAGAGGAUCCAAGGGGUGGGCAAAGCCCUAGGGAGCCGGCCAAAGAGGCCCUCCUUGGGUCGGCCGAAGUGGAAGGGAAGAGUCCUUCUCCAAUCCCACUUGGAUUAGGACUCCUUCCUUAUUUUCCCACCUAUUUUGGAUUUUCCACUUUUUCCUCAUGGGCUUUCCUUGGAUGACUUUGUUAGCCCAUUAUACCUUAUUGCGCAUCCAAUAAACCCAUGUGGACCCCUUGGGGCGUGGUGGGUGCUACGGUAACAAAAGUCCUACCUUGGCGCUAGGAAUUCUUCUUGUUACUUCUCUUGUUUUCGUCGGUUUUUCCCUUGAAGAGGAAAGGGUGAUGCAGCACAGGAGCAGUAAGUAUUUCCCUCAGUUUGAGAACCAAGGUAUCAAUCCAGAAGGAGGGUAUCGUCAAUUCCACAGUACCUGCGCAAACACAAACAAGCUUGCACCCAACGCUUCAAAGGGGUUGUCAAUCCCUUCAAGACUGUUUGCAAAGUGAGAUCUGAAGGCGGAAAGUGCAACGAAGUAAAAAAGUGUAAAGCUAAAAAUAUGGUGUGGAGUAGACCCGGGGGCCAUAGUGUUCACCAGAGGCUUCUCUCAAAAUAGCAAAUAUCACGGUGGGUGAACAAAUUACUAUCGAGCAAUUGAUAGAACCGUGCAAAGUCAUGACGAUAUCUAAGGCAAUGAUCAUACAUAUAGGCAUCACGUCCGAGACAAGUAGACCGAUACUUUCUGCAUCUAUUACUAUUACUCCACACAUCGACCGCUAUCCAACAUGCAUCUAGUGUAUUGAGUUCAUGACGAACAGAGUAACUCCUUAAGCAAGAUGACAUGAUGUAGAGGGAUAAUCUCAAACCAAUGACGAAAACCCCAUCUUUUUUACCUUUGAUGGCAACAACACGAUGCGUGCCUCGCUACCCCUUCUGUCACUGGGUGAGGUCACCGCACGGUAUGAACCCAAAACCAAGCACUUCUCCCAUUGCAAGAAUCAUAGAUUUAGUUGGCCAGACAAAACCCACAACUCGAAGAGAAUUACAAGGAUAUGAAAUCAUGCAUAAGAGAGAUCAGAAGAAACUCAAAUAAGAUUCAUAGAUAAUCUGAUCAUAAAUCCACAAUUCAUCGGAUCUCGACAAACACACCGCAAAAUAAGAUUACAUCGGAUAGAUCUCCAUGAAGAUCAUGGAGAACUUUGUAUUGAAGAUCCAAGAGAGAGAAGAAUCCAUCUAGUUACUAGCUAUGGACCCGUAGGUCUAUGGUGAACUACUCACGCAUCAUCGGAGAGGUCAUGGUGUUAAUGAAGAAGCCCUCCGUGUCCGAAUCCCCCCUCCGGCAGGGCACCAGAACGUGCUCCAGAUGGGAUCUUGUGGAGACAGAUGCUUGCGGCGGCACAAAAGUACUUUCGAUGAUCUCCUAAUUUUUUUGGGAUUUUGAGGGAAUAUAUAGGCGCAACCCCUAGGGCAGAGGGCGCCCAGGGGGCCCACAAGCUUGUGGGCCGUGGCUCCCCCCUGGCCGCGGGGUGGGGGCUUGUGGGGCCCCUGAGGCCCCCCUACCUUGGCUCUCAAGCUUCUCGAUCUUCUUACGUUACGGAAAAAAUCAUUUCGGGGAUUUUCUUCCGUUUGGACUCUGUUUCAAAAUCUCAUGUGAAAGGGGUCAAAAACAUGGAAAAAACAGGAACUGGCACUUGGCACUGAGUUAAUAAGUUAGUCCCAAAAAAUAUAUAAAAGGCAUGCAAAACAUCCAAAGUUUCACAAGAUAAUAGCAUGAAACCAUAAAAAAUUAUAGAUACGUUGGAGACGUAUCAAGCAUCCCCAAGCUUAACUCCUGCUCGUCCUCGAGUAGGGAAGUGAUAAAGAAUGAAUUUUUGAUGUGGAAUGCUACCUAGCAUAGUUGUCCUUUGCAACUUCUUUCACGUGACAUGAAUGUUCAGACCCGUAAGUUUCGAAACAAUAGUUUGCUAUUGACAUGAAAACAAUAAUACUCGAAGCAAACUAGCAAGGUAAUCAUGAACUUUCAAAAUAACAAGGCCAAUGAAAGUUAUCCCUACAAAAUCAUAUAGUCUGGCUAUGCUCCAUCAUCCUCACACAACUAAUGUAAAUCAUGCACAACCCCGGAAUUGGGCAAGUAAUUGUUUUCGCACUCUUACUUUCUCAAACUUUUUAUAACUAUCACACAAUACAUGAGCGUGAGCCAUGGAUAUAGCACUAUAGGUGGAAUAGAGUGUGGUGGUGGUUGUGAGACAAAAAGGGAGGAGAUAGUCACAUUGACUCGGCGUAUCAAAGGGCUAUGGAGAUGCCUAUUAAUAGAUAUCAAUUUGAAUGAGUAGGGAUUUCCAUACAAUGGAUGCACUAGAACUAUAAGUAUGUGAAAGCUCAAAAGGAGAACUAGUGGGUGUGCAUCCAACUUGCUUGCUCACGAAGACCUAGGGCAAUUUUGAGGAAGCCCAUCAUUGGAAUAUACAAGCCAAGUUAUAUAAUGAAGAUUCCCACUAGCAUAUGGUAGUGACAAAGCAAGAAGCUCUCAACCAUAUGGUGCUAUUAUGAAGCACACGUGUGGAAAAAGAUAGUAGCAUUGUCCCUUCUCUCUUUUUCUCUCUUUUCUUUUUUUCAUUUGGGCUCUUAGGCCCCUUUUUCUCUUUUUUUGGGCUCUUUGGCCUUUUUUUUAUUUCCUCACAUGGGAAAAUGCUCUAAUAAUGAUGAUCAUCACACUUUUAUUUACUCAUAGCUCAAAACUCACAAUGAUGACUCCAUAGGAAAUGCCUCCGACAGUGUACCGGGAUGUGUAACGAUCUAGCAUGGCGUAUGACGUUGAAACAUCUCGCUAGCUAUCUUACGAUCAUGCAAAGGCAAUAUGAGAGUGACGACACAAGUCACGAGACGGAACAGUGGGAGUUGCAUGGCAAUAUAUCUCGGAAUGGCUAUGAAAAUGCCUUAGUAGGUAGGUAUGGUGGCUAUUUUGAGGAAGGAAUAUGGUGGGUUUGUGCACCGGCGAGAAUUGCGCGACACUAGAGAGGCUAGCAAUGGUGGAAGGUGAAAAUGCAUCUAUACCAUGGACUCACAUUAGUCAUGAAGAACUCACAUACUUGUUGCGAAAGUUUUUAUUAGUAAUCGAAACAAAGUGCGAAACGCAUACUCCGAGGGGAAGGGUUGGUAGGUGUUAACCAUCGCGCGAUCCCGACCUCAACACAAAGGAUGACAAUCAAUAGAUCAGUUAUGCUCCGACUUCCUAACAUAGCGGUUCACCAUACGUGCAUGCUACGGGAAUCACUAACUUCAACACAAGUAUUUCUAGAUUCACAACACCCUACUAACAUAGCUCUUAAUAUUACCAAAUCCACGUCUCAAAACUAAUUGAGAGGAAUCAAAACUUCUAUUUCUACUCAAUGCACAUGAAAAUGGAGGUUUUUGCAUCCUCUUUGGGUACCUAUCACCUUUGGGACUACUUUCAUAGCAUAAGCCAACUACCAAGUCACGCGCCGCCGUGCUCUAAAAGAUAUAAGUGAAGCACUAGAGCAAAAGUAUCUAGCUCAAAAGAUAUAAGUGAAGCACUAUGAGCAUUCUAGCAAAAAUCAUGAUGAGUGCAUGUCUCUCUCUCCCAAAAAGGUGUGCAGCAAGGAUGAUUGUGACACAACAAAAAUAAAAGACUCCUACGAUACAAGACGCUCCAAGCAAGACACAUAUCAUGUGGUGAAUAAAAAUAUAGCUCCAAGUAAUGUUACCGAUGGAUUGAAGACGAAAGAGGGGAUGCCUUCCCGGGGCAUCCCCAAGCUUAGGCUUUUUGGUGUCCUUGAAUUCGGCUUGGGAUGCCUUGGGCAUCCCCAAGGUUGAGCUCUUUCCACUCUUUAUCCCUUUGUCCAUGAGAACAUCACCCAAAACUUGAAAACUUCACAACACAAAACUUAAACAGAAACUCGUGAUAACAUUAGCACAAGAAAACAAACUACCACAUCUUUAGAUACUGUAGCAAUCCUGAUUUAUAUUUAUAUUCGUGUUAGGUUACUGUAUUCUCACUUUUCCAUGGCUAGUACCCCCCGAUACUAUCCAUAGUUUCAUCAAAACAAGCAACAAACACAACAAAAACAAAAUCUGUCAAAAACACACCAAUCUGUAGAAAUCUGUAUACUUCAUAUACUUAUGUUACCUCAACAAUUCUGAAACAUUACGACAGCCUGGGAAAAAGGCAUAUCAACCAGCAUAAAAAAGAAUCAACUCAAAAUCUCUUUCUGAGUAAAAAUGAAAAAUAAUUUCGUGAGCAAAACAUUUCUGUCUUUUUCGAGCAGGAUCAAACAACCAUCACCAAAACUAGUCAUAAAGGUUUUGCUUGGCUCAAACACAAAAAUAAACACAAAAAACACAAUCAUAAUAGAAUUAUGAUGGUGUGGACACAACAAAACAGAAAGAAAAAGAUAAAUUCAUUGGGUUGCCUCCCAAAAAGCGCUAUUGUUUAACGCCCUUAGCUAGGCAUAAGGUGAUGGAAUCACGUAUCGUCGUCUUUGGUACUCAAAUCAUAAGUAGCCCUCAUCAUGAAUUCAUAAGGCAAUCUUAUUUUCUUUCUAGGAAAAUUCUCCAUGCCCUUCUUCAAAGGAAAUUGAAACCCAAUAUUCCCUUCCUUCAUAUCGAUGAUAGCACCAAUAGUCCUUAGGAAAGGUCUACCAAUAAUGAUAGGGCAUGUAGGGUUGCAAUCAAUAUCAAGCACAAUGAAAUCCACGGGUACAUAGUUCCUAUUUGCAAUAAUAAGAACAUCAUUGAUCCUUCCCAUGGGUUUCUUGACAGUAGAAUCCGCAAGAUGCAAAUUAAGAGAGCACUCCUCAAUCUCAUUAAAGCCUAGAACAUCACAUAAAGACUUCGGAAUCGCAAAAACACUAGUACCCAAAUCACAGAAAGCAUUGCAUUCAUAGUUUUUGAUUUUGAUUUUGAUAGUAGGUUCCCACUCAUUAUGAAGCUUUCUAGGAAUAGAAACUUCCAACUCAAGUUUCUCUUCAAGAGAUUUUAUCAUAGCUUCGACGAUAUGAUCGGUAAAGGCCUUCUUUUGGCUAUAAGCGUGUGGAGAGUUUAGCAUGGAUUGCAUCAAGGAAAUGCAUUCAAUCAAGGAGCAACUAUCAUAAUUGAAUUCCUUGAAAUCCAAAGUAGUGGUUUCAUUACUACUGAAAGUUUUGAUAUCUUCUACUCCACUUUCAAUGCCUUUAGCAUCAAGAUAGAUGCACUCUGAAUCAUUGGGGCGUUUUUCAACCAAAGUGGAUUCAUAUCCAGACCCAUCAUAAUUAGGUUUGACACUAGAAAACAAGGAUUCAAUGGGAGUCACACCAAGCACUUUAAGAUCUUCAUGAUUCUUAUCACGAGAACACGCUUUUUUAAGCCAUUCAUGUCUAGCACGAAUUUGGGUGGUUCUUUCUUUGCUCUCAUUCAUGGAAACACGCAUAGCUUUCAAAGUUUCAUCCAUAUUGAUCUUGGGAGGAGCACAUCUAAGUUUCAAAGCAUCAAUAUCACUAGGCAUUCUAUCAACGCUCCUAGCCAAAUCAUCAAUUUUGAGUAGUUUUUCCUCUAUGGACGCAUUGAAAUUCUUUUGCGAGUUGAUAAACUCUUUGAUAUUACUCUCUAGAUCAGGGGGUAAUUUAUUGUAAUUUCCAUGAGUAUUGUUGUAGGAGUUGCCAAAGUUAUUAGAGGGGUUACUAGGAAAAGGCCUAGGAACAUAGUUUCCUCUAAAAGCAUUGCUGUUGCCAAAAUUAUUCCUACCAACAAAAUUAACGUCCAAGCUCGCAUUGCUACUCUCAAUCAAGGAAGACAAGGGCAUAUCAUUAGGAUCUAAAGGAGCACUUCUACUAGUAACCAAAUUCAUUAACUCAUCCAUCUUAGCGCUCAAUGAGUUAAUUUCUUCUAUAGCGUGUACCUUCUUACUAGUAGGUGACCUUUCAGUGUGCCACUUAGAGUAGUUUGUCAUGAUAUUGUCUAGGAGUUUUGUGGCUUCUUCUAAUGUGAUUUCCAUGAACGUUCCACCUGAGGCGGAGUCCAAGAUAUUUCUAGAAGCGAAAUUCAAACCAGCGUAGAAGAUUUGUAUAAUCAUCCAAAGACUCAAGCCAUGAGCGGGACAAUUUCUAAUCAUCAAUUUCAUUCUCUCCCAAGAUUGUGCAACAUGUUCAUGAUCAAGUUGCUUAAAAUUCAUGAUAUCAUUACGGAGAGAGAUAAUCUUAGCCGGCGGAAAAUACUUGGAUAUAUAAGCAUCUUUGCACUUGUUCCAAGAAUCAAUACUAUUUUUGGGCAAAGACGAAACCAAGUUUUUGCUCGAUCUCGCAACGAGAACGGAAAAAGAUUCAAUUUAAUCACAUCAUUAUCCACAUCUUUCUUCUUUUUCAUAUCGCAAAGCUCAAUGAAGGUAUUAAGAUGGGAUGCAACAUCUUCACUAGGAAGGCCGGAGAAUUGCUCUUUCGUAACAAGAUUCAGCACAACAGCAUUGAUUUCGUAUGAUUCCGCACUAGUGGCGAGAGCAAUCGGAGUACUAAUAAAAUCAUUAUUAUUAGUAUUCAAGAAGUCAAAAAGUUUAGUGUUUUCAGUCAUGGUGACUUCAGCAAGCAAACAAGCACACGAGCGAACAUAAAGCAAGUGAGAGAAAAGGGCGAACGAAAAAGGCAAACAAAAAAGGCAAAUAUUUUUGUAAAUUUUUGUUUUUCAGAAGUGGGGGAGAGGAAAACGAGAGGCAAAAAAGUAAAUACAAGAGAUGAGUUUGCAACACUUACUUGGAUGAGCUUCACCUAGAACUUGAUCCUCCCCAGCAACGACGCCAGAAAUCGGCACGUUGACGGGAGACUAUUCUUGACUUGAUCCUCCCCGGCAACGGCGCGAGAAAUCCUUCUGCUGCCUCUUGAGAUUGCGUUGGUUUUUCCCUUGAAGAGGAAAGGGUGAUGCAACACAGGAGCAGUAAGUAUUUCCCUCAGUUUGAGAACCAAGGUAUCAAUCCAGUAGGAGAAUCAAGCCAAGUGUCCAGAGUACCUGCGCAAACACAAACGAGCUUGCACCCAACGCUAUAAAGGGGUUGUCAAUCCCUUCAAGAUUGAUUGCAAACUGUGAUCUGAAGGCGGAAAGUGCAAUGAAGUAAAAGUGAAAGGCUGAAAAUAUGGUGUGAAGUAGACCCGGGGGGCAUAGUGUUCACUAGAGGCUUCUCUCAAAAUAGCAAAUAUUACGGUGGGUGAACAAAUUACUGUCGAGCAAUUGAUUGAACCGCGCAAAGUCAUCACGAUAUCUAAGGCAAUGAUCAUACAUAUAGGCAUCACGUCCAAGACAAGUAGUCCAAUACUUUCUGCAUCUACUACUAUUACUCCACACAUCAACCGCUAUCCAGCAUGCAUCUAGUGUAUUGAGUUCAUGACGAACAGAGUAACGCCUUAAGCAAGAUGACAUGAUGUAGAGGGAUAAACUCAAACGAAUGAUGUAAACCCCAUCUUUUUACCCUUGAUGGCAACAAUACGAUGUGUGCCUCGCUACCCCUUCUGUCACUUGGUGAGGUCACCGCACGGUAUGAACCCAAAACCAAGCACUUCUCCCAUUGCAAUAAUCAUAGAUCAAGUUGGCCAAACAAAACCCACAACUCGAAGAGAAUUACAAGCAUAUGAAAUUAUGCAUAUAAGAGAUCAGAAGAAACUGAAAUAAGAUUCAGAGAUAAUCCGAUCAUAAAUCCACAAUUCAUCGGAUCUCGACAAACACACCGCAAAAGAAGAUUACAUCGGAUAGAUCUCCAUGAAGAUCAUGGAGAACUUUGUAUUGAAGAUCCAAGAGAGAGAAGAAGCCAUCUAGCUACUAGCUAUGGACCUGAAGGUCUAUGGUGAACUACUCACGCAUCAUCGGAGAGGUCAUGGUGUUGAUGAAGAAGCCCUCCGUAUCCGAAUCCCCCCUCCGGCAGGGCACCAAAACGUGCCCCAGAUGGGAUCUUGCUGAGACAGAAGCUUGCGACAGCGGAAAAGUAUUUUCGUGGAUCUCUCGCGCAGUUUUGGAUUUUUCAGGAAUCUAUAGGCGGAAGAGGUAGGGCAGACCAGCCACAGGGGGCCCAUAAGCCUGCUAGGCGCGGGCCCCCCUGGCCGUGCCUAGGGGGCUUGUGGAGUCCCCUGGUGGCUUCUGCCUUGGUUCUCAAGUCUCGUGCGUAUCUUCUAUUCCGGAGAAAAUAUUUUCGGAAGUUUUACUCCGUUUGGACACCGUUUAAAAUCCUCCUCUGAAAAGGGUCAAAAACACGGAAAAAACAGGAACUGGCACUUGGCACUGAGUUAAUAAGUUAGUCCCAAAAAAGAUAUAAAAGGCCUACAAAACAUCCAAAGUUUUUCAAGAUAAUAGCAUGGAACCAUAAAAAAUUAUAGAUACGUUGGAGACGUAUCACACCUCUAAUGAUAACUCUAACAGACUUGUCAUUCAACUCAUUGAGCAAGUCAUUUUGAGCCUUAAGUACUUGUUCUACUUGAGUGGUGACCAUAGAGGCAUGUUUACUCAAAAGCUUAAGGUCAUUGACAUUUUUAUCCACACAAGCACUUAAAUGACUAAGCAUACGAGCAUUCUAUUCCAAUUGUCUGCUAACAUAAUCAUUGAAACUUUGUUGUUUGAUAACAAAGUUAUCAAAUUCAUCUAAGCAUAAGCUAGCAGGUUUAUAAAAAGGAAUAUCACUCUCAUUGAAUCUACAAAGAGAAUUUACCUAUGCUACCUAUGUCGGGUUAUCAAGACCAUGUAUUACUUCGAUAGGUGGUAGAUUCUUGACAUCUUCAGAUUUAAUGUCUUUCUCUUGCAUAGAUUUCUUAGCUUCUUGCAUAUCUUCAGGACUGAGGAAUAGGAUACCUCUUUUCUUCGGAGUUGGCUUCGGAGGUGGUUCGGGAAUAGUCCAAGCAUUCUCAUUGCACAAGAUAUUAUUUAAUAGAAUCUCAGCUUGUUCCAUAGUUCGUUCCCUGAAAACACAACCAGCACAACUAUCUAGGUGGUCCUUAGAAGCAUCGGUUAGUCCAUUAUAGAAGAUAUCAAGUAUUUCAUUUUUCUCAAGAGGGUGAUCAGGCAAAUCAUUAAGUAGCUGGACAAGCCUCCCCCNNNNNNNNNNNNNNNNNNNNNNNNNNNNNNNNNNNNNNNNNNNNNNNNNNNNNNNNNNNNNNNNNNNNNNNNNNNNNNNNNNNNNNNNNNNNNNNNNNNNAAGCUUGUGGGAGACUCUCUUCUUCAACUUUCACAAAGUUAUAUAUAUCCUGCAAGGGAGCUUGUUUCUUAUGGGCAGGAAAUUAUUUCUCAAAGAAGUAGUAGAUCAUAUCCUGGGGACUACGCACACAACCAGGAGCAAGAGAAGUGAACCAAGUCUUAGCAUCAUCCAUUAGUGAGAAAGGAAACAGCUUAAGGAUAUGGUAGUGGCAGAUCUUUUCCUCACUCGUGAAUAGGGUGGCUAUAUCGUGCAGCUUAGUAAGAUGUGCUACAAUCGUUUCAGACUCAUAACCAUGAAAAGGAUCAAAUUCGACCAAAGUGAUUAACUCACGAUCGAGAGAGAAUUCAUAAUCCUUAUCGAUCACAAAGAUGGGUGAAGUAGCAAACUUAGGAUCGUAUUUCCUCCUAGCAUUCAGAGAUUUCUCUUUCCACUUGCGCAAUAAAUUCUGAAUAUCAUAGCUAUCCUUACAAGCAAGAAAGUCCUCAACUACCUCUCCCUCCAUAACAUAACCCCGAGGUAUAUCGGGCAAUUCAUAUCUAGGAGAGCUAGUUCUAACGGGUGAAAGAAAAGGUUCUACUUCAAUAAUUUCAGCAGUUUCAGAAGUACCAUCACAUUCAGGAGCAACUCUAGCAAUUUGUGCAUCAAGGAAUGCACCUAGUGGCAAAGCAGUAUCAAGCAAAGCAUCAUCAUAAGCAUCAUGGAUAGCAGAAGUAGCAUGGAUACGUCCAUUUUGCAUCAUGUUUUCAUGUUGAUAUUUAUCGCUUCUUGGGCUGUUAUUUCACUUCACGGUACUAUUCUUAUGCCUUUUCUCUCUUAUUUUGCAAGGUUUACAUGAAGAGGGAGAAUACCGGCAACUGGAAUUCUGGUCUGAAAGUGGAGCAAAGUUGAGAUACCUAUUCUGCGCAACUCCAAACACUGUGAAAAUCAAUGGGGAUUUUUCCCCAAUUUAUCAAAAAUACUGGGCCGAAGAAGUGCCAGAGGGGCACCAGGGGUUGCCCACAAGCCUGCACGGCGCGACCACCCCCCAGGCCGCGCCAUGGGGGCUUGUGGGCAACCCACUAGCCCACUGGCCCCCUCUUUUGCUAUAUGGAGGGUUUCGUCCAGGAAAAAAUCACAGAGGAGCUUUUUCGUGGUUUCGCAGCCGCCACGUGGCGGAACUUGAGUAGAACAAAUCUAGAGCUCCGGCAGGACGAUCCUGCCGGGGAAACUUCCCUCCCGGAGGGGGAAAUCGUCGCCAUCGUCAUCACCAACACUCCUCUCAUCGGAGGGGACUCGUCACCAUCAACAUCUUCAUCAGCACCAUCUCAUCUCCAAACCCUAGUUCAUCACUUGUAACCAAUCUCCGUCUCGCGACUCCGAUUGGUACUUGUAAGGUUGCUAGUAGUGUUGAUUACUCUUUGUAGUUGAUGCUAGUUGGAAUAUUUGGUGGAAGAGUUUAUGUUCAUAUCCUUGAUGCUACUCAUUACCUCUCUGGUCAUGAACAUGAUUAUGCUUUGUGAGUAGUUACUUUUGUUGCUGAGGACAUGAGAUAAGUCAUGCUAAUAGUAGUCAUGUGAAUUUGGUAUUCGUUCGGUAUCUUGAUAUGUUGUAUAUUGUUUUUCCUCUAGUGGUGUUAUGUGAACGUCGACUAAAUACACUUCACCAUUAUUUGGGCCUAGAAGAAGGCAUUGGGAAGUAGUAAGUAGAUGAUGGGUUGCUAGAGUGACAGAAUCUAAAACCCUAGUUUAUGCGUUGCUUCGUAAGAGGCUGAUUUGGACCCACUAGUUUAAUGCUAUGGUUAGACUUUGUCUUAAUUCUUCUUUCGUAGUUGCGGAUGCUUCCGAGAGGGGUUAAUCAUAAGUGGGAUGCUUGUCCAAUUAAGGGCAGUACCCAAGCGCCGGUCCACCCACAUAUCAAACUAUCAAAGUAACGAACGCGAAUCAUAUGAACAUGAUGAAAACUAGCAUGACAGAAAUUCCCUUGUGUCCUGGGGAGCGUUUUUCCUCCUAUAAGACUUUGUCCAGGCUUGUCCCAUGCUACAAAAGGGAUUGGGCCACUUUGCUGCACCGUUGCUACUUUUGUUACUUGUUGCUCGCUACGAAUCAUCUCACUACACAAUCACUUGUUACCGACAAUUUCAGUCCGUGCAGAUUUUACCUUGCUGAAAACCACUUGUGAGAUCCUUGUGCUCCUCAUUGGGUUCGACACUCUUACUUAUCAAAAGGACUACGAUUGUUCCCCUAUACUUGUGGGUCAUCAAGACUCUUUUCUAGCAUCAUCAAGCACACGCGACACAUCAUAAUUUCUAGUAGGUGGUGGUGUCGCAAACUUACUCAUAACUGAAGGUGAAUCAAGUGCAUAGCUAGAUGGCAAUUCCUUACCUGUCCUCGUAGUUGAGGGCAAGACUUUAGUUUUUGGAUCUCUCGGAUUCCUCAUAGUGAUCAACAGAUGUAAAUCCCAAGUGACUCAGAGAAUAGUGCUAGGCCUCCCCGGCAACGGCGCCAUAAAAUAGUCUUGAUAACCCACAAGUAUAGGGGAUCACAACAGUUUUCGAGGGUAGAGUAUUGAACCCAAAUCUGUUGAUUCGACACAAGGGGAAGCAAAAGAAUAUUCUCGAGUAUUAGCAGUUGAGUUGACAAUUCAACCACACCUGAAAGACUUAGUAUCUGUAGUAAAGUUUCAGUAGCAAAGUAGCGUGAUAGUAACAGUAGCACGGUAACAGUAGCAGCCGUGACAACAGUAGCGGUAACAGUAGCAGCAGUGACAGUAGUAGCGGUAACAGUAGCAGCAGUGAAAAUAGUAGUGGAAAAGUAACGUAGCAAGGACCAGUAGGAAAAACUCGUAGGCAUUGGAUCGGUGAUGGAUAAUUAUGCUGGAUGACAUUCAUCAUGUAAUAGUUAUAACAUGGGGAGAUAUGUAACUUGCUCCAGUUCGUCAAUGUAAUGUAGGCAUGUAUUUCGUAUAUAGUCAUACGUGCUUAUGCAAAAGAACUUGCAUGACAUCUAUUGUCCAUCCCUCCCGUGGCAGCGGGGUCCUAAUGGAAACUUAGGGAUAUUAAGGUUCUCCUUUUAAUAGAGAACCGGAACAAAGCAUUAGCACUUAGUGAAUACAUGAACUCCUCAUACCAUGGUCAUCUCCGAGAGUGGUUCUGGCUAUUGUCACUACGGGGUUGCCGGGUCAUAACACAUAGUAGGUGACUACAACUUUCAAGAUAGGAUCAAGAACACACAUAUAUUGAUGAGAACAUAAUAGGUUCAGAUCUGAAAUCAUGGCACUCGGGCCCUAGUGACAAGCAUUAAGCAUAGCAAAGUAGUAGCAACAUCAAUCUCAGAACAUAGUGGAUACUAGGGAUCAAUCCCCAUCAAAACUAACUCGAUUACAUGAUCGAUAUCAUCCAACCCAUCACCGUCCAGCAAGCCUACGAUGAGAUUACUCACGAACAAUGAAGAGCAUCAUGGAAUUGGCGAUGAAGGAUGGUUGGUGAUGACGAAGGCGUCGAUUCCCCCUCUCCGGAGCCCAGAACGGACUCCAGAUCUGCCCUCCAGAGGAAGAACACGUGGUGGCGGCGGCUCCAUAUCGUAAAACGCGAUGAACUCUUCUCCCUGAUUUUUUUCUGGGCGAGAGAGAAUAUAUAGAGCUGGAAUUGGAGGCCGGAGCCCCGAUGGGCUCACAAGCCUCCCACGGGCCAGUGGGGCCCGCACCUCCUGGGCUUGUGGGCUCCUCGCUCCGUCCCUCCAUGUAAUUCUUGCGCCAGUAUUUUUUACAUAUUCCACAAAAAAUCCUCGUAAAUUUCCAGGUCAUUUCGAGAACUUCUAUUUCUGCGCAAAAACAACACCAUGGCAAUUCUGCUGAAAACAACGUCAGUCCGGGUUAGUUCCAUUCAAAUCAUGCAAAUUAGAGUCCAAACAAGAGCAAACGAGUUUGGAAAAGUAGAUACGAUGGUGACGUAUCAGCCCCCUUUAGGGUUUCCCACCCUAAGGGGGCGGCAGCCCUAGAUGGGGGAGGGGGUGGCGGCCAAGAGGGGAGGAGGGGGUGGCGCACCCCAUGGUGGGCCUUAGGCCCACCUGCACUAGGGUUCCCCCUUCCCCCUCUUAGGCGCCAUGGGCUAGGUGUGGGGGGCGCACCAGCCCACCCAGGGGCUGGUUCCUCUCACACUUGGCCCAUGUAGCCUCGUGGGGCUGGUGGCCUCUCCCGGUGGGCCUCCGGAACCCUUCCGGUGGUCCCGACACAUUGCCGGUGGUGCCCGAAACAUUUCCGGCGUCCAAACCCAUCCAUCCUAUAUAUCAAUCUUUACUUCCGAACCAUUCCGGAGCUCCUCGUGAUGUCCGGGAUCUCAUCCGGGACUCCGAACAACCUUCGGUAACCUCGUAUAACAAUUCCCUAUAACCCUAGCGUCAUCGAACCUUAAGUGUGUAGACCCUACGGGUUCGGGAGGCAUGCAGACAUGACCGAGACAUCUCUCCGGCCAAUAACCAUCAGCGGGGUCUGGAUACCCAUGGUGGCUCCCACAUGUUCCACGAUGAUCUCAUCGGAUGAACCACGAUGUCAAGGAUACAAUCAACCCCGUAUACAAUUCCCUUUGUUUGUCAGUAUGGAACUUGCCAGAGAUUCGAUCGUCGGUAUACCUAUAACUUGUUCAAUCUCGUUACUGGUAAGUCUCCUUAAUCAUUCCGUAGCACGUCAUCCUGUGACUAACUCCCUAGUCACAUUGAGCUCACGAUGAUGUUCUACCGAGUGGGCCCACAGAUACCUCUCCGUCAAACGGAGUGACAAAUCCCGAUCUCGAUUCGUACCAACCCAACAGACACUUUCGGAGAUACCCGUAGUGUACCUUUAUAGUCACCCAGUUACGUUGUGACGUUUGAUACACCCAAAGCACUCCUACGGUAUCCGGGAGUUGCAAAAUCUCACGGUCGAAGGAAAAGACACUUGACAUUAGAAAAGCUUUAGCAUACGAACAACACGAUCUAGUGCUAUGCUUAGGAUUGGGUCUUGUCCAUCACAUCAUUCUCCUAAUGAUGUGAUCCCGUUAUCAAUGACAUACAAUGUCAAUGAUCAGGAAACCAUGAUCAUCUAUUGAUCAACGAGCUAGCCAACUAGAGGCUUGCUAGGGACACAUUGUGAUCUAUUUAUUCACACAUGUAUUACUGUUUCCUGUGAAUACAAUUAUACUAUGAACAAUAGACGAUUAUCAUGAACAAGGAAAUAUGAUAAUAACCAUUUUAUUAUUGCCUCCAGGGCAUAUUUCCAACACGAGAUACCUCUCCGUCACACGGAGUGACAAAUCCCAGUCUUGAUCAUGCUAACUCAACCGGCACCUUCAGAGAUACCUAUAGAGCACCUUUAUAGUCACCCAGUUACGUUGUGACGUUUGACACACACAAGGUAUUCCUCCGUUGUCAGUGAGUUACAUGAUCUCAUGGUCAUAGGAAUGAAUACUUGACACGCAGAAAACAGUAGCAAUAAAAUGACACGAUCACAUGCUACGUUCAUAGUUUGGGUCUUGUCCAUCACAUGAUUCUCCUAAUGAUAUGAUCCCGUUAUCAAGUGACAACACUUGUCUAUGGUCAGGAAACCUUGACCAUCUUUGAUCAACGAGCUAUUCAACUAGAGGCUUACUAGGGACAGUGUUUUGUCUAUGUAUCCACACAUGUAUUUGUGUUUCCAAUCAAUAAAAUUAUAGCAUGGAUAAUAAAUGAUUAUCAUGAACAAAGGAAUAUAAUAAUAACUAAUUUAUUAUUGCCUCUAGGGCAUAUUUCCAACAGUCUCCCACUUGCACUAGAGUCAAUAAUCUAGUUCACAUCACCAUGUGAUUUUAACGAAUCCAACACCCAUACAGUUCUGGGGUUUGAUCACGUCUUGCUCGUGAGAGAGGUUUUAGUCAACGGUUCUGAAUCUUUCAGAUCCAUGUGUGCAUUACAAAUCUUUAUGUCAUCUUAUAGAUGCUGCUACUACGUGCUAUUCGGAAAUACUCCAAAUAUCUACUCUACUAUAUGAAUCCGUUUUACUACUCAGAGUUAUUCGGAUAAGUGUCAAAGCAUGCAUCGACGUAACCCUUUACGACGGACUCUUUAAUCACCUCCAUAAUCGAGAAAAAUUCCCUAGUCCACUAGUUACAAAGGAUAACUUUGACCGCUGUUUUAGUGAUUCAAUCCUUGAUCACCUUUUGUACCCCUUGACACACUCAAGGCAAGGCACACAUCAGGAGUGGUACACAGCUUGGCAUACUUUAGAGCCUAUGGCUAAGGCAUAGGGGACGACCUUCGUUCUUUCUCUUUCUUCUGCCGUGGUCGGGCUUUGAGUCUUACUCAAAUUCACAACUUACAACAUAACCAAGAACUCCUUCUUUGUUGAUCUAUUUUGAACUCCUUCAAAAACUUGUCAAGGCAUGCAUUUCGUUGAAAGUUCUGUUAAGUGUUUUGAUCUAUCUCUAUAGAUCUUGACGCUCAAUGUUCAAGUAGCUUUAUCGAGGUUUUCCUUUGAAAAACACCUCUCAAACAACCUUUUAUGCUUUACAGAAAUUCUACAUUACUUCCGAUCAACAAUAUGUCAACCACAUAUAGUUAUCAGAAAUUCUACAGUGCUCCCACUCACUUCUUUGGAAAUACAAGUUUCUCAUAAACCUUGUAUAAAUCCAAAAGUUUUGAUCAUCUCAUCAAACCGUAUAUUCCAACUCCGAGAUGCUUGCACCAGUCCAUAGAAGGAUCGCUGGAGCUUGCAUACUUGUUAGCAUUUUUAGGAUUGACAAAACCUUCUGGUUGUAUCACAUACAACCUUUCCUCAAGGAAAACGUCGAGGAAAAAUGUUUUGACAUCCUAUGUACAAUAUUUCACAAACAAUAGAGCAAUUGCUAACAUAAUUCCAACAGAUUUUUAGCAUCGCUACGAGUGAGAAAGUCUCAUCAUAGUCAACUCUUUGAACUUGUCGGAAACAUCUUUGCGAUAAGUCGAGCUUUUCUUAAUGGUGACUUUUCACCAUCAUCAUCCGUCUUCCCUUUAAAGAUCCAUCUUUACUUAAUAGUCUUACGACCAUCUAGUAGUUCUUCCAAAGUCUACACUUUGUUUUUACACAUGGAUCCUAUCUCGGAUUUCAUGGCCUCGAGCCAUUUGCUGGAAUCCGGGCCAACCAUCGCUUCUCCAUAGCUCGUAGGUUCAUAGUUGUUCAAUAACAUGACCUCCAAGACAAGGUUACCCUACCACUCUAUAGUAGUGCGCAACCUUGUCGACCUACGAGGUUUGUAGUAACUUGAUCCGAAGGUCAAUGAUCACCAUCAUCACUUUCCACUUCAAUUGGUGUAGGUGCCACAGGAACAACUUCAUGCGCCCUGCUACACACUGGUUAAAGUGACGGUUCACUAACCUCAUCAAGUUCCACUACCCUCCCACUCAAUUAUUUCGAGAGAGACUUUCCUCGAGAAAGGACCCGUUUCUAGAAACAAACAUUUUGCUUCCGGAUCUGAGAUAGGAGGUAUACCCAACUGUUUUGCGUGUCCUAUGAAGAUGCAUUUAUCCGUUUUGGGUUCGAGCUUAUCAUGCUGAAACUUUUCCACAUAAGCAUCGCAAACCCAAACUUUUAUGGUCAUAAUCCAUGCUAACUCAACGGACACCUUCGGAGAUACCUGUAGAGCACCUUUAUAGUCACCCAGUUACGUUGCGACGUUUGAUACACACAAGGUAUUCCUCCGUUGUGAGUGAGUUACAUGAUCUCAUGGUCAUAGGAAUGAAUACUUGACACGCAGAAAACAAUAGCAAUAAAAUGGCACGAUCACAUGCUACGUUCAUAGUUUGGGUCUUGUCCAUCACAUGAUUCUCCUAAUGAUGUGAUCCCGUUAUCAAGUGACAACACUUGUCUAUGGUCAGGAAACCUUGACCAUCUUUGAUCAACGAGCUAGUCAACUAGAGGCUUACUAGGGACAAUGUUUUGUCUAUGUAUCCACACAUGUAUUUGUGUUUCCAAUCAAUACAAUUAUAGCAUGGAUAAUAAACGAUUUUCAUGAACAAAGAAAUAUAAUAGUAACUAAUUUAUUAUUGCCUCUAGGGCAUAUUUCCAACAGCUACGUGAUGUCUCCUCUCCAACCUUGUGCUUCCAUGAUUAGUCCUUGUGGGCUGCCCCUACAUGAUCAAGGCAUCUAUGUAAUUCUCUUGCUAUUGCUAUGUUGGGUUUGUUGGGAUCCGAUGGAUUAUGAGGUUAUGUUCAGAUUGUUAUGAGUUAUAUGAUUCAUUAUCCUUUUAUAUUAUGUUCCUUGGUGAUUCAUGCAUGUUCUCCGUUGCUAUUUAUUGCUUUGGUCGAGUAGUAGAUUGUAACUCCAAGAGGGAGCGUUAUGCAUGAUUGUGGGUUCAUGACCCUCGAUGUCUAGCUUGAGUGACAUAAACAUGAGACUAGAGGAUGUGCUGUUGCCACCAGGGAUAAAACAACGGUUCUUGUGACCAUGGUUGCAAGGAUUGUUUACCUUACGCAUAGUUCGUUAAUGCAGUUGUCCGUUGCUUUGAGUUUACACUUUGGGUGGGGCUCGCAACUGAAUACCGGCGAGAUGUUCUGGAUAGAUAUCUCAAGGUGGAUGAUUAGUAAGUAGAUGCUGAAAAAUAAACGGUCUACUUGUCUUGGCGUACUACCCAUUACUAUUGAGCCUCUAACUUUCAACUAGCAUAAUUAGCAUGCGGUGCGAUCAUAAUUCUGUCAAUUGCCCAACUGUGACUUGUUUACCCAAGCAUAGUUGUUUAUCGUCUUUUGGGAGAGAGACAUCACUAGUGAACAUGAUGUGACUCCGGUCCAUAUCACCACCAUUGUUUACACCUCUAUCAUUUUCCGCUUUCAUUUACUUUUCCGUUGCAAUCACUAUAACUUCCCCGCUUGUGUUUUGAUCCUUUGCAAACUACAAGGCCGGAGAGAUUGACAACCUCUCUGUACUCGCUGUGAGCAAAGUUAUUUGUUCCUGUCCAAAAAAUAAUUGUGUCCGCUGCCCCUGUCUAGCAAAAGACGUGGUCCUGCACACACACAAAUAUCUGGCUAUCACUUAGUUGUGUAUCUUGCUUAGCAUAAAUUUUUGGUGCACAUAGGUGAGCCUAGUUGUUUUAGGUUUUGUGCUUGACAUAUUAAACGUUACUUUUAUUCCGCAUUUGUUCAAGCCUAAACCGUAAUUAUUCUAAAGCGCAUAUUCACACCCCCUCUAGGCGACAUCCACGUCCUUUCAACACCCAUCUCUCUAUUUGUCUUUCUUCUUACCCUUCUUCUUGAAGGUAGUAUUCUGCUCGACAAGGUUCUUUGCCUUGAACUUGUGGAAAUUCUUCUGCACCACAUUGGCACUAGAAGAACCCUCUGCCACUUUCGUGUGUGAUUCCUUUGCUCUCGAGUUCAGAUUAAUAAUUAGAUGACCGAUGACAUCCUCAACAAAGAAUUAACGUCUCAAGUUCUUGAGAGAAGUACCAAAGUUCCUACAUCUAGGAGGGAGUUUUGCAAUAAUGCAACCCGCGACAAACUUGUUCGGUAACUCACACUUCAGGAGCUCCAGCUCCUUAGCGAGGCACUGUAUCUCAUGAGCCUGGUCCAGAAUAGGACGGUUAUCAACCAUCGUGUAAUCACGGAACUGCUCCAUAGCAUACAGUUCACUUCUGGUAUCUGUUGCAUCAAAUUUAGCUUUGAGCGCAUCCCACAAGUUUUUGGCAACGCGCAUAUGGAGAUAUGCGUCGACCAACUUGUCUCCGAUCACACUAAGAACGACUCCCAGAAAGGCAGUAGUGGCCUCCCUGAACGCCUUCUCCUGUUCAGGAGCAAUCGUUCCCGCGGGAUCCACAUCACCAACCCACAACACAUUCAUAGGUGUGAGCCACAAGGUGGUACUCGUCCGACAACGCUUAAAAUCCAUUUCGAUAAUUUUUUUGGUUUUAGUGUAGGGGCGAAGUCAUGAAUCAAAUAGUUUCUAAAAUAAGGUUUUUUUAUUGUUGGAAAUAUUAUAACUUUUUUUCUUAGACUAAUCCACAAGUAAACAACAAGCAUGGCAAAUACGGUAUACCCUUCAUACCGAUACCUAAGCAUACUAGCACGACAAUACAUAGAACUAAAAUAUCUAUGAACAUGACAUAUACUGCUAGCACGAGAACGGUGCAGGGGAAGAAGUCAAAGCAGAGGAGGACGAAGACGCGGACACUCCCAAAAACCUUAUUGCACACAGAGGGAGAGAGUAAAUAGGACUCAGAUCAUUCCCGCAGCGCGCGGAGGAGGAGGAGCGCGUGUGUACAACUCCUCUUCCCAAGCUUCCAAUGGCAAGUUGUAUAGCAGCCCUUAUAUAGUGGUCUCACUCUUACUACUGUAGCACUAUGGUACUAAACUUCCCACCACUUGUCGUACAUUUACAUGGAUUAACCAUGGAUUAUUGUCUUAUAUGGGCCUAAGCCCAUAUAUAAUCCAACAAAGUACACAUUGUAAUUAUUUGUAAAGUACAGAACGCAAUCGAAUUAGUUGAAACAUGCACCCAUCAAAACCACCUAAAAAAGAAGAUUACGAUUGAAACAACUCUUUUUUUUGCGAAAUACCGUCAAAACAUCUAAGUAUAUUAAGGGUAUGUACAAUGGUUGAUAAGAUAGUCUUAUGUUAAAUUUUGCACGCAAUUUAGAGAUGAUAAAAAAAGUCUACAAUGGGUCAUCUCUUAGCCUUAUGUUCUAUAAUUAGGACAUGUACAAUGAUUGAUAAGAUAGUCUUAUCUUAAAUCUUGCAUGUAAUUUAAAAAUGACAAAAAAGAGAGUCUAUAAUGGGUCAUCUCUUAGCCUUAUCUUCUAUAAUUAGGUAUUCCUAAAAGCAUGGUGAGACAUAUUGUGCUAAGAGAUCACCUCUUGUCUCCUCUUAAGGGCGUGUACAAUGGUGUUAUCUUAGGAGCGCCACAUAGGAUAAAUGAUGAGUUGGAGGAGAGAGAGUUCGAAAAAAAGACUUUGCCUUCUCUUAUUUAAGAGAAGACAAAAUGUGAUCUUUUAGCACAAUAUGUCUCACCAUGUUUUUAGGAAUAACUAAGGGCAUGUAUAAUGAUGCUAUUUUAGGAAUGCCACAUAGGAUAAGUGACGAGGUGGAAGAGAGAGAACUCGAAAAAAAGGAUUUGCCUUCUCUUAUUAAGAGAAGACAAGUGGUGAUCUCUUAGCACAAUAUGUUUCAUCAUAUUUUUAGGAAUACCUAAUUAUAGAAGAUAAGGCUAAGAGAUGACCCAUUAUAUACUCUCUUUUUUGUCAUUUUUAAAUUACAUGCAAGAUUUAAGAUAAGAUUAUUUUAUCAACCAUUGUACAUGUUCUAAUUAUAGAAGAUAAGGCUAAGAGAUGACCCAUUGUAGACUCUCUUUUUGUCAUCUCUAAAUAAAUGCAAAAUUUAAGAUAAUAUUAUCUUAUCAACCAUUGUACAUGUCCUAAGAACAUGUACAAUGAUGCUAUCUUAGGAGUGCCAUAUAUGAUAAAUGAUGAGGUGGAGAAGAGAGAACUCGAUAAAAGGCUUUGCCUUCUCUUAUUAAAGAAAAGACAAAAGAUGGUCUUUUAGCAUAAUAUGUCUCAUCAUGUCUUUAAGAAUAGCUAAUUAUAAAAGAUAAGGCUAAGAGAUGACCCGUUAUAGACUCUUUUUUUAUUAUCUCUAAAUUACAUCCAAAGAUUUAAGAUAAAACUAUUUUAUUAACCAUUGUACAUGUCCUAAAUAAAAGAAGACAAAGUCUUUUUUUUAAGUUCUCUCUUCUUCCCCUCAUCAUUUAUCACAGAUGACACUCGUAAGAUUGCACCAUUGUACAAGCCGCGCUUUCCUCGGGUCACGACCGCCGUGUGAUCUGGUGCGUACGCACGAUGCGUGCAAACUAGUUGCAUAUACGCACACGAUACGUGCAUGAUCAGCACCCAAUACACGUAUUCUUGUUGAAGAAACGGCGUGCGGUUAGCUGGCCUGUGGCGAUCGCGAUUAGCAGCAAAGCACGCACCCAGGGUUGCCGUCAGCACGGCUGCUCCCCUUUUCUCAUUCCGUUCGCCCCUGGUAUUCCCUUCCCUGCCCCCUCGCCCGGGCGCCACUAUAAAUACCCGGCACGGCAGAGCGGUGUGGAACUCAGGAGUCCAUCCCCACACACACACCCACACCCACUCUUCUUCCCCCAACCGUCUCGGAUCGGAGCAGAGCAGAGGCUCUCCCUUGGCCUUCCUCCCUCUCGGCAGCAGGCUCGACCUUUGCAUGGCAGCAGUGGCUACCUCCAAGGGGCGGGUGAUCGCUGGGAGCCUCGUCGCGCGCGUCCUUGCCGGCAAGGCCGCCAACGCCUCCCCGAGGUAUGCUCACACGCCUCCUGUGAGCUCAAAGAAAGAAUCAGAGUACUAGCAUACGUACUUACGUUGGAAGUAGAUCAGUACCACUACUGCUGCUAGUUCAACAGUGCCUCCGAGAUCUAGUUGCUCCGGAGAUUUGUAAAUGGUUCCUUUUGCUGCUCUCACCUCGGCUGCCGUGGGUACUGGUUCCCCCAUCGGUUCGCCAUCACAAUCAUCAUCUUGGUAUGGAAAUUGAUUAACCCGUGUUCUGUGAAGCGGCGCUGGGGAUAGGUACGUACCGUCGUGCUGCGCUAGAACUUGCAACACAGUUUCCCAACCCAACCCAAAGUUAGAAAGAUUGUGUCUCGAGUUCUCAGUCACGUCCUCCCCGCCUUGGAAACGCUCACAAAACUUCUUUGUAAAGCAGGGCGCAAGUGCCUUUUUCUCUCUCUAAAAAAAGCUUCCGUUUCACAAACUUGUUUGGUCCCUGUAAUAAGAACAGCAAAAAUAUCUUUCAUCUCUCCUGCCCAUAUGCGUCGACGAUCCGUAGCAGCAGCACAUCAUAUGAGUAGGACGGAUGUCAAGAUAAAUCUGCAGAGCAGGAGAGAGCUCCACCACAGAAGAAGGCAGAGAAGGCCAGAUCCAUGGAGAUAUUUCUCUGCGCCUCCCAGUUGCGGCCGGCUCGUCGGAGAUGGCCAAGACAUCACCCGAGCCCCGGCGGCGAAGGGAUAGUGCAAGGAUAUUAUUCACGGCCCGGACGGGUCGGUCGCUCGUUUCUGUUUCUUUCUGGGAGAUUUUAUUGACGGCAGCGAAUGGGUGGACGGGUAGGUGCGGGGUGGUUGUCCGUCCGUCCGUCCGCCAUCUGCCGGCCUGAGCGCUCCCUUGGUUUUCACUCCAAGGAUGGGGCUGGUGCGAGGCGAGAGGUUGGUGGUGGCGCCCACGGUCGGGGUUGCCGUGAGAUCAAGGCGCGGAUGAGACCCUCGGGCCCGCGGUCUGGCCCUGCACGAUCCCACUUCUUCUGGGCUCCGGAUCUGAACCGGCCGGCGGGCGACGUGUCGUCCAUCGGGUCCCGGGGCGGACGUACUGGGUGCACGUACACGCUAGGGUGAGUAGGAUGAUGGCGCCGGUCUUAUCCACAAGACCCACCCACCCACCCACCGUCGUGCUGCCCCACCUUCUCCCGCCGUCUCUUCUUUGCUCACUGACCUAAGGCAGCCAGUGGAGUCCGGCCACAGCGCAAACGGCGUGCUUCGUGCCACCAUCAGUCACCACGCAUGGCCGGGCUCGUUCUAUGGUGCGUACCGAACUGAAAGAAAAAUUGGUUUAUGGGCGCCCACACGGCACGGCACGGCACUCUUUGCGUGAACUCGCCGUCCCGGGCACCAACAACACACUUUGUGCUGCCCACGGGAGCAGAAAAAAAUAAUAAAAAGAUGGAAAAGUGUAGCUUAAUGGCAAGCAAACGGACAGCGCACCGGUCAAGAUCUUAUGUACUCCCUCCGCCCGGUAAUAAGUGUAUUUUUUUCUUUUCUGUCAAUCAAACUAGUUAAACUUUGAUUAACUUUAUUGAAAAAGUGCUAGCAUUUAUGACAUCAGAUUAGUAUCAAUAGAUUUGCCUUUACAUGAGGUUUCCAAAUAUAUCAUUUUCAUGCCAUAUAUGUUGCUACUAUUUACUAUAAAAUUGGUCAAAUUUUUUAAAAAUUGACUAAGUACUAAUCUAUAUGUAUGCUUAUUUGUGGACGGAGGGAGUACAUAGUUAUAAUAACUUCAUUUAGUCAAUAAAAUCUUGGUAACACCCACCCACAUAUAUAGGACUUUUAAUUAACGCUCACUCAUUGGGCUGCCCUAUUGCUAGUCAAUGCAAUGGCUUAUAUAUAAUCAACUGACGCCGUGAUGCGUACGUGCAUUGUUUCAUCAUCGUUCUUUUGCAUCAUGAACGGAGUAUUUUCCUUACCAUCAAGUCAACGUGGUACCGUUGUGUAUGUAGGAUCCAACGACCUCAUUAACGAGCGAUCCGGUUUUGGUGUUUGGGUUUUGCAGGAGGGCGGUGCACGCGUCGGCCUACGACAAGAACGUGGACGAGCAGGUGCGCCCGGCCUUCGUGCCGGACGAUGUGAUCGGCGGCGCCGGGAGCCCAGACAAGUACUGGGGCCCUCACCCGACCACCGGCGUCUUCGGCCCGGCCGCGGUCGACCCCAAGCUGUCCGCCAGCCUCGCGGCGCCGGCCAGCGCCGCGAAUGGUGGCGGCGCCUCCGUGCUGGACCAGAAGGUGUGGUUCCGCCCGCUCGAGGACGUCGAGAAGCCCCCCGUCGCCUGAUCGCCGCCGGCGACCACAGCCCAGCUCGACAUCUCUAUCACUCUCCUUAGCUGGGCUCGACCACCUACUUAACUAUUAUCUCUAGUAGCGUGCUUGUGCUAUAGUACAGUCAUGGAAGGCACCAGAAGAAGAACCGGUAGUAGUGACGCGGUGUUGCUGCCUGGAAUAAGAACCUGUGAAAGAUGUGUGAUGAUGAUGACAGUGAUGUGCUCCCGUCGAAAACCAGUAUUAUUACAAGUGUUUGGUAGCCUCUGCGUCUCUUGAUCUUGCAAAUUGAUGUUGUUUUGGUUGUGCUCUUUUGGGGCUGGUUUUGGUCUGAGAUCAGUCUGUGAGGCAUUCAGUGUCGACAGGAACUUGAAAACCGUCUGACCAACUUGCAUUUUGAUCAACGUGUCCCACGCUCUAGAUUGUCCCGUGGUCGAGACCCAUGUGUCCGGCGGCCUUUCCGAAUAAAGACGGUGUUGAUGAUCCACCUGAAAAUAUUUCUCAUCCCCGUGCGCAAGGUUCUGAGUCCACCCACGAUAUCUGCUCAGCCUGUUCUGAACAAGUGGAAGAACAGCAACAGGAAUCUGUGAACCUGCCCUUGCCGACACUGAAAUAGGUUUGCUUCGGCAAUGCAAUGAGCAGAUGUCUUGCUAAUUAACUGUAAAGGCUGGCAUCAGUAUGUGAUAGAUGUGCUAAUACUCUUUUUUCACACAGCCACAGACCACUUAACAAUGCGUUCAUAUAUCAACUGAGAACAGAUCGCGCAAAUUACUAAUAACGAAGAUCUUGACAAUGCGUUUUGGGGGUUUGGUUUAGUUUAGGCCUUGGUUUGAGACCAGUAAUGUGUGGGUCAGGCAUUCAGUAUUGAAAGUGGCAAGAAUUGCAAUUGUUUGGUGUUUGAUGAACGCGUCUCUGGUCUGAAUUUUGAGUGGUUGAGAUUUGUCUAUCGCCAGCUUUUCCCAAUAAAGGCGGCGUUUUGACAGACAUGUGGAAUCAUGCAUCCUCUUGAUGGCUAUCCUGUGCAAAGAUUAAGUUUAGAAUGUUCUGGAUAAAUUCAGCAGGCUAAAAUUCUAUCCUUAGGUUUGGGGUUGUUAUAUACUCCAUCUGUCCCAAAAUAAGUGUCUUAACUUUUUUAUACUAAAGCUAGUAUAAAAUUGUAUUAAGCUCGAGACACUUAUUUUAAGACAGAAAAAGUAUUUAUCAAGCAAAAUUUCUGGUACAUCCGCCCGCACAAGGUUACGAGUGCAGCCAUGGUUUGUCCUGAAAGUAGUGAGCUCAAGUGGAAGGGGAACUUUUUAAACCUAGGUGUAUGUACAUGUAAAAGAAAUUUAACAUUCAAUAAAAAGUCUAAAAAUUCGAAAAAUAAUUUUGAAAUAAACUUGAACUUUUGUUGUACUUGAAAGAAAAAAUCCACAAAAAGAAAAUUACAUUUUGAUUUCUUUUCAAAAAAGGUAAUUUUCGGUCAAAAUAGUAUGAAUAGUCACCUAUAAUAGCACAUAAAUUUUGUUUUUUGUCCAAAAGUCAAUGUCGUAUUUUUUUCGUGAAAGUUUAUAUACUAGUGCAAAAGAAAGUCAAAUUUAAUAUAAAAAUACUUUAAACCUAUUUUAAUUUUUAAAUUAGUUAUUAUUAUUUUUCCUUGUAUAGGAUGCAUAUAGAACGAGGAACCAACUUGUAUUUCCCACUGAAGUGCAACAACUCAGGGCCACGUGUCCAUCCAAACACACAUACACACAAAACUAAAAAAACAUUCAGAUCCUCGGAGUGUCAAAGGAGACUUCUUUCUACAUCCAGGUGGGACGGGUCGUGAGAAUAGGGCCACCGCCUUGGCUUAAACCUAAAAACUUGUAAAGGCAACGAUCAAGGCGUUGAUGUAGAUUAGGAGACGUUGGUGACUAUUAGAUCCGUGAAGCAAUCAUUGUGAGAGAAGAAAACAUUAAUAAGGACAUGUAGAAACUUUGAAGACCGCGAAAGUUGAUUGAAUUCACAUGGAUCAACCGGAACCUUAAUCGACUAGGUCUCAGAAAACUCACAGGGGACACGGAUCACACGCCUGGCGCCCAUCACCGACGGUAAGCAUACCAACGAGGCGAGUUAAUUGCAUGGAGAUACCACUCUUCAGCAUCAUGUAACGAAUCGGUACCACAGUUCAUGCAUGUCGCACUUCAGUAUCACUAUUCGGCCUAAUCGUUACAAAAUGGACUGACAUCCGUAUAACCGCGUAUUGACCAUGUAUCUAACAUUGCGGGCCCACCUAUCAGGCGACAUGCUGGCCAMUCGACGCGUGCCAGUGCGCUAACUAGGACGAGGCGGGCGCGCUCAGUCUUAGUGGGCUCUGUCGGACCGAGACGGACCCCCUAACCACUCUAGUCGCUCCUCCUCGUCGAGCUCUGUCCCUCCUUCCUCCCGCCGCCGCGACCGCCCCCACCGCCGCCGCCAUCGCGCCAUGGUGUACGAGGAUGAGAGCAGCAACGACUACUCCAUUCUUGUGUACGUCAGCUCCUCCUCCGACGGCAUGCAGUACCAGGUGAGUUGCAGAAAUAGGGUUAGGGUUAAGGUUUGCUUUCUUGGGCGAUUUCUGAUUUGAUUUUGGGAUGAAAGUGCGUUAUAUCGACUAGAGGGGGGGGUGAAUAGGAGAUUUUUAGAAUUUCAUCGCUGAGGAAAUUCCUCACUGAUGACUAACUUACAGCGGAAACAGUAAAGGAUCAGACGUGCAAACGUUCACACCAGCAGUAUUUCAGAGUGAAGAAUGUGAAAACAGAUUGCACAGUAAGCAGGCACGCAGAAUACAGAUGAUGAUUAACUAUUGUGAAGAAUUUGGGGUUGAGGAAAUUCAGAGAAAGUCUUCAGCAAAUUCUUCAAACAGUCACAGUGAAAGUCAUCAACACAUAAUACAGAGAAAGUAAAGAGUUGAGGAAUUAGAACCCGAUUCUCAGAGAAGACAGUCGUUGAUGACCCAGUUCCAACUGCUGUGACAGUUGUACGUCUGGUUUGGAGCGGCUUGGUAUUGAAACCAAAGGACACCCAGUCCCGGGACACACAGUCCCUACCGUAUUCUCCUUGAGCUAAGGACACACAGUCCUCGCCCAACACUCGUGGUAAGUCUUCAGGACAGACUUCCAAACCCUCACAAACUUGGUCACUCGACGAUCCACAAUGAACUGCUGGAACGUUCUAGACCAUGACGCCUAACCGUCUGGAGGAUGCACAGUCCUCAAAGGUAAAACGCUUCAGUCCCACACAGGAACAACUUCUUCAGUGAUGCUCAAUCACUAGGUUUGGUUUGUGGUUUCGGUGGGUGGUGUAUUUCCUCACUGAUGAAUUACUCUCGAAGACUCUGAGGAAUUUGGGUUGCUCUUAUGACAAGUGUCAGUUUCUAACAGAGCAGCCAACCAGCUAGUGGUUGUGGGGGUGGCUAUUUAUAGCCUGGGAGCAUCCCGACAUGAUUUGACACUAAUGCCCUUAAAUAAUAUGACCGUUGGAGUGGAUAAGACCAGUGACUUGGCGUGGUUAUCGAAACGGUCGGGACCCUCAACUGUGAGAGUCCUCAUGUCACUCAUAUUCCUCACUUGAGGCUUUUGGUAGGAUUAGGCUUGAGUUGAGCAUCAUGAGGAAAUCCAUUCCAUGGUGUUACUUUGACCCCCUUUAACAGUACGGUGUUCCUAUUCAUCAAAUGCGAAGAAAGUAAAACAGAAAGUGUAAAUCUUCACGCUUCAAAUUCUUCAGAAUGAUUUUCUUCAGGAACCACCGGUCUUCUUAAUAUCAGUAUCUUCAUGAGGAAUAUCAAUUUCAUCGCAGAUUCCUCGCGAUUCAUUUCUUCAGCUUCAGACCAAUUUCUUCAACUGAAGAUAUGCAUUUUUAGGGUUCGAUAUUCUUCAAAUAUCUCAAACUGCUCAAUGACUUAUAGAUCCUCUGUACACUUAUAAACACAUUAGAUACUUAACCUAUAAGUCUUCAAACCACCAAAAUCACUAAGGGGCACUAGAUGCACUUACAAUCUCCCCCUUUUUGGUGGUUGAUGACAAUUAGGUUAAGUCUUCAACAGGGAUCAAAAAUAUGAAGUGUAAACACUCAUUUGAGGAAUUUGAAAACAAGAUUCAGAGAGACUCCCCCUGAAGAUGUGCAUACCUUGAGGAUUUUGCUUUUAUAGCAGAUGCACAUUGAUGAUUUAUAUCAUGGAGAUCUCCCCUUGAGUUUUGUAAAUCAUGCAUACAUAUGACAUAUCAUAUGAAGAAAAUGAAGAUGCAUGAUGGCAAAUGGUAUCUGACGAAUUCCAGCAUGCGUGCAUUAAAACUUGAGGAAUAAGCAUGUGAAGAAAAAUGUUCAAAAGCGUCAGAGUACCAUCGGGCUUAAGUUACAACUCAUUACAUAAAAACUUCAGAAGAGCCAAGAGUUUGUAACUUAAAUAUAGUUCAUAGGCCCCAAAAAUAUCCCGCUUGAAGAAUAACUCUCGAGUUUCUCCCCCUUUGUCAUCAAGUGACAAAAAGGGACAAACUGAGGACUAACGCCCGUGAAGACUUCAUUUCUUGGCGGUCGAGGAAGAGCCGUGACGCUUCUUGGGGGUAGUCUUCUUCCUUGGGCCGGUUGCUGUGUCGAGUUGUUCCUCAUCAGAUUCAGUGGUGCGGAAUGAAGAAAAGGAGCUGUCUUCAAGGUCUGGCACUGGAAUGGGCCUGAACUUCCUCUUGGGAGGCCAUGACCAGUCAAAGUCCCACUCAAAGUCCAUUUCUUCAAGCUCAGUCCGAGUCUUCAGAUGUGCAAGUGUAGCCCAGGUGCGAUCGAAAACCUCAUGCAGAUAGUGAUGAUUAAUCUUCACAGAGUUCUGUGUUUCAGUGAGGUUUUCACAAUGGCACCAAACUGGCGUUUGACCCAUUUGUGGUUGCGAUCCACCUUCUGGUGAAGACUGAGGAGGAGCUCUUUGGUGUUCAGCACGCGAGGAGGAACUGGGCUUGCUGGACGAGUCUCAGUAUCGUCCCAUGAAGAAUAUGCUUUUGGCUCUUUGAACUGGCCAUCAAGGGGCCUGCUGCCUUCUUCAAUCACAGAUUUUCCUUUUCCUUCGAUGGGCUCGAAAGUCUUCUUGUUGAUCCGGAUAGGAGGCAUAUAACCCAUGUGGUUUUGGAAAUCAGCGUGGAAGUUGAUGCAUGUCCUUGUCCUCAUGAAUCUCAUGAUCCACGGGGCAUAUAUCUUGUGAUCAUAGGGGCACAUGGCAUUGUCGGUCAAAGUCCUCAAGAAUAAAUCAUGGAUAUUAAUAGGAAUAUCGUGAAUGAUGUUGAAGAAGAUAUUCUUCAUGAGGCCUACAACAUCUUCUUCAUCGUCAUGGCCUUUGAUUGGCGCGAGCACACUGCAGAGGAUUCUGUAGACAGAACGGGGUGUGUACUUGAGCUCAUGGACGAGGAAGGUUGUUCUUGAGGGUUUGCCUGCAGCCAAAGGCUUCAUGAGGACUUCCAUCAUACCAUUUGGCAGCUCACGCUCACCAUAAAGCUUCACUGCCCCAUCUGACGGAAUUGGUACGGGCAGUUCUCUAAGGAGUUCAGAAGCAGGAGCUUUGUAGUGAGUAUUUUGGGACAUCCAGUCAAACACCCAAGUGUCGAUGUCGUCAGCGUUGCCAGAUAUGUGAAGAGUGGCAUAGAACUGAAGAAUAAGCUCACUAUUCCAGUCUGAUAUGUCUGAGCACAUGGGGAGCAAACCUGCAUCGUGGAGUACACUGAGGACUGGUUCCAGGCAGGGUAUUGCUUCAAGCUCAACAUGAGGAAUGUGCCUGUGCUCGAAUAUCUUGUUGCGUCCACAGAGCACAGAAGAAUAGUAGUUCAUCUGAGUCCUUGUCCAAAACUUCAGAUGCCUCAUUUGAGGCUUGUCAUAAGGGUUCUCUCCGAUGAAGUACAUGCGUUCCUCAAAGAAAUCUUCUUUUUGAAACUUUGGACGCUUGGAGAAUGGCUGGCGCUGAACUGGCUGAAGAUUUUGCUGAGGAAUCGGGGAGGAGACAACAAUGGCAGUCUCUGGGUUGAGCACAAUGAAUUCAUUGUCUUGGGCGGGUACAUUUUCUUCAGCAUUUUCCUGAGGGUGAGGAAUUUCAUCAGCUGGUACUUCAUGCUGGGGAGAUGAUGCUUGCUCUGGCUGAGCUUCAGGCUGAGGAAUUUCUGCUUCUUUCUCAUUUGGAGGAGUUGGGUCAGCCUGUUCCUCAUCUUGAGGAGUCUGCUCAGAAUGUACAGUUUCAUCAGCAUGAGGAUUUUCAGCUUGUUUUUCCUCAGCUGGCUUUGUGGCAGAAGCAGUUUCAUAAGCUGGUGCAGCUGAUGCUUGAGCAGUCUCUGUAUGAGGAAUAAGAGGUUGAGGACUGUCAUCAAUCUGAAUUUCCUCAUCAGUGUGUUCCUCAGAGGCGACAUCCUUCAUUUCCUCAUCUGCCCUUGUAGCUGGGUCAUCAAUGACGACCAUCUCAUAGGAAGGGGCGACAUUGAGAGGCACUGGGUCCAGAGGAGCAGUUUCUUCAGUUUCUUUGAGGCGCUUUGCCUCUGUCUCUUCUACUGCCGAGGAGGCUUUUCUCUUGUUUGCUUCCUUUUCAGCAGCCCUUGUUUUCUUCACGUCUGAUGCAGACGGAAUUAUCUUCUUCACCUUUGAAGCUUUUGGUGAAGGUGUUCUUUCUUCAGAUCCUUCAGCUGGUAGUGAGGAACUAGAGCUGGCGGUCGUAGGUUUCACGACAUGCUUCUGUACUGGUUUCUCUUGAGGCUUUGGAGGUGGAGCUGAGGAUUUUGGUGCUGAGGAGAUUGGUGCUGAGGGUUUUGGUGCUGAUGGUUUUGGUGUUGAAGGUUUUGGUAAGGAGGGUUUUGGUGCUGAGGGUUUUGUGACAGAAGCCUGAGCAGACUUCUCUUGAGGCUUUGGAGCCCUUUGCUUUGAUGGCACAGACUGCGUGUGAGGAAUUUCUGAGCCUGAGGUUUCUGCCGCUGAGGAAUUAGCAGCACCGGAGGCAGCAAUUGAGGAUUCAUUAAAUUUCCUCACUGCAGCUUCUGCUUGCUUCUUGAGCUUGGCUAGAUGUUUUUCUUUCUCAUCUGGGUAGUCAUCAAUUGUCAUGAGACUUGAGGGAUGUGCUACUUGAUGAUCCUCAAGUGGGGCCCUUCUGCCAGGAGGCUUCAAAGCGAAUUUCUUCGCAUAUUUGGGAGUCACAAACCUGUACUCCUUCCAUUCCUUCGCCCAUCGACGUUCAAUCUUCUGCAACCGUAUUUUUCUCUUGGCCAUUGUCUCAUGUUCAUCAGGCGUGCAAUAGUCCAAGUAAAUGUCCUCAGGGAUAUCAAUAGCUGUGUUUAGCUCAAGCUUCUUUCCUCCCUUCUGUUUUCUGUCAUCCUCCAUUUGCUUCAGUUGAGGAUUUUGCUGAUGAUUUUGAACUCUUGAGGAUUCUGAUGAGCCUUGAAGAGUUUCUUCCAGAAACGCUGGAAAUGAGUUAAUGUGAUGAGAACCGAGAGAUUCAUCAGCUGACAUGUGUGUACCUGUGAACAGAGUAUGGUUGCGAGGAAUUUGGAGAGGUCAUAUGCGUUCUCAGAUUUGAAGAAAAUGAAAAAGUUUGACAGUUUGAGGAAUAUAACCAGUGGUUGAGGAAUUUGCCUAAGCAUACUGUUCUUGGGUUCCAGAGUUGUACAGAUCUGAAAAUUCGCACAAUUGAGGAAUCUCGUGAUAAUCUUAGAUGCUUAGCAUAGUUCAUCAAUGAUUGUGGUGAUAUGUAGUGUUUGAGGAAUCAUGUGCGCAUCGUAUCUUGAGGAAAAACAGAUUUCUCAUAGAAGAUGUAAAAUUUCAGAUCUAAUCUGCUGUAAAAAUGGGAUAUAUUUACCCUGGAAGGUGCGUACGAAGAACACAGAAAGUAGUGUUGGAGAGGCUCUUCGUUCGAGUGUCCAAUGCACCCUAACUUGGCGACAGAGGACGUCUACGGCGGCGGCGGACGAAGAUGAUCCGACUCCGGCGUGGUUCUGGCGACGAAGAGGUCGAGGCAGUGAAGCUCUUCCUCACCGGCGACAAGACUACCAGCGGUGGCGCUAGGGUUCGGUGGAGUGUGCUGUGGCAGGAGAGCGAUGAGGCGAAGAAGAGGAUACGGAGGGGGAUGAGGACAUAUUUAUAGCCCAAAAGUUACUGUUUGGCGCGAAAAUGUCGGACCAAAUAGCCCCUGCCUCUACGUCUCCGCAGGACACGUGUAGCUCCCGUACGAUGCGGUGGAGAUAGUGGAGAUCGUGGUUAUCCGAUCGUGGGAAGUGGGGGUUCAGUUACUGUGUCUUUAAAGAAACAAUUUUUGAAGAUUUGAGGAUUUUUGUUACAAAAUCAUCAGCUGACAAGGACGCAGUGAGGAUUUUGAACAAAGUUUCAAAUAGAAAGCAUAUGAAGAAUUGAAUAGACUGGAUAAGUAUAGCAUAGAGGGAAAGUAGGGUCCGAUCACAUUCACUUAGCAGAAACAUCAACUUGAGGAAAUAUCCAUAAGUGAAUGCUGUUGAGGACUAGAAAUCACAGUCUACCUAGUCAAAUGAAAGUCAUCAAGUGUUUUUGAAGAUUUUGUAAUAAAUCAUCACAAUGAAGAACAGAUGUUUUGAAGAAAAACACAUUGUGAGGAAAUUGAUCAUUUGAUGAAAAACAACUUGAGGAAUUUCACAUAGGGCGGUGGCGUUACCCACCAUAUAAGAAUGUUGAUUACAAACGCCGCGUACAAUUGUCGUAGGGCCCUGAGAAUCAAUUUCUUCGUUAAUUUCUUCACAUUCAGAGUGACAUUCUUCAUGAGUUGAAGAAAAUCGAUUCAUCAUGUGUUGCACAUCUAAGUCAUCAACUUUGCAUAAGUGUUAGGAUGUGUGCAUGUUUUUACAAAACAUUUGAAGAUUCUAAGAUAUUUAGCUCACACCGCAACUUGCAAAACCUUUUCUCAUCCAAGGGCUUAGUGAAGAUAUCUGCCAGUUGAUCAUCAGCCUUCACAUGGUCGAUGAGGAUAUUGCCCUUGAGGACAUGGUCCCGAAGAAAAUGAUGACGAAUCUGGAUGUGCUUGGUCUUCGAGUGAUGUACUGGGUUGUAUGCAAUCUUGAUAGCACUCUCAUUGUCACAUUAGAGAGGUACAUUCUUCAUGUUGAUGCCGUAGUCCUUGAGGGUUUGCUUCAUCCAUAGCAAUUGAGCACAGAAGAACCAGCAGCAAUGUACUCAGCUUCGGCAGUGGAGAGUGAUAUGCAGUUCUGCUUCUUUGAGGACCAACAAACUAGUGAUCUUCCGAGGAAAUGACAUGUGCCAUAAGUUGACUUGCGAUUCACACGGUCACCAGCAUAGUCUGAAUCAGAAUACCCUACCAGAUGAAGGUUGGAGCCCUUGGGAUACCAUAAUCCUAGUGUUGGUGUGUGAGCUAAGUAUCGAAGAAUGUGUUUCACAGCCUUAUGGUGUGAUUCCUUCGGUUUUGCUUGAAAACGUGCACACAUGCAAACACUAAGCAUUAUAUCUGGCCUAGAUGCACAUAGAUACAAUAAGGAGCCAAUCAUAGAACGGUAUACCCGCUGAUCGAAAUCUUUACCAUUUUCAUCAGUGCCGAGGUGGCCGUUGGUAGGCAUUGGAGUCUUGGCACCUUUGCAUUCGUGCAUGUCGAAUUUCCUCAGAACAUCCUUGAGGUAUAUCUCCUGUGAUAUGAAGAUUCCAUUGCUUUGUUGACGAAUUUGAAGACCUAAGAAGAAUUUCAGCUCCCCCAUCAUGGACAUCUGAUAUUCUUCACUCAUCAUGUAGGCAAAUUCAUCACUGUAUCAGGUUUGAAGCCUUUCUUCAUGAGGAAUUCCUUCAAUGUAUCAUACCAUGCCCGAGGGGCUUGCUUGAGACCAUACAGAGCCUUUUUGAGUCUGAAGACUUUGUCUGGAUUCUUUGGAUCCUCAAAACCUGGGGGCUGAGCAACAUAUACUUCUUCCUCAAGCUUACCAUUCAGGAAUGCACUUUUCACAUCCAUUUGAUAUAAGGUGAUGUUAUGAUGAUUAGCAUAAGCAAGUAGUAUUCGAAUAGCUUCAAGUCUAGCAACAGGUGCAAAAUUUUCAUCGAAAUCUAUUCCUUCAACCUGGGUGUAGCCUUGGGCUACAAGUCGUGCCUUGUUCCUCACCACUUGAUCGUCCUCAUCUUGCUUGUUUCGGAAAAUCCACUUGGUGCUGAUGAUGUUGUGCUUGCGAGGAUCUGGUCGUUUGACGAGCUCCCAUACGUCAUUCACCUUGAAUUGAAGAAGUUCGUCUUGCAUAGCUUGGAUCCACUCCGGUUCCAGAAAAGCCUCAGCAACUUUUGAGGGUUCUCUGAUGGAUACAAAGGAAAAAUGCCCACAAAAGUUAACUAAGUGUGAAGCUUUUGAGCGAGUGAGAGGACCUGGCGCGUUGAUGUCAUUGAGGAUUUUGUCAAGUUCUACUUCGUUUGCAAUCCUCGGAUGAGCUGGUUGAGGAUUUUGUCUGGUCUGAGGAAGUGGUGCUGGUGCAAUUUCCUCAGGAGCAUCUUCUUGGUUUUUAUCAGCGAUGGGGAUCGUUUCUUCAUCAAUUUCCUCAGUUGGGACAAUGUCUUCAGUAGGCUUGAGCUUUAUUGCUUCCUCAGGAGACAGCUUAUCUGUAUCAGAAAGCAAUUGCUCUCUUUGCGAGCCAUUAGUUUCAUCGAACCGCACAUCUACAGUCUCAACAACUUUGUUGUGAUAGUUGUUGAAGACUCUGUAAGUGUGCGAGUCCUUUCCAUAACCGAGCAUAAAACCUUCAUGUGCCUUAGGUGCAAAUUUUGAGCUAUGGUGAGGAUCUCUAAUCCAGCAUUUUGCACCGAAGACUUUGAAAUAACUUACAUUGGGUUUCUUGUCAGUGAGGAGUUCAUAUGAGGUUUUCUUGAGGAAUUUGUGAAGAUAUACCCUGUUGAUGAUAUGGCAUGCAAUGUUGAUUGCUUCAGGCCAAAAGCGACGAGGAGUUUGAUAUUCUUCAAGCAUAGUUCUCGCCAUUUCAACUAGAGUCAUGUUCUUCCUUUCGACAACACCAUUCUGCUGAGGAGUAUAAGGAGCAGACAAUUCGUGAGUAAUACCAAGUUCAUCAAGAUAAUCAUCAAGACCAGUGUUUUUGAACUCGGUUCCAUUAUCACUCCUGAUAUGUUUGAUCUUGAUGCCAAAGUUCGUCGAGGCCCUUGAAGAAAAUCGUUUGAAGAUUUCCUGCACUUCAGUUUUAUACACUAUGAUAUGCACCCAAGUGUAUCUGGAAUAAUCAUCAACUAUGACGAAGCCAUAUAAAGAUGUUGCAUUGGUUAGUGUGGCAUAGUGAGUAGGUCCAAAUAAAUCCAUAUGAAGCAAUUCGAAUGGACGUGUAGUGGUCAUGAUGGUUUUAGAGGGAUGCUUGGAUCUGGUCAUUUUCCCAGAUUCACAAGCACCGCAGAGAUGAUCCUUGAGGAAUUUGACUGAUUCGAUGCCGAUGACAUGCUUCUUCUUUGCAAGCGUGUGCAAAUUCCUCAUGCCUGCAUGACCUAGUCUUCGGUGCCACAGCCAUCCUUCUGAGGUUUUUUGCUAGUUAGCAAGUGGCUGGUUGAGGACCUGUAGAGAAAUCAACAAUGUACAAAUCCCCUCUUCUUACACCUUCGAAGACUUUGGAUCUCUUAGAUUCCAUGAUGACUACACAUCUAUAUCUACUAAAGAUAACAAUCAUAUCAAGAUCACAAAGCAUCGAGACUGACAUAAGGUUAAAACCAAGGGAUUCAACAAGCAUCACUUUGUCCAUAUGCCUAUCCUUGGAAAUAGCUACUUUGCCAAGUCCCAAUACCUUGCUUUUACCUUUGUCAGCAUAUGUGAUUUGCUUCAGAGGUGAUGGAGUUAGUGGCAUAUUCAUCAGUAAGCUUUUAUCACCAGUCAUGUGAUGUGUGCAGCCACUACCGAGAACCCACUCAGUAUUUUUGGGUUUGUCAUCCUGCAGAUGAAUUAGUACAGCUUACCAUCUCAUAUGCUUCAGAUUUGAAGAAUAUGAUACUAAUUUCAUCAGUUCAGUAAUUUCAUCAUAACAUAAAUGUAAGGACGUGUGAAAUAUUUCUAUUUCAUCAAUCAUUAGCUUGCGUCCUAUCAAGCAUUUCCUCAGGUCUCCAGCAAAUUCUUCAGAUGCUGAUUUUCAUUUGGAGACCUGACCUGCAGAAGUGAUUAGUUCGAUUUCUUCACCACCCACAUCUGAAGGGGUGGCAAAGCGUUCAUCAUUCUGCGAGCACCAUAUGAGAAAGGUGACAUUGAAGCUAAUGCACUUCUCUUAACAGUAGGGGGAUUAAAGUACUCAUAUGAAUAUGCAGAGAACUGGUUUGAGGAUUUAUGAACAUAAUGAUUUGAGGAGUAACGCUCAUAUUCAUAUUCCUUGUAGUUUCCCUGCAUGUUAGAAGCAUAAGCACGGGUACGAGCAUAGUUUUGACCAGUUGAGGAUUUUGAUCCUCUUGAAGAUUUUGGUCCUCCUGAGAAAUUUGAUCUGGGGUUCAGAUUCUUCAGUGGUGGUGUCAUGAGGACAUUCACCUGAAGAUUUUCAAGACAGCUUUUGGGAACCCAGAUUUUCCUCAGAGGAGGGCCAUUCCUGCAGUUAGUUCCAACAUAUCGAGCAAAUACUUCACCAGAUUGAUUUUUGAACAGUUUAUAGUUGGAAUCAAAUGACUCAUCCGAGGAAUAGGAUAAUUCACAUGAGAAGCCAGUUAGAUUAGAUGGAUCAAAAGGAGGCCCAGUAGCAGCAACCCAUGAGGUUUUGGGAUAUUGCUCGGGUUUCCAAUAAGAUCCAUCGGCAUUUAAUUUCCUCUCAAAGGCAAUUCCUUCUUUCCUCGGGUUCCUGUUCAAGAUCUGCUUUUUGAGCACAUCACAAAGGGUUUGAUGUCCUUUGAGGCUUUUGUACAUGCUUGUCACGUACAAUUCCUUCAACCCUGCAUUUUCAUCAGUAACAUUUGUGUUUUCCUCAAGUGAGGAAAUAGACACAACAGGUGUAGUUGAAGAAUUUGUAGCAAUGGUAGCAUUUGAUGAUUCUGGUGAGGAAUUAGCAGUUUCGCGUUCAAUGCAUUUAAGACAUGGAGGAUUAAAUUCAACUUGACUAGCGCUGAUCUGUUGAGCUAGUAAUGAAUCAUUUUCCAUACGAAGAUCAUCAUGAGACAUUCUCAGCUUCUCAAGAUCAAGCUUCCUUUGAAGAAAUUCGUAAGAAAGCUUCUCAUGAUCAGUGAGGAGUGUAUCAUAACGAUCCUGAAGAUUAUCAAAUCUAGACUGAAGACUUUUUAUGUCAUCAGUGAGGAUUUGGUUAAGGUUCAUUUCAUCAUUCAACAGAUCAUCACUUUUGUCUAGCAGUUUCUGAAGCUUUUCCAGAGCAGUUUGUUGUUUAGUGGCAAUGAUAGCAUGUUUACUGUAACUGGGUUUCUUAUAAUCAUUAGGUUCACAGUCACUUGAAUCAGAGGAGGAGGCAUUAUUUGAUACCUUUGAACCUUUUGCCAUGAAGCAAUAGGUUGGAGCGAAGUCAUCAGCAUAGUCAUCAGUAUGGAUGGUGCAAUCAUUUUCUUCAAGAUUGAAUAUUGACUUGCUCACGAAAGUGGUUGCUAGUGCAAGACUAGCCUGUCCAGAUUCUGAGUCUUUUCUAGAACCCUCUUCUUCAUCACAUUCCUCUAAUUCUGCCUCGGAGUCCAUUUCCUUGCCAAUAAGUGCCCGAGCCUUUCUGAAACUAGUCUUCUUGUGUGAUGAGGGCUUUGAAGAUGAGGAUUUUGAAGAUUUCUUCUUCUUCUUAGAGUCAUCAGAACUGUCAUCCUUGUAUUUCUUCUUCUUUGAUUCCUUUCCCCAACGGGGACAAUCAGCAAUGUAAUGACCUGAUUUCUUGCACUUGUGACAGGUUCGUUUCUUGUAGUCCUCAGAUGAAGAUUCUGAUUUCCUCAUGUCUCUUCUUGAAGAUUUACCGAACUGGCCACGUCGUGCAAAUCUCUGUAAUUUCCUCACAAGCAUUGCAAGCUCCUGUCCAAAUUCUCCAGGGUCACAAAUGCUGUCAUCUGUGUCUUCUUCUUCAGAUGAGGAAAUUGCUCUAGCCUUCAGUGCACGUGGUCUGGAAUAGCUUUGUCCAUAUAGAUCUCUCUUUUCUUCUAGCUGGAAUUCAUGAGUAUUUAGCCUUUCAAGUAUAUCAGCUGGAUCCAGCAUCUUGUAGUCUGGUCUUUCUUGAAUCAUCAGAACCAAAGUGUCAAAUGAAGAAUCCAAAGAUCUCAGCAGUUUCUUCACAACUUCAUGAUCAGUGAUGUCUCGAGCUCCCAGUGCUUGCAGUUCAUUUGAUAUGUCAGUGAGGCGAUCAAAGGUGUCUUGGCAGCAUUCAUUGUCAUGUCUCUUGAAGCGAUUGAAGAGAUUUUGAAGAAUAUCAACACGAGAGUCACGCUGGGUUGAUACUCCUUCAUUUACCUUGCACAGUCUCUCCCAGAUCAGUGUUGCAGAGCCCAAAGCACUUACUCUUCCAAACUGGCCAGGGCUCAGAUGGCCACAGAUGAUGUUCUUCGCUUGAGAAUCGAGUUGCUUGAAUUUCUUCACAUCAGCCGCAGUGACACUGGCAGAGAUGAUGGGGACUCCAUUUUCCACAAUAUACCAGAGAUCAUUAUCAAUAGCUUGUAGAUGCAUUUGCAUUUUGUUCUUCCAGAAGGGAAAGUUCUUUCCUUCGUAGGUAGGACAUGCUGCAGUCACCUUAAACAUGCCUGCAGUCGACAUAACUAAAACUCCAGGUGGUUAAACCAAAAUCACACAGAACAAGGGAGUACCUUGCUCUGAUACCAAUUGAAAGUGCGUUAUAUCGACUAGAGGGGGGUGAAUAGGAGAUUUUUAGAAUUUCAUCACUGAAGAAAUUCCUUUUGAGGAAAUUCCUCACUGAUGACUAACUUACAGCGGAAACAGUAAAGGAUCAGACGUGCAAACGUUCACACCAGCAGUAUUUCAGAGUGAAGAAUGUGAAAACAGAUUGCACAGUAAGCAGGCACGCAGAAUACAGAUGAUGAUUAACUAUUGUGAAGAAUUUGGGGUUGAGGAAAUUCAGAGAAAGUCUUCAGCAAAUUGUUCAAACAGUCAUAGUGAAAGUCAUCAACACAUAAUACAGAGAAAGUAAAGAGUUGAGGAAUUAGAACCCGAUUCUCAAAGAAGACAGUCGUUGAUGACCCAGUUCCAACUGUUGUGACAGUUGUACGUCUGGUUUGGAGCGGCUUGGUAUUGAAACCAAAGGACACCCAGUCCCGGGACACACAGUCCCUACCGUAUUCUCCUUGAGCUAAGGACACAAAGUCCUCGCCCAACACUCGUGGUAAGUAUUCAGGGCAGACUUCCAAACCCUCACAAACUUGGUCACUCGACGAUCCACAAUGAACUGCUGGAACGUUCUAGACCAUGACGCCUAACCGUCUGGAGGAUGCACAGUCCUCAAAGGUAAAAGGCUUUAGUCCCACACAGGAACAACUUCUUCAGUGAUGCUCAAUCACUAGGUUUGGUUUGUGGUUUCGGUGGGUGGUGUAUUUCCUCACUGAUGAAUUACUCUCGAAGACUCUGACGAAUUUGGGUUGCUCUUAUGACAAGUGUCAGUUUCUAACGGAGCAGCUAACCAGCUAGUGGUUGUGGGGGGUGGCUAUUUAUAGCCUGGGAGCAUCCCGACAUGAUUUGACACUGAUGCCCUUAAAUAAUAUGACCGUUGGAGUGGAUAAGACCAGUGACUUGGCGUGGUUAUCGAAACGGCCGGGACCCUCAACUGUGAGAGUCCUCAUGUCACUCAUAUUCCUCACUUGAGGCUUUUGGUAGGAUUAGGCUUGAGUUGAGCAUCAUGAGGAAAUCCAUUCCAUAGUGUUACUUUGACCCCCUUUAACAGUACGGUGUUCCUAUUCAUCAAAUGCGAAGAAAGUAAAACAGGAAGUGUAAAUCUUCACGCUUCAAAUUCUUCAGAAUGAUUUUCUUCAGGAACCACCGGUCAUCUUAAUAUCAGUAUCUUCAUGAGGAAUAUCAAUUUCAUCGCAGAUUCCUCGCGAUUCAUUUCUUCAGCUUCAGACCAAUUUCUUCAACUGAAGAUAUACAUUUUUAGGGGUCGAUAUUCUUCAAAUAUCUCAAACUGCUCAAUGACUUAUAGAUCCUGUGUACACUUAUAAACACAUUAGAUACUUAACCUAUAAGUCUUCAAACCACCAAAAUCACUAAGGGGCACUAGAUGCACUUACAUGGGAUCUUUGGUUCAUUUUGCUCCUUUAGGCCCCUUCUAGCAUUGACGACUAGGACUACAUGGGUGUUGAGACAACACCACUGGUUUCUUCCGAGCACCAUGGUCUCGCAAGUGAGAGGCACGUGGCCUUUGAAGGAUUUGACGCGGGCAUGAGGUUUUGAGUGUGUGCUAAUAAGGUCACAUGGUACACAAUAGCUUUAUUUUUUGUAUGUUGGCACAUUCGAUGUCAUUUCUUACCAUAUCCAUGUGAUGAUGCAGAUUGUGGGAUUGUUUAAGUAUGCAACAUCUGAUUGUGUGCUUGUUUAGAGAGUUGGUGAUGCUUUCCAUGUAUAUUUAAUGUGGACAAUAGAUUUUUAUUUUAUAACAUGUCAACAACUUGGGUUGUAGUGUAGAUGUUCAUUUUUUAAUGUAUCUGAUUAUUUAAAUUCUAGCUAAAUGAUUGUUUGUUUGGGCAUCUCACUUAUGUUAUGUUCAUUCUUUAGUUGGGCAGCUCAUUGAUUGUGUCUGAUGCUUACAUUAAAUUGUGAUGUUUACAUUGCAGGAAGAUGACAACUGUGGUUUUGUUCAAUGGGUUAACCCUGAGUGGCCUCCUACACUCUAGAAUGCUUUGUUGAAGCUAUGGGAUAUGUAUGAAGACAUCAGGAGUGGUAGGAGGAAGGAUAACCUUGAGAGUUCACUCACUAUUCACAAGUUGACAAAGGAGAAAAACAAAAUAGAGGGCAACUAUGACAAAUUGGUUCAAUGUGUGCAUGAACUAUUCAAUUUCCAAGAGGAUAGGAUGAUGGAUUUCAGUUAUUUGUAUGAUAGGAUGAAGGGUGUUGACGUUACCAACUCUAUUGUCUCUGAUAUGAAGAUAGAGAUGGAGAAGAAAGAUGCAGAGAUCUUCAAGUUGUAGGAGAAGUAUAAAGUUCUCAUGAAUCUGUCAACAGCUCAAGCCAGUGUCAUCCAAAACCUGAAGCUCAAACAUUUGAAAGAGAAGGAACAACCGAGUGAAGCUAGUAAGAACUUGCAGGUGUGGGUUGAUGAACUCAACAAGUCUCGCGAAAAGCUCACACACGAGAACUCAAGCCUCAAGCUUCACAUGGGUGAUCUGAAGAAGGGACAUGAGAAGCUUACUGCAGGUAGGGCCGAACUGAAGCUUCACAUUGAUGAUUUGCUAAGGUGAGAGGAGAGGACCGGGCAGAAGUUGAUGGGGAUCCAGGACAACUUGGCAGAACGAAGAAGUUGUAGAGCAAGAGAAAAAUGAAGCAUGCUUAGCUGAAUUUUUGGGAAGUAUGUUGUUCUUUAGAAGUAAUAAAUGUGGACUAUGCAUGUGUACUUGUGACCUACUAUGGUGUUGUUUCAAGUUAUCUAUUAUGUAAGAACCUAAUAUGUUGAACUCUACUAUGAUGUGUAAGAAUCUAUUAAGUAUGUUGCUUGAAGCUAUCUAUUAUGACCUAUGUUACAUGUUGUGAUGACUUGUGUUGAACAUAGAUGUUCACAUAACUCAGUAGCCAACAUAAAAUAGAUGUUCACCUAACAUAGAUGUUCACAUAACAUAGAUGAAGUAGUAGGUCUCAAAAGCAUCACAUAACAUAGCUGCUCACAUAACAUAGAUGUUUACUUAACUCACUAACUGACAUCACCAGGGUUCAAAAGCAUACAAAUAAGAACUCAUUACAUAACCCAUAUAACUCAUGUGUUUCCACUGGCAGUAAACUAAGCCAUCCAGUCAGUAUGGUUUGUUGGGCAACCAGCAGUAGGAGGAGCACCAGCAAUUGAAGCACCGGAAGUUGAUGCUCUUGGAGCAGAGAAUGGUCUUUGAUAGCUUGCAGAAGAUCUUGCGGCCGGCUGUGAUCUUGCAGCUUGGGCCUAUGAUCUUGAAGGUGGGGGCUGUGAACUUUGAGCUCGGGGCUCUAAUCUUACAGGUGCCUUGCAAAAAUCAUAGUACUUAGUCAGACAUCAUAUUAACUAAAAAUAUACAUAAAUACAAAAAAUUAAAAUUAGAGAGUGUCAAGGGGAUUACCACAUGCUUUUUCCCCUCAUAGCCAACUCUGGUUUCAAAGGUUUCUUGGAUUUCGUGUACCUAUGCCCUUGGAGCCCACAAUUACUGCAUAUUAUAGUGCCCAUUCUAGAAGUGCCUUUUGGUUUUGGAAGUUCAAACCUGCCCUUUAUCCUCUUUUCUUUCUUCCUUCCUCUCUUGACAUGGAAGUAAGGUGGAUCUAUGUCUGGUCCAGGAGUCUUUGUCCACUCAUGUUCACCAGGAACAUGAUAUAUCAUAGGUUCAUAUGAUGCCAGGUACAUAGGUUUUCUGAAGAAUUUGGAAACAUAGUCCUCUGGAAACCCUUUUGCCUUAUUAAUUGUUGAUAUAGCAUGGUUGCAUGGUAUGCCAGACAUGUCCCACUUUCUGCAACCACAUGUGUGUUGUUCAAGGUUAACUGGAUGUGUUUGCUGCCCACUCGUCACUUGCCACAGAUUAACACCAGCUUGAAUUGGUUUGCAAAAUCUGACCCUUUCCUUUUCCCCCUCUAGCUUCUCAGCAUAAUGAGGUGUGAUCUCCCACAUAGUUGCUUUUCCUCUCUCUCUAUUACUAUACCACCUCACCAUUUUUUUGUCCUUAAUACCAUCUGUUGGGGAACGUCGCAUGGGAAACAAAAAAUUUCCUACGCGCAUGAAGACCUAUCAUGGUGAUGUCCAUCUACGAGAGGGGAUGAGUGAUCUACGUACCCUCGUAGACCGUACAGCAGAAGCGUUAGAGAACGCGGUUGAUGUAGUGGAACGUCCUCACGUCCCUCGAUCCGCCCCGCGAACAAUCCCGCGAUCAGUCCCACGAUCUAGUACCGAACGGACGGCACCUCCGCGUUCAGCACACGUACAGCUCGACGAUGAUCUCGGCCUUCUUGAUCCAGCAAGAGAGACGGAGAGGUAGAAGAGUUCUCCGGCAGCGUGACGACGCUCCGGAGGUUGGUGAUGACCUUGUCUCAGCAGGGCUCCGCUCGAGCUCCGCAGAAACGCGAUCUAGAGGAAAAACCGUGGAGGUAUGUGGUCGGGCUGCCGUGGAAAAGUCGUCUCAAAUCAGCCCUAAAACCUCCGUAUAUAUAGGUGGGAGGGAGGGGGGCCUUGCCUUGGGGUCCAAGGACCCUCAAGGGGGUCGGCCGAGCCAAGGGGGAGGACUCCUCCCCCCCCCCCAAACCGAGUUGGACUAGGUUUGGUGGGAGGGAGUCCUCCUCCCUUCCCACCUCCUCCUUUUUUUUCUUUUCCUCUUGAUUUUUCUUCUCUUUGCGCAUAGACCACUUGUGGGCUGUCCCACCAGCCCACUAAGGGCUGGUGUGUCUCCCCAAAGGCCUAUGGGCUUCCCCGGGGUGGGUUGCCCCCCCCCGGUGAACUCCCGGAACCCAUUCGUCAUUCCCGGUACAUUCCCGGUAACUCCGAAAACCUUCCGGUAAUCAAAUGAGGUCAUCCUAUAUAUCAAUCUUCGUUUCCGGACCAUUCCGGAAACUCUCGUGAUGUCCGUGAUCUCAUCCAGGACUCCGAACAACAUUCGGUAACCAACCAUAUAACUCAAAUACGCAUAAAACAACGUCGAACCUUAAGUGUGCAGACCCUGCGGGUUCGAGAACUAUGUAGACAUGACCCGAGAGACUCCUCGGUCAAUAUCCAAUAGCGGGACCUGGAUGCCCAUAUUGGAUCCUACAUAUUCUACGAAGAUCUUAUCGUUUGAACCUCAGUGUCAAGGAUUCGUAUAAUCCCGUAUGUCAUUCCCUUUGUCCUUCGGUAUGUUACUUGCCCGACGAUUCGAUCGUCAGUAUCCGCAUACCUAUUUCUAAUCUCGUUUACCGACAAGUCUCUUUACUCGUUCCGUAAUACAAGAUCCCGCAACUUACACUAAGUUACAUUGCUUGCAAGGCUUGUGUGUGAUGUUGUAUUACCGAGUGGGCCCCGAGAUACCUCUCCGUCACACGGAGUGACAAAUCCCAGUCUUGAUCCAUACUAACUCAACUAACACCUUCGGAGAUACCUGUAGAGCAUCUUUAUAGUCACCCAGUUACGUUGCGACGUUUGAUACACACAAAGCAUUCCUCCGGUGUCAGUGAGUUAUAUGAUCUCAUGGUCAUAGGAAUAAAUACUUGACACGCAGAAAACAGUAGCAACAAAAUGACACGAUCAACAUGCUACGUCUAUUAGUUUGGGUCCAGUCCAUCACGUGAUUCUCCCAAUGACGUGAUCCAGUUAUCAAGCAACAACACCUUGUUCAUAAUCAGAAGACACUGACUAUCAUUGAUCAACUGGCUAGCCAACUAGAGGCAUGCUAGGGACGGUGUUUUGUCUAUGUGUCCACACAUGUAAAUGAGUCUUCAUUCAAUACAAUUAUAGCAUGGACAAUAAACUAUUAUCUUGAUACAGGAAUUAUAAUAAUAACCAUAUUUAUUAUUGCCUCUAGGGCAUAAUUCAAACAGUCUCCCACUUGCACUAGAGUCAAUAAUCCAGCCCUCACAUCACCAUGUGAAUUACACUGCAAUAAAUCUAACACCCAUACAGUUCUGGUGUCGAUCAUGUUUUGGCCGUGGAAGAGGUUUAGUCAGCGGGUCUGCUACAUUCAGAUCCGUGUGCACUUUGCAUAUAUUUACGUCCUCUUCCUCGACGUAGUCGCGGAUGAGGUUGAAGCGUCGUUUGAUGUGUCUGGUCUUCUUGUGAAACCGUGGUUCCUUUGCUAAGGCAAUGGCACCAGUGUUGUCACAGAACAAGGUUAUUGGAUUCAGUGCGCUUGGCACCACUCCAAGAUCCGUCAUGAACUGCUUCAUCCAGACACCCUCCUUAGCCGCCUCCGAGGCAGCCAUGUACUCCGCUUCACAUGUAGAAUCUGCUACGACGCUUUGCUUGGAACUGCACCAGCUUACUGCACCCCCAUUAAGAAUAAAUACGUAUCCGGUUUGCGACUUAGAGUCGUCCGGAUGUGUGUCAAAGCUUGCAUCGACGUAACCUUUUACGGCGAGCUCUUCGUCACCUCCAUACACGAGAAACAUCUCCUUAGUCCUUUUCAGGUACUUCAGGAUAUUCUUGACCGCUGUCCAGUGAUCCACUCCUGGAUUACUAUGGAACCUACCUGCCAUACUUAUGGCCAGGCUAACAUACGGUCUAGUGCACAGCAUCGCAUACAUGAUAGAACCUAUGGCUGAAGCAUAGGGGACGGAGCGCAUAUGCUCUCUAUCUUCAUCAGUUGCUGGGCACUGAGUCUUACUCAAUCUCGUACCUUGUAAAACUGGCAAGAACCCUUUCUUGGACUGUUCCAUUUUGAACCUCUUCAAAACUUUAUCAAGGUAUGUGCUUUGUGAAAGUCCUAUCAGGCGUUUUGAUCUAUCCCUAUAGAUCUUAAUGCCUAGAAUGUAAGCAGUUUCUCCUAGGUCCUUCAUAGAGAAACUUUUAUUCAAGUAACCUUUUAUGCUCUCCAAAAGCUCUACGUUGUUUCCAAUCAGUAAUAUGUCAUCCACAUAUAAUAUUAGAAACGCCACAGAGCUCCCACUCACUUUCUUGUAAAUACAAGAUUCUCCAACCACUUGUAUAAACCCAAAUGCUUUGAUCACCUCAUCAAAGCGUUUGUUCCAACUCCGAGAUGCUUGCACCAGUCCAUAAAUGGAUCGCUAGAGCUUGCACACCUUGUCAGCAUUUUUAGGAUCGACAAAACCUUCGGGUUGCAUCAUAUACAACUCUUCCUUAAGGAAACCGUUAAGGAACGCCGUUUUGACAUCCAUCUGCCAGAUUUCAUAAUCGAAAAAUGCAGCUAUUGCUAACAUGAUUCUGACGGACUUAAGCAUCGCCACGGGAGAGAAAGUCUCAUCGUAGUCAACUCCUGGAACUUGUGAAAAACCCUUUGCCACAAGUCGAGCUUUAUAAACGGUCACAUUGCCGUCAGCGUCCGUCUUCUUCUUAAAGAUCCAUUUGUUCUGAAUAGCCUUGCGGCCCUCAGGUAGUAUCUCCAAAGUCCACACUUUGUUCUCAUACAUGGAUCCUAUCUCGGAUUUCAUGGCUUCUAGCAUUUGUUGGAAUCUGGGCCCACCAUUGCUUCUUCAUAAUUUGCAGGUUCAUUGUUGUCUAACAACAUGAUUGAUAAGACGGGAUUACCCUACCACUCUGGAGCUGCGCGUGAUCUCGUCGACCUACGUGGUUCAACAAAAACUUGAACUGGAGUUUCAUGAUAAUCAUCAUUAACUUCCUCCUCAACCGGUGUCGCAACGACAGAGGUUUCCCCUUGCCCCGCGCCACCAUCCAGAGGGAUGAGAGGUUCGACAACCUCGUCAAGUUCUAUCUUCCUCCCACUCAAUUCUCUCGAGAGAAACUCCUUCUCGAGAAAAGCUCCGUUUUUAGCAACAAACACUUUGCCCUCGGAUUUGAGAUAGAAGGUGUACCCAACUGUCUCUUUUGGGUAACCUAUGAAGACGCACUUUUCCGCUUUGGGUUCCAGCUUUUCAGGCUGAAGCUUUUUGACAUAAGCAUCACAUCCCCAAACUUUAAGAAACGACAACUUUGGCCUUUUGCCAUACCACAGUUCGUAUGGUGUCGUCUCAACGGAUUUUGAUGGUGCCCUAUUUAAAGUGAAUGCAGCUGUUUCUAAUGCAUAACCCCAAAAUGAUAACGGCAAAUCAGUAAGAGACAUCAUAGAUCGCACCAUUUCUAACAAAGUACGAUUACGACGUUCGGACACACCAUUACACUGUGGUGUUCCAGGCGGUGUUAACUGCGAAAAAAUUCCACAUUGUCUUAAGUGAGCACCAAAGUCGAAACUCAGAUAUUCACCCCCACGAUCAGACCGUAGGAACUUGAUCUUCUUGUUACGAUGAUUUUCCACUUCACUCUGAAAUUGCUUGAACUUUUCAAAUGUUUCAGACUUGUGCUUCAUCAAGUAGACAUAACCAUAUCUACUUAAAUCGUCUGUGAAGGUGAGAAAACAACGAUAUCCGCCGCGUGCCUCUACGCUCAUUGGACCACACACAUCGGUAUGUAUGAUUUCCAACAAGUCACUUGCACGCUCCAUUGUUCCGGAGAACGGAGUCUUAGUCAUCUUGCCGAUGAGGCAUGGUUCGCACGUGUCAAGUGAAUCAAAGUCAAGUGACUCCAACAGUCCAUCAACAUGGAGUUUCUUCAUGCGCUUUACACCAAUAUGACCCAAGCGGCAGUGCCACAAAAAUAUGGCGCUAUCAUUGUUUACUCUAACUCUUUUGGUCUCAAUGUUAUGUAUAUGCGUAUCGCUAUCAAGAUUCAAUAUGAACAAUCCUCUCACAUUCGGUGCAUGACCAUAAAAGAUGUUACUCAUAGAAAUAGAACAACCAUUAUUCUCAGACUUAAAAGAGUAACCGUCUCGCAAUAAACAAGAUCCAGAUAUAAUGUUCAUGCUCAACGCAGGCACUAAAUAACAAUGAUUUAAGUUCAUCACUAAUCCCGAUGGUAGCUGAAGUGACACUGUGCCGACGGCGAUUGCAUCAACCUUGGAACCAUUUCCUACGCGCAUUGUCACUUCGUCUUUCGCCAGCCUUCGUCUAUUCCGCAGUUCCUUCUUCGAGUUGCAAAGGUGAGCAACAGAACCGGUAUCGAAUACCCAGGCACUACUACGAGAGCCGGUUAAGUACACAUCAAUAACAUGUAUAUCAAAUAUACCUGAUUUUUCUUUGCCCGCCUUCUUAUCUGCCAGAUACUUGGGGCAAUUGCGCUUCCAGUGACCCAUACCCUUGCAAUAGAAGCACUCUGUUUCAGGCUUAGGUCCAGCCUUGGGUUUCUUCGGCAGAUUGGCAACAGGCUUGCCGCUCUUCUUCGAAUUGCCCUUCUUGCCUUUGCCGUUUCUCUUGAAACUAGUGGUCUUGCUCACCAUCAACACUUGAUGCUCUUUACGGAGUUCAGACUCUGCGACUUUCAGCAUCGCAAACAACUCGCCGGGAGACUUGUUCAUCCCUUGCAUGUUGUAGUUCAACACAAAGCCUUUAUAGCUUGGCGGCAGUGAUUGAAGGAUUCUGUCAGUGAUAGCUUCUUGCGGGAGUUCAAUCCCCAGCUCAGCUAGACGGUUUGAGUACCCAGACAUUUUGAGCACAUGUUCACUGACACACGAGUUUUCCUCCAUCUUGCAAGCAUAGAAUUUAUCGGAGGUCUCAUACCUCUCGAUCCGGGCGUUCUUCUGAAAGAUAAACUCCAACUCCUGGAACAUCUCAAAUGCUCCAUGACGCUCAAAGCGACGUUGAAGUCCCGGUUCUAAGCCAUACAAGACUGCACAUUGAACUAUUGAGUAGUCCUCCUUACGUGCUAGCCAAGCGUUCUUAACAUCCUGAUCAGCCGUAGCGGGUGGUUCAUCUCCUAGCGCAGCAUUAAGGACAUAAUCCUUCUUCCCAGCUUGUAAGAUUAGCUUAAGAUUACGAGCCCAGUCUACAAAGUUGCUUCCAUCAUCUUUCAACUUAGCUUUCUCUAGGAACGUAUUAAAACUCAGGAUGACUGUCGCGUGAGCCAUGAUCUACAACACAAAUAUAUUCAAAGUGGACUUAGACUAUGUUCAAGAUAAUUAGAGUUCAACUUUAAUCAAAUUAUAUGCUAAACUCCCACUCAAAAAGUACAUCUCUCUAGUCAUUUGAGUGGUUCAUGAUCCACUUACACUAUCCCAAGUCCGAUCAUCACGUGAGUCGAGUAUAGUUUCAGUGGUAAGCAUCCCUAUGCUAAUCAUAUCAACUAUAUGAUUCAUGAUCGACCUUUCGGUCUCAUGUGUUCCGAGGCCAUGUCUGCACAUGCUAGGCUCGUCAAGCUUAACCCGAGUGUUCCGCGUGCGCAACUGUUUUGCACCCGUUGUAUGUGAACGUUGAGUCUAUCACACCCGAUCAUCACGUGGUGUCUCGAAACGACGAACUGUAGCAACGGUGCACAGUCGGGGAGAACACAAUUUCGUCUUGAAAUUUUAGUGAGAGAUCACCUCAUAAUGCUACCGUCGUUCUAAGAAAAAUAAGGUGCAUAAAAGGAUUAACAUCACAUGCAAUUCAUAAGUGACAUGAUAUGGCCAUCAUCACGUGCUUCUUGAUCUCCAUCACCAAAGCACCGGCACGAUCUUCUUGUCACCGGCGCCACACCAUGAUCAUCCAUCAACGUGUUGCCAUCGGGGUUGUCGUGCUACUUAUGCUAUUACUACUAAAGCUACAUCCUAGCAAAAUAGUAAACGCAUCUGCAAGCACAAAAGUUAGUAUAAAGACAACCCUAUGGCUCCUGCCGGUUGCCGUACCAUCGACGUGCAAGUCGAUAUUUCUAUUACAACAUGAUCAUCUCAUACAUCCAAUAUAUCACAUCAUAUUGUUGGCCAUAUCACAUCACAAUCAUACCCUGCAAAAACAAGUUAGACGUCCUCUAAUUUUGUUGUUGCAUGUUUUACGUGGUGACCAAGGGUAUCUAGUAGGAUCGCAUCUUACUUACGCAAACACCACAACGGAGAUAUAUGAGUUGCUAUUUAACCUCAUCCAAAGACCUCCUCGGUCAAAUCCAAUUCAACUAAAGUUGGAGGAACCGUCACUUGCCAGUCAUCUUUGAGCAAAGGGGGUUACUCGUAACGAUGAAACCAGUCUCUCGUAAGCGUACGAGUAAUGUCGGUCCAAGCCGCUUCAAUCCAACAAUACCGCGGAAUCAAGAAAAGACUAAGGAGGGCAGCAAAACGCACAUCACCGCCCACAAAAACUUUUGUGUUCUACUCGAGAAGACAUCUACGCAUGUACCUAGCUCAUGAUGCCACUGUUGGGGAACGUCGCAUGGGAAACAAAAAUUUUCCUACGCGCACGAAGACCUAUCAUGGUGAUGUCCAUCUACGAGAGGGGAUGAGUGAUCUACGUACCCUCGUAGACCGUACAGCAGAAGCGUUAGAGAACGCGGUUGAUGUAGCGGAACGUCCUCACGUCCCUCGAUCCGCCCCGCGAACAAUCCCGCGAUCAGUCCCACGAUCUAGUACCGAACGGACGNNNNNNNNNNNNNNNNNNNNNNNNNNNNNNNNNNNNNNNNNNNNNNNNNNNNNNNNNNNNNNNNNNNNNNNNNNNNNNNNNNNNNNNNNNNNNNNNNNNNUAGUUUUAGAUUUAAGGGUUUGAGGGUUCUACUAGAGAUGCUCUUAGUGAGGGCAACAUCAAUCGCGGAGUAUAUGAAUUAGCUGCAGUCUUACAUGAACCACCUAUUGUGUGUGAUCUCAAUAAUCCUGGUGUUCUUGUUGUUGAUUAUCAUGGUGUAGUUUUCAAAGUUAGGGCAGCAGCAGUAGUACACUUCAACCUACUGAACAUACUGCUAUGUGCACACAAGAGCGUAGAAAUGUGAGCAAGGGGAAGCAGAAAGUUGUGUUUGAAGAAGAGGAUGAGGAGGGAUAUAAGAGUGUUGAUGAGGACAUUGCAUACGAUAGUGAUAACAACCCUUUUAGCCUAGAGCAACACGUGAUUGUUGAUGUGGAAGAUGAAGAUGAAGAUGAAGAAUCGGAAGAGGAACACUUACAUUGUGAGGGUGACAUUGAGGUUGAGGAUUUUUUUGACGACGACGAGGAGGAGGACAUGUUGUUGCAACAGAAGAACAUGCAAGGAAGAGACAAAAUCUACAAGUUAGGAGAGGUCCCACCACUAGGUCACACUCUAAUGUUUUAGAGGAGGUGAAACCUGGUUUCAUUCCUUCAUCAGAUGAAGAAGAUCAUGGGCUGCUAUUUGACAGUGAGGAUGAUGGACAUGAGGCAUCAACAUUUGUCCUAAAAAUGCAAUAAGAGUAGGGCCAAGAAAAAGAAAACCUAGGAUAUGGUACAAUGACAAACUUGAGCAACCACAUCAGCAGUUGUGUCUCUACAUGUGCUUUAAGAAUCAGUAGAAAUUCAGAGAAGUAUUGUUGAGUUUGCACAUUACACGGGUAAGAAAUUUCACGUACCACGGAAACUCAAACAAAAGGAUAAUUGCAUGUUGCAAACAUGAGAAGUGCGAGUUCUGCAUAGUUGUUGCAGUUAUCAAAGGGGAAAAGACAUUUGCUAUUAAGAAGACGAGGCUGCAGAACACUUGCCCUAGCAGUACAAAGUCAUCUAGGGUUAGUGCAACGUGGCUUGCAAAGACAUAUGAGUCAUUUUUCAGAUAUGAUCCAAGCACUAGCAUAGCCACUGUGAUUUACAACUCCUAGGAGAAGUAUGGUAGUGAUGUGCCCACGCACAUGGCCAAUAGGGCCAAGAACCUUGCUAUGGAAGUUCUUUUAGGAGACCACAAACAGCAGUAUCCCAGGUUGAGGGACUAUUCUCAAACCAUCAUGGAUACAAACCCCCGAAGUAGAGUUAAUGUGACAACAGUUACUCCAAAACCUACAACAAAAAUACCACAUCCUAGACCAAGGUUUCAUGAUUUGUUUUUCUGCCUAAAUGGAGCAAGAGAGGGAUUUCUAAAUGGAUGCGGGCCAUUCAUUGGUUAGUAACAUGUUUAUUUCAUUAUAGAUGUUGACUAACAUCUUAUGAAUGAUAGAUGUUGACUUUAAAUGUUGAUUUCUUGUACAAUUAGGUGUUGAUGGGUGCUUUAUUAAGCUGAAUACUGGUGCUCAAAUCCUAUCUACCACUGGGGGAGAUGGAAAUAACAACAUAUUACCACUAGCAUUUGCUAUAGUUGGACAAGAGGACACAUCAAACUGGUGUUGGUUUCUACACCAAUUCAAGAUAUUUAGAGGAGGUGAAUAUGGAAAAUAUGUCCCUUACACAAUCAUGUUUGAUAGACAUAAGGUAUGCAUGCAUCACCAUUUUUAUAUUUAUGUUGUAGACUCAAUAAUCAAGUAUGUUGUAUUAUGUGAACAGGGGCUACUAAAUGCAGUAAAUCAAAUCUUUUCAAACUGCCAUCAAAGAUUUUUCCUUAGAUGCCUAUAUGCAAAUUUCCAGAAUGUCGGGUUUAGGGGGAAGAUCUUAAGAAAUGUAUGGAUAAUGUUAGCUAUGCUUAUAACCAACACAAGUAUAGCAUUGCAAUGAAUGAUUUGAAAAUGAGACCUAGGAAGCCUGGAAGUGGCAGAGUGGAAUACUAAAACACACAUGGGCUAGACAUGCUUUUGACACUAACUGCAAGACAGACUUAGUUGUUAACAACCUGUCAGAGGUGUUCAACAAGUACAUCUUAGAUUUUAGGAAAAAAAAUUCUCUUAGAACUAUGGUUGAUGGUGUUGGAAUUAUGCCCUAGAGGCAAUAAUAAAUAUGGUUAUUAUUAUAAUUCCUGUAUCAAGAUAAUAGUUUAUUGUCCAUGCUAUAAUUGUAUUGAAUGAAGACUCAUUUACAUGUGUGGACACAUAGACAAAACACCGUCCCUAGCAUGCCUCUAGUUGGCUAGCCAGUUGAUCAAUGAUAGUCAGUGUCUUCUGAUUAUGAACAAGGUGUUGUUGCUUGAUAACUGGAUCACGUCAUUGGGAGAAUCACGUGAUGGACUGGACCCAAACUAAUAGACAUAGCAUGUUGAUCGUGUCAUUUUGUUGCUACUGUUUUCUGCGUGUCAAGUAUUUAUUCCUAUGACCAUGAGAUCAUAUAACUCACUGACACCGGAGGAAUGCUUUGUGUGUAUCAAACGUCGCAACGUAACUGGGUGACUAUAAAGAUGCUCUACAGGUAUCUCCGAAGGUGUUAGUUGAGUUAGUAUGGAUCAGGACUGGGAUUUGUCACUCCGUGUGACGGAGAGGUAUCUCGGGGCCCACUCGGUAAUACAACAUCACACACAAGCCUUGCAAGCAAUGUAACUUAGUGUAAGUUGCGGGAUCUUGUAUUACGGAACGAGUAAAGAGACUUGCCGGUAAACGAGAUUGAAAUAGGUAUGCGGAUACUGACGAUCGAAUCUCGGGCAAGUAACAUACCGAAGGACAAAGGGAAUGACAUACGGGAUUAUACGAAUCCUUGGCACUGAGGUUCAAACGAUAAGAUCUUCGUAGAAUAUGUAGGAUCCAAUAUGGGCAUCCAGGUCCCGCUAUUGGAUAUUGACCGAGGAGUCUCUCGGGUCAUGUCUACAUAGUUCUCGAACCCGCAGGGUCUGCACACUUAAGGUUCGACGUUGUUUUAUGCGUAUUUGAGUUAUAUGGUUGGUUACCGAAUGUUGUUCGGAGUCCCGGAUGAGAUCACGGACGUCACGUGGGUUUCCAGAAUGGUCCGGAAACGAAGAUUGAUAUAUAGGAUGACCUCAUUUGAUUACCGGAAGGUUUUCGGAGUUACCGGGAAUGUACCGGGAAUGACGAAUGGGUUCCGGGAGUUCACCGGGGGGGCAACCCACCCCGGGGAAGCCCAUAGGCCUUUGGGGAGACACACCAGCCCUUAGUGGGCUGGUGGGACAGCCCACAAGUGGUCUAUGCGCCAAGAGAAGAAAAAUCAAGAGGAAAAGAAAAAAAAAGGAGGAGGUGGGAAGGGAGGAGGACUCCCUCCCACCAAACCUAGUCCAACUCGGUUUGGGGGGGGAGAGUCCUCCCCCUUGGCUCGGCCGACCCCCUUGAGGGUCCUUGGACCCCAAGGCAAGGCCCCCCUCCCUCCCACCUAUAUAUACGGAGGUUUUAGGGCUGAUUUGAGACGACUUUUCCACGGCAGCCCGACCACAUACCUCCACGGUUUUUCCUCUAGAUCGNNNNNNNNNNNNNNNNNNNNNNNNNNNNNNNNNNNNNNNNNNNNNNNNNNNNNNNNNNNNNNNNNNNNNNNNNNNNNNNNNNNNNNNNNNNNNNNNNNNNGUGGCAUCCGAGCCAGGUUUUCUAUGCGUAGAUUCUAUGCACGAGUAGAACACAAAAGUUGUGGGUGAUGAUUUGUCAAUUUGCUUGCCACUGCUAGUCUUAUUCUUUUCCCGUGGUAUUGUGGGAUGAAGCGGCCCGGACCGACUUUACACGUACGCUUACGUGAGACUGGUUCCACCGACAGACAUGCAUACCGUGCAUAAAGGUGGCUAGCGGGUGUCUGUCUCUCCUACUCUAGUCGGAUUGGAUUUGAUGAAAAGGGUCCUUAUGAAGGAUAAAUAGCUUUGGCAUAUCAUCGUUGUGGCUGUCACGUAGGUAAGAAGGCGUUCUUGCUAGAAACCCAAAUCAGUCACGUAAAACUUGCAACAACAAUUAGAGGACGUCUAACUUGUUUUUGCAGGGUUUGACAUGUGAUGUGAUAUGGCAAAAGUUGUGAUGUUGCAUGUAUGAUGUAUGAGAUGAUCAUGUUAUUGUAAUAGGUUUCACGACUUGCAUGUCGAUGAGUAUGACAACCGGCAUGAGCCAUAGGAGUUGUCUUAAUUUAUUGUAUGAGAUGCAACGCCAUGUGCUUACUACUUUUACUUCAUUGCUAACGGUUAGCUAUAGUAGUAGUGAUAGUAGUAGUUGGCGUGACGACUUCACGGAGACACAAUGAUGGAGAUCAUGGUGUCACGCCGGUGACGAUGAUGAUCAUGCGAUACCUGAAGAUGGAGAUCGAAAGAGCAAAGAUGAUAAUGGCCAUAUCAUGUCACUAUAUGAUUGCAUUGUGAUGUUUAUCAUGUUUUACAUCUUAUUGCUUAGAACGACGGUAGCAUAAUAAGAUGAUCCCUCUUAAAAUUUCGAGAACGUAUUCCCCUAAGUGUGCACAGUUGCAAAGGUUCGUUGUCUCGAAGCACCACGUGAUGAUCGGGUGUGAUAGAUUCUAACGUUCGCAUACAACGGGUGUAAGCCAGAUUUACACACGCGAAACACCUAGGUUGACUCGANNNNNNNNNNNNNNNNNNNNNNNNNNNNNNNNNNNNNNNNNNNNNNNNNNNNNNNNNNNNNNNNNNNNNNNNNNNNNNNNNNNNNNNNNNNNNNNNNNNNUUUUUUUGAGCUAAAUGGCCCAGAAAGWUGAAAAGACACUACAAMUAGAACUACUCGAAUAGGUUGAAAGUUGGCAUGGUAUCAUCAUUUCACCCACAUAGCAUGUACUAAAAAGUUGAGAGGGUAGCUGCAAAAACUGGAUGCACUUCGUGUACAAAUCACACAAUCUCUUUCGAAGUAUUAGGGUUUCUUACAAAAACUCAUGUGUUACAAAAGGGAUUUCAUUUUUUUGAACUUAUUUGAACUCAAGACCUUUUGUGUGUUCAAAAUGCACCAUUCAAGGCCACAUCAUCAAUUUUCAACACUUUCUGAGUUCUUUUGGUAUUUUUCAUGCAUUUACUGAUAUUUUGGAGCUAAAUGGCCUAGAAUUUGAAAAGCAUUGCAAAUGAACUCUGAAUAGGUUGGAAUUUGGCAUGGUAUCAUCAUUUCACCCACAUAGCAUGUUCUAAAAAGUUGAGAGGGUUGCGGCAAAAACUGGAUGCACUUUGUGUACAAAUCGGACAAUCUCUUUCGAAGUAUGAGGGUUUCUUACGAAAACUCAUCUGUUACAAAAGAGAUUUCAUUUUUUGAACUUAUUGGAACUCAAGACUUUUUGUGUGUUCAAAAUGCACCAUUCAAGGCUAAAUCAUCAAUAUUCAACACUUUCUGAGUUCAUUUGGUAUUUUUCAUGCAUUUACUGAUUUUUUUGAGCUAAAUGGCCUAGAAAUUGGAAAGCACUAAAAAUGAACUCUGAAUAGGUUGAAAGUUGGCAUCGUAUCAUCAUUUCACCUACAUAGCAUGUGCUAAAAAGUUGAGAGGGCUGCGGCAAAAACUGGAUGCACUUCGUGUACAAAUCAGACAAUCUAUUUCGAAGUAUCACGGUUUCUUACAAAAACUCAUGUGUUACAAAAGGGAUUUCAUUUUUUUGAACUUAUUUGAACUCAUUUUGUGUGUUCAAAAUGCAUCAUUCGAGGCCACAUCAUCAAUUUUCAACACUUUUUGAGUUCAUUUGGUAUUUUUCAUGCAUUUACUGAUUUUUUAGCUAAAUGGCCUAGAAAUUGAAAAGCACUACAAACGAACUAUGAAUAGGUUGGAAUUUGGCAUGGUAUCAUCAUUUCACCCACAUAGCAUGUUCUAAAAAGUAGAGAGGGUUGGGGUAAAAACUGGAUGCACUUCGUGUACAAAUCGGACAAUCUCUUUCGAAGUAUGAUGGUUUCUUACGAAAAUCAUCUGUUACAAAAGGGAUUUCAUUUUUUGAACUUAUUGGAACUCAAGACUUUUUGUGUGUUCAAAAUGCACCAUUCAAGGCUAAAUCAUCAAUAUUCAACACUUUUUGAGUCCAUUUGGUAUUUUUCAUGCAUUUACUGAUUUUUUUGAGCUAAAUGGCCAGAAAUUGAAAAGCACUACAAAUGAACUCUGAAUAGGUUGAAAAGUUGGAAUGGUAUCAUCAUUUCACCCACAUAGCAUGUGCUAAAAAUUUGAGAGGGUUGCGGCAAAAACUGGAUCCACUUCGUGUACAAAUCGGACAAUCUCUUUCGUAAGUAUUAGGGUUUCSUUACCGAAACUCAUACGUGUUUACAAAGGUUAUUACUAUUUUUGAACUCAAGACUUUUUGUGUGGUCAAAAUGCACCAUUCAAGGCCACAUCAUCAAUUUUCAACACUUUCCAAGUUCAUUUGGUAUUUUUCUAUGCAUUUACUUGAUUUUAUUUAGCUCAAUGGCCCAGAUAUUGAAAAACACUACAAAUGAACUCUGAAUAGGUUGAAAGUUGGCAUGGUAUCAUCAUUUCACCCACAUAGCAUGUGCUAAAAAGUUGAGAGGGUUGCGGCAAAAACUGGAUGAACUUCGUGUACAAAUCGGACAAUCUCUUUCGAAGUAUUAGGGUUUCUUACGAAAACUCAUCUGUUACAAAAGGGAUUUCUUUUUUUGAACUUAUUUGAACUCAAGAAUUUUUGUGUGUUCAAAAUGCACCAUUCAAGGCCUCAUCAUCAAUUUUCAACACUUUCUGAGUUCAGUUGGUAUUUUUCAUGCAUUUAUUGAUUUGUUUUGAGCUAAAUGGCCCAGAAAUUGAAAAGCACUACAAAUGAACUCUGAAUAGGUUGAAAGUUGGCAUGGUAUCAUCAUUUCACCCACAUAGCAUGUGAUAAAAAGUUGAGAGGGUUGCGGCAAAAACUGGAUGUACUUCGUGUACAAAUCGGACAAUCCCUUUCGAAGUAUGAGGGUUUCUUACGAAAACUCAUCUGUUGCAAAAGGGAUUUCAUCUUUUUGAACUUAUUUGAACCGAAUUUUUCGUUUUUCACUUUAUUUAUUUUAUUUUGUGAAUAAAUUUACUAAAAAUUAGAUUUUUGAGUUAUUCUUUUUUCUGCUAUUUAAUAUUACUGUGUUUUUAUCAUUAUAUUCAAUUUGGUAGGUUUUAGGUUAUUUUAAAUGACUGUUUUAAUAAAAAAAACAGAUCUCUUAUAAAAGGGAUUUCAUUUUUUGAACUUAUUUGAACUGAAGACUUUUUGUAUAUAUAUGUGGUCGAAAUGCAUGAUACGAUGAAGUUAUAAAGGUCUAAACCGUUCAAAAGUAGCAAAUGAAGUUAGAAAGGGCUAAACCAUUCAAAUUUGGAAACUAUAAUGGCACAAACAGAAACUAGACAUAUAUAAAUUGGUCCAAGCAGUACAUAAUUAUACUAGUCCAAACAGUACAUAAUAUAGCUAGCAUAUAUAUAUAUACAAGUGUUCGCCGUUGUGAACACUACUCGUGUGAAUCGUCUGAAUCAGAAUGUCCACCUUGUCUCAGGUGACGCUGGCCAUAGUUGACGACUCGAAUCUUGUGGUACAACUCGUAUGAAACGUAUGCAUCUUUUGCUGCAUACUCAAUGUUGAUACGGUCAAGUGGGUUCCUCUCCCAAAGUAUGUGCUGAGACUUUGGGAAUUUGGUCUUCAUAUCACCAUACUCCUCGUCAAUUAAGGCGACUGCCAUAUGAGCCAUCAAAGUCCUGUCAUGUCGAAGCCUGAAUUUCUGUUGGAGAUCAAUGAGGCAAUCAGCUAGUAUCUCAAUAUCGAAGUUGUGCCUCAUCUUCAGCUUGUCGUUCCUUAUGUCAACGGUAGCAAAACUGAUGCCGCUGCGAAGGAAGUCCAUGAGUUCUGGACAAUGCUUGUCACUACUGCAACAACAACAAAUUUAAAUUGAACAAAUGUUACAUACUGCUGCAACAAGGAAAAAUGUUUCACUACAACUAAAGAAAAAUUAUCUUUAGGAUUCAAAUGGAACAUAUUGCUAUUCUAUGCAAUUUUCAUNNNNNNNNNNNNNNNNNNNNNNNNNNNNNNNNNNNNNNNNNNNNNNNNNNNNNNNNNNNNNNNNNNNNNNNNNNNNNNNNNNNNNNNNNNNNNNNNNNNNAGGAGAAUGAAGUUUCAUUCCUUGGUGCUCUGUUCCAGAGCGCAGCCAAAACGAAKWGAGAWCAAGGAACGUCUGGUUGUUGAUGAGGUGGUGAAGCACAACAUGGAUGAGACUGCUGCAGUGGAGGAGAAUGAAGUUCCAUUCCUUGGUGCUCUGUUCCAGAGCGCAGCCAAAACCAAUGAGAUCAAGGAACGUCUGGUUGUUGAUGAGGUGGUGAAGCACAACAUGGAUGAGACUGCUGCAGAGGAGGAGAAUGAAGUUCCAUUCCUUGGUGCUCUGUUCCAGAGCGCAGCCAAAACCAGCGCGGCCAAGAAAGAUCUGGCUGUUGAAGAGGAUGCAAAUGAGGUUUCAGUCUUUGUUGAUAUGGCUGUUGAAGAGGAGAAUGAAGAGCCAUUCCUUGGUGCUUUGUUUCAGAGCGCAGCCAAAACAAAUGACCACAAGGAUGAGCCUGCUGAAGAGGAGGACAACGAAAUGUCAUUCCUUGGUGCUCUGUUGCAGAGCACAGCCAAGACCAACGAGAACAAGGAUCAUCUGAUUAUUGGUGAGGUGCAGCAUGAAGAGCCUGUUGAAGAGAAGGAAGACGAUCUUGCUGUUGAUGAGCCUGUUGAAGAGGAGAAGGAAGUAGCCACCUUUGGUGCUCUGCUUGAGAGCGCAGCCAAGGCCGAUGAAGAUAUGAUUGUUGAUGAGGUGCAGCAAAGCACAGAAGAGCCAAAGAACGAGAUUGUUGAGGAAUCGGUCACCAUCAACCUCCUGUCGCAAGCCACUGUAACAGUAACAGACGGCGAGAUUGCGGCCAAGGAUGGCUUCACCUGUGAGCUGACUGAUGUGGCCGUUGAGGUGGACGACGGCAGAGUGGUGACCGCCGACGAUAUGCCACACAGCCCAGCUAUAAUGUUUAAGGGUGCCGUGCAAGUGGUCACCAUCGAGAACCUGUCGCAAGCCACAGUGACUGACGAUGAGGGUUCAGUCAAGGGCCUGGCAAGUGUGUCAGUUGAAGAGGAUGCAGUGGUGGCCACCAUGGAUGAGAAAGUGGAGGAGGUGCUCGUCGUCGACUACCUGUCGUCGCAAGCCAUGGUGACUGAUGACGAAUGGGCAGCCAGAGACAAGUGUGCCCAGGAAGUGGUCACCGUCGAUUACCUGUCGCAGGCCACAGUGACAGACGACGAGUGGGCAGUCAAGGAGGGCACUUCCGCUGGCGACCACUCGCCGGUGUUUGACGCCGCCGGAGACAGCAGCGGCCACGUCAUUUCGCCUCUGUUUGCAGGCCUGUUCGAGGAUGCCACAAAGUUCCUGUCCAUGGACUCGACCACCCUGGAGGCAACAACGGUGCCUGAAGCUGCUUCUGAGAAAAAGGCUACUGUACCUGCUGUUGCAAUGGGAAAAGAGAAGGAAGUGAAGGACCAAGGCAACGAGUCUGAAGCGCUGGGCAGCCUGAGCCUAAGGAAGCUUAGGAUCCAGCUCAAGGAGAAGGCACAGGACCUGGAGAAGCCAGUGGAACGAUUUUCCAUUCACCCAAUUUUUGAAGUGAGGGAAGGGAAGAAGCCAUUGGACACGCUGAGCCUGAGGAGGCUCAGGCUGAAGCUCAAGGAGAAGCUGAACGCUCAGAAGGUAAUUAACCACCACCAAAUCGCCUCCCUCUUCUUCUAUGUGCUACUGUAAUGUAGAUAUGCUAAUUUUGUGUGUGCUGAUGAUGUUGGCGUUUGAAAUGACUGCAGAACAGAGAGCAAACUAGGAUGCCCCUGGGCAGGCUGGACGAGAACUCGGCGUGCAAGUCGCAGAAGAGGGAGCACAACAGGGUGCCCCUCGGCAGGCUGGACGACAACUCUGCGUCGAAAACGCAGAACAGAGAGCGGAGCAGGGUACGCCUUGGCAGGCUCGACGAGAACGCGUGCUGAUGAUUACACGGCAUCAGAUUUUUUAUCUGACUUGGAUGCUCACUACUGAAGAUUUGGUUGUGAAACCAUGGUUUCUCCAACCCAACCAGCCCCUGAUCUAACUUAUCUGUGUGGGUUCUUGUGCUGUUACUUUGCACGUUCGCCGGCAGAGCGUGAGAGGAUUUGGCUGUAUUUUUUAGUCGUGUUCUCAACUUGUAUCAGAGUGAUGAUUGUUUAGCUUUAAUAACUUCUAGGUGGUGGCCUCGUGUCACUUACAAUAACAGAGUGUUUGUUGCUUAUCUUGUCUCGGUGUUUGUCUGCGUAUCCACUUUCAAUUCAAAAGAUGGAAGUAAUGGUGUAUCUGUCUUUGUUACUGGUAGAUCAUGGAUGUUCGUGUGUGGAGACAGAAGUAUUGAAACCGCAGACUCAACAAAGGAUGUUCGUGUGACUCAACAAGGCGAGUAGGUUCAGUGCAGACAUGCAUGGAGAUCGUUUCUUAUUUCUUAUUUUGAGUCACAGAGCUGAAAAAAAGGGCAAAAAAAACACUUUUGAAACGAAGCACAUUGAACCGAAGUGCUGUCUGAUCCAACAAAUUCUUUGGAUCCCUGAAGAACUCUGAAACUGUCGAAUUGCACUGUAACUAACUGAAGAAAACACUUUUGGGACACAGCCGCACAGACCUCAAACACAGCUCGAACCGGCAUCUUUUUUUUUCGUAACCAGGCGUUUCUUUCCCUUUCCCUAUUACUUUCUAUAACGGUAAAAGUAACUAACUAGUUUGUUAGACCGACUGACCACGAAAGAAGAGGAAGGGAAAAAGGAACGAGUACNNNNNNNNNNNNNNNNNNNNNNNNNNNNNNNNNNNNNNNNNNNNNNNNNNNNNNNNNNNNNNNNNNNNNNNNNNNNNNNNNNNNNNNNNNNNNNNNNNNNCUCCUCUCCUCUCCUCUCCUCUCCUCCUCCUCCUCUCUCCUCCUCCUCCUCCUCCUCCUCCUCCUCCUCUCCUCUCCUCCUCCCUCCCGUACCCUCCGUCCCUCCCUCUCCUCCUCCUCCUCUCCUCCUCCUCCUCCUCCUCCUCCNCUCCUCCUCUCUCUCCCCCUCCUCUCUCUCCUCCCUCCUCUCGCUCCGUCCCUCCCUCCCGUCCCUCCCUCCUCUCUCUCUCUCUCAAAUUGUUUGAUGCAUGUCAUAUAUUUAGCCCACAGAUACUUGAGGUGAUAUUGACGUAUCUAGGUGUCAUUAGGGUUUAUUGAUAUGUAUCAAUGGUGUUAUUUUAGUAUGAACUCUUGAAUAGAUCGAUCGGAAAGGAUAACUUGUUAUUCUAGUACGAACUCUUGAAAAGAUUGAUCGAAAAGAAUAACUUUGAGGUAGUUUUGUACCCUACGAACAAUUUCUUCUUAUGUUCUCCGCUAGAUAGGAACUUUGGAGUGAUUCUUUAUCGCAUGUUGAGGGAUUGUUAUGUGAUCUAGUUAUAUUAGCAUUGUUGAGAGAUUGCACUAGCGAAAGUAUGGACCCUAAGCCUCAUUUUCAAGCAUUGCAAUACCGUUUGUGCUACGUUUUAUGAAUUGCUACUUUGCUGUAUUUAUUUGUUCUGACUAUAAGAAUAUAUUUCUACCAUCCAUAUUACACUUGUAUCACCAUAUCUUCGCCGAACUAGUGCACCUAUACAAUUUAUCAUCGUAUUGGGUGUGUUGGGGACACAAGAGACUCUUUGUUAUUUGGUUGCAAGGUUGUUUGGGAGAGACCAUCUUCAUCCUACGCCUCCCAUGGAUUGAUAAACCUUAGGCCAUUCACUUGAGGGAAAUUUGCUACUCUCCUACAAAACUCUGCGCUUGGAGGCCCAACACGAGUCUACAUUAACAAGUUGUGUAGUAGACAUCAAACCACACCCGCCAUGAACUUGAGUUCCAAUGAGUGACAACCUCUCUGGUGAACAGAAGUAGGAGCCAUCCACCAUUGCAGCCAUGUAGCAGGCUCGUCGAGGAUGGCUUGCUUGCAAGCUCUAUGGCGGGCAACAACGCCAAUGACACAAUGAAGGAGGUGACGACAACGAUCCGGCGCCAUUGCCCUUGAAACCAUGGUUGGAGCGUCGUUUUAGCUCAAAAUUCCCUAAAAACGGUUAUGUGCUAUUGUAGGUGUGCGAUUGGAGAUCUCCAAACACGCAAAAAUCAUAGCUAAGGCCAACUCCAACGCACGGCCCCAAAUGUACAUCCAUUUUUCCCGAUUUCAUCCGUUUAGGGGCGACAAUGAGGUCGUGUUCGUCUGGAUUUGUGGAUGCAUUGGGCGUGCAUCAACGACUGACCACAUAUUCGGUCGCAUCUGGUUCGCGUGCAUGCAAGUUUGAAAACAACAAAAGAUGUAGCUAAAUGGUAGCGGCCAUAGUUUACGCCAGCGACUGCGGUUCACACCAGUUCAUAUCGACCGACAAUAAAGCUAGCGACCUACAUAAUAGUCACCCUCCAGUUUCAUGCCGGCAACAAAGCCAGUGGUCGAUACACUGACCAACCUUCAAAAUGGAUAUGUUUUUGACGCGGCAACAAAGCCAGCGGCCAGCACAAGAGCCAGCCUUCAAAAUGAACAAGUGUUUGGCGCUGACAACAAAGACAAGGACAAUCACACUGGACAAACUUCAAACGAUCGACCAUAGUCCACGGCCGAGGUCUCUCCUAGUUCAAGCCGUCGCAGGCAAACACCUCUUUCUUCCGGUUCGUGAACCAAGCCUUCCUCUCUGGUGACAUGUGGUUCUUGUCGACGCUGAUGAUCGCGAGUGCCACCCCUUUUGCUUUGGUGUCGUCAUUGGUUGCCUCGAUCUCGAGCUUCUUGAGUUCCAAGGCCUCCUCGAUGUCUAGCUUCCUCCUCUUCGCGGCCUCCUCCAUGUGAAGCUUCUUCGUUCGGAGGUCUAGGUAUAUCUUCAUUUUCUCCUCAUUUCCUUUGCUCCUCCUCUCCUUCCUCACUUCCUUUUGACGCAUCAUGUUCUUCAAAGUCCCUUGCAAGGCCAUGGAAGACGCAUCACUCUUUUCGUCGCCCUUCAAGCUUGUCUUGCCCCUCGUCCUGUUGAGCAAGUCUCCCUCAUCAACCAUGAUCGCCUCCCUCCUUUCUUCUUGCGAGCGGCAUAUUGAUAAUUUGAACUUGGGGCAAUUAAUCAUUGGUGAGUGACCGACAAUGCAUGAGAUUAAAUGGCUUGUUCUUGUGUCGGGCCUUGAAGGCUUCCAAAGAUUAAAAUGCCUACACAAUAAAAGAUGCGACCGCAAUUGUGAGAUGGAAGGACACAAUAUGCAUGAAAAAUGGCAUGCCAAUAUGAAAGGACACAAGAUGAAAAAAACGAGAGGUUCAUACCAAGUCAUCAGUGCCUAGGCCACUCACGGGGCGGGCUUCCAUGCUCCCAAGUGCGGGACAAUACGUAUUGCACUCUUGUUGAAUAAACCCCCGUAUCUUUCGGAUUGAGUUGAUGCUGCGGGUGAUCGCAAAUUGGUAGGGGGAAAACUUCCUUCGCUAAUUAAAGGUUUUGUGAACUCUCGUCCAAAAGGGAGAUCCUUUUUCUCGGCACCUUACAUCGGAUCUUGGCCUAUCUCCAUCCAACUCUUGCAAAUUAAAUUGUCCUCCGCUUAGGUGAAUAAUCCCGUGUGAAUACUUUGCCUCCUCUUUUGUGCCUCCUUUUUGGGUGAGCUCAUUGAUAAAGACCAAUGACUCCUCUGUAAUGUCGACUUGUUCUUUCUCAUCUUCAGAAUACAAGUCAUCAUCUUCAUGCCAUGAGUUGCCAUGAUCGUCCUCAUCUUUAUCAUGGUCGGCGAAUUGAGUGUCACCAUAUUGGUCGCGGUCGUCCUGGCUUUGGGCCGCGUCGGGAUCGAAAGCUUGGCCUUAGCCUUUGACAUGGAAGUCCUCGCCAUGACCCUCGAAGAUGACGUUCUUCAUGAACAAUGCAUGGUCAGGGACGUCGGCCUGGUGGCGCGCUGUCGCCUCGGUGGUGUAGUAGGUAGCGGCCUUCUUCUCCGCCACCAGUUUCCGCAGGUGCCUCGUGUUGGCCGAUUCGACGUCGAGCUUUGCAAGCUUCACUGCCGUGAGCUAAGACCGCGACUUCUUUGUAGCCUUCUUCUUUGCUGCGGGGCACGCAGUCAUGCCGGGUCGUCGGGAUUCGUCGGCCCGCCGGCCAUGAAGGAGGGAGGGGAGGGGAGGGGAGGGGUGGGGGUGGGGGAGGGUUUUGGGCGAAAUGAGUGAAAGGCGGGUGUGUCCCCGACGAACGGUCGAGAGGGGGACAAGGGUGCGCGUCUCAACCAUCCGCGCGCUGUCCGUUUCGAGGCAAGCACGGUUAAAUUUUGGACCCGGAAUGAAUCGAAAACGAUGCGUCCGGGCCAUUUGGGUUCGUGCGUUGGAGUUGCGCUAAGACGUAGGAAACUGAAUCAUGAGCACCAUCUUUAUUGAUAAAUGAAUGUCAACACCGGAUUCCACAUGACUGUGGAAUGUCGAUGUCGAUGCACUCCCACAACGCUGGAUCAUGAACACCAUCUUUAUUCAUAAAUGUCGACCUGCGGGUGGGUCUCGGCCACAGAGCAAUUCAGAGCAUGAGACACGUUGAUCAAACACAAGUCCAAAUAAAAUACAGUGACAUUAUAUUCAGGUCCCCGUCAGUACAGAAUGCCUGAACCAACCAAAUUCAGUGGCGAAGACUGCUUGCAAGUUGCACCCCCAAACCAACCCCCAAAGGAUGGGAGCACACAUCACAGCCACCCACACCGCUGCCAUCGUCAUCCCGUAUUUUCGGUUUUUAUUUGCUCGUUCUUGUUCUGAACUUGUAUCAGUUGUAUCUGAAUCUAUCCAUGAUAUCUGUUCUCAAAGUUGUGGAAGAAGAGCCACGGUUCGUGAAAAACCAGUGAGCUAUUAUCAUCCCAGACUUAUAAUUUAUAAAUGAUGACAUGAUAUGCGAUGGAUAGUUUUGGUUUGCAUCCUGCAUCUGCGUCGACAGGGACUUGAAUAAUACCCUGUAACCGAAUUGCAUCUGGCCGGUGUUUGAUCAACGUGGCUCAUGCCAUGAACCAUUGUGCCAUCUGCCAGGCAGCAUUUCAGAACAAAUAUGGACCAUAUGGUGUCCAUGACCCAGCAGGGUGGGGCGCCUUCGACGUCGAGGGUCAAUCGGAUUCCCACCAGCGUUGGCUGCGAUUCAUUCUGGACGGUGUUCAUGUGGAUUCAUGCUCUGUCAGGUAUUCAGUGCUGACAGGGACAUGAACACAACGUGACUGAAUUUUAUCCGGGCGAUGCUUCAUCAACGUGUCUCUCAUGCUCUGAAUUGUUCCGUGGCCCAGGUCCGUCUGCCGGUCAGAAUUUCUGAAUAAAUAUGGUGUUCGUGAUUCAGCAGUGUGGGGGCGCCUCGACGUCGACAUUCGACUGUCAUGUGGAAUCCUGUGUUGAGGUUCAAUUCAGCUACUUUUGGGAAUUUUGUGUGCAGACCUUUUGCCUAAAAAGAAAGAUUCUGAAUCCUUAGGUGAUGUCUGUUCUGAAGGUAGUUGAAGAGGAGCAACAGUGAACUUGUCAUUGCUGAUACCAAAAUAUACUUUUUUUGCCAAUGCAAUGAGGAGAUUAUAAACACUGGCACGAAUAUGUAAUUGAUGGUUUGACAAAGCAACGGAGCCAGGGGCGGCACUGGCACAAAUAUGUAAUUGAUGAUCUAACGGUCAAGAUACAAACGAGAGCUUUUAUUUGUCAAUAAAACGAGCAUGUGUCGUGCCUUUUUAUUGCCGUGAAGAUCCUGACCAACACAGAUGAUGCUAUUUUGGGGGAAUUUGGGGGUUUCCCUAUUUUUGGUAGUUUUGGAGUUUAUAACUCAGCUCGCACCGAUGUGGCUAGGGUACACUGAGGGAUCAAAGUCUGAAGGCAUAGCUACUAGCUAAAGCAAAGCAGGCUGAAGGUAAAGCGCGAAAACGACGACCCGGAAAGGUAAUUGAUUAUGGACCGUCAGAUGAUGGUUCGAGCUAUGUUCAAUUGUGAGAUUGGGGCUUUUCCUAUUAAAUACNNNNNNNNNNNNNNNNNNNNNNNNNNNNNNNNNNNNNNNNNNNNNNNNNNNNNNNNNNNNNNNNNNNNNNNNNNNNNNNNNNNNNNNNNNNNNNNNNNNNUAAUAUGAAAUAUAAAACUAAAAUACAUCUAAAACUCAUCUUUGACUCACCGGGGCCGAUGGGCUCGGGGCGGCGGCGAUGACGGGCUCGGGGGCGGCGACGACGACGAUGAGCUCGGGUGCGACGACGACGGGCUCGAGGGCGACGUCGACGGGCUCGGGGGCGAUGACGACGGCCUCGGGGCGGCAUCGGCGGCAUGCUCGGGGCAGUGAUGAUGACGGGCUCGGAGACGGCGACGACGACGAGGAGGACUGGAUCGGGGGCGGCGACGACGACGUGCUCGGGGGCGGCAACGACGACGGGCUCGUGGACGGCGGCGAAGACGAGGAGGACUGGAUCGGGGCAGCGGCGACAACGAGGAGGAGGAUGACCUCGGGGUGGCGGCGAUGACGAGGAGGAUGACGGGCUCGGGACGUCGGCGACGACGAGGAGGACGGGCUUCGGGGGAAAAUGGGAGAGUUUGGGGGAAAUUCGACAACUCCCGCCUAUAUGCAAAAACUAGUGGUCCCGGCACAAACCGGGACCAAUGCACCCCUUUCGUCCCAGUUGGUGCCUCAAACCGGGACUAAAGGCCAAUUUCUAGCAGCCCAAACGGCGGGAAGAAGAGACCUUUAGUCCCGGUUGGUGCCAAUAACCGACACUAAAGGGGGUAUUUCGUGUCGGUUGGUGGCACAAACCGGGACUAAAGGCCUGUCCCUGCCACAGCCGCGGUGCGGUUGGAUGUUUAGUCCCACCUCGCUAGCCGAGAGAGCCCGGGAGUGGUUUAUAAGCGCUGGUGCGCACACCCUCUCGAGCUCCUCUCAACUGCAGGCUUCCGGGCCUAACUUGUCACUACCUGUGGGCCUACUAGACCUUCUGCGGGCCUGAAUUCUGGCCCAACACUCUCAUUGGGUUUCUAGUCGUAUUCAUGCCGUGGUGGCCUAGUAGGUGGCAUUUUUUUAAAUCUAGUUUUUAUGUUUCGUUUUUUACUUUACUUAUUUAAUUCUGUGACUAACUUUACUAAAAAAUAGAUUUUUGAGUGAUUCUUUUUCCUGCUAUUUAAUAUUACUGUAUUUUUAUCAUUAUAUUCAAUUUGGUACGUUUUAGGUUAUUUUAUCUCAUUAUUUUAAUAAAAACAAAUAUGUUACAAAAGGGAUUUCAUUUUUUGAACUUAUUUGAACUCAAGACUUUUUGUGUGUUCAAAAUGCACCAUUCAAGACCACAUCAUCAAUUUUCAACACUUUGUGAGUUCAUUUUGUAUUUUUCAUGCAUUUACUCAUUUGUUUGAGCUAAAGGGCCUAGAAGUUGAAAAGCACUGCAAAUGAACUCCGAAUAGGUUGAAAGUUGGCAUGGUAUCAUCAUUUCACCCACAUAGCAUGUGUUAAAAAGUUUAGAGGGUUGGCGGCAAAAACURGGAUGCACUUCGUGUACAAAUCGGACAAUCUCUUUCGAAGUAUGAGGGCUUCUUACAAAAACUCAUCUAUUACAAAAGGGAUUUCAUGUUUUCGAACUUAUUUGAAAUCAAGACUUUUUGUGUGUUCACAAUGCAUCAUUCAAGGUCACAUCAUCAAUUUUCAACACUUUCCGAGUUCAUUUCGUAUUUUUCAUGCAUUUACUGAUUUUUUUGAGCUAAAUGGCCCAGAAAAUGAAAAGCACUACWAAAUGAACUCUGAAUAGGUUGAAAGUUGGCAUGGUAUCAUCAUUUCACCCACAUAGCAUGUACUAAAAGUUGAGAGGGUAGCUGACAAAACUAGNUGCUACUUCGUUGUAACNNNNNNNNNNNNNNNNNNNNNNNNNNNNNNNNNNNNNNNNNNNNNNNNNNNNNNNNNNNNNNNNNNNNNNNNNNNNNNNNNNNNNNNNNNNNNNNNNNNNGGACACGAGUUAUUUUUUCUACAAUCUUCCAAAUCAAUUUUCUGGUACUGUUUAAUUCUUGCCUAAUUCUUCCCGAAUCAAUUUCAAUUCUUUAAUUCUUGACUAAUUCGAUGAUUGAUUGCAUUCAGCUGUCGCCUCUGAUAUGGAAACUGCAGAAAUGGAAGAAGAUUCCACGAAUCCUCAGAACGAGGAGCACACCGAGGUUGAGGAACAGAGCCAGGACGGCCAAGGUGAGUCGGCCGGAUCCCUCGACUUCAAGUUGAUGCGUGCCCCAAGUCUUGUCCCCAACCAUGUGUCUGAUUCUCAGAUCUGUAAUCGCAGGGGCAGUAGCCGCGGAUACACCAGUACAAGCGCAAGAAGAACCACCAGUGGAGAAGGAGGCUGUGGGGCGGCGAGGCGCCAUACGACGCGCACGGCCCGAGCCUGUGGCGUCUCCGGCCGCGAGGAAAAAGGCUGCAACAAGUAAGACCGUGACAUGGGCUGAUGCUCCGGCUGCGGAGGCCGUGCCGGCUCGGGCCACUCGUGGCGCUCGGAGCCAGAGCACGGUGGCUCAGGAGGCGCCCAAGGGAAGACGGUCGUCGAGGAAGACUGCUGCGCAGCAGGAAGAAGAAGGGGAAGGCCAGCAAGGUAAGAACAGCUUCGUUUCUUCAAUCAAGUCAAUUUGCUUGCGAAUUACAGUAUAUUGAUUUGUCGCCGGAUGCAAAUUUUGUUUGGGACCAGCCGUUGUCUCUGAUGCGAAAGCUGCUGCGCCUGCGCCGGUUUCCUCGGACGAAGCAGCUGCCGAUGCUGCAGAAAUGGAGGCAGAAGCCAUGAAUCCGCUGAACCAGGUUGAGGAAGAAGAGACACGGGUGGAGGAGGAGGAGAAAUCGCCUGCCAUUGGCGUGGGCCGGCACGGUGCCCGCGGGCGCGCACGGGCAGAGCCUGUGGCGGCUCCGGCUACGAGGAAAAGGGCCGGAGCGAAGCAAGACCGAGACAGAGGAGGCGCCGGCGGAGGCCAUGCCGGCGNNNNNNNNNNNNNNNNNNNNNNNNNNNNNNNNNNNNNNNNNNNNNNNNNNNNNNNNNNNNNNNNNNNNNNNNNNNNNNNNNNNNNNNNNNNNNNNNNNNNAUAGGCUGGGAAGGGGUUUGAGGGUUGGACCUCUAUUUUUUUUACGGGUUUAAGGGUUUAAGGGUUCUAGUCUACGCCGUUUUUUCGAUGAAAACUGUAAAAAAAAGCGGUUAUUUUUAAGGGUUUGAGGGUUUGAGGGUUCUACUAGAGAUGCUCUAACAAAUCAAAAACUGAAAGUUCUUGUUUCCCUCACUAACAAAUUCAGAACCAAUGAAUCCUCAUACUGCUACUUUAUUUGUUUUAACUUGAUGUUUGUUUCAGUAAGUUCUAGUCCAUGCUCUCUGUGAGCUCCAACAGUAGUAUUCUUCAUGUGGUACAGUUCAUCAUUGAAAUUAAAUCCUAGUGUUGUCAACAGUGCAUAAAUAUUCAGAUAUGUGACAUCUGAGCUGCAAAUUUUCCUGUCCAAAUUAUGCCCAACAUCAAAGUGAAUACUUACAUCCCAUAUAGCAUCAUCUAACCUAUAAGACACGACAAAAUUUAAUUUUUUCAGUGCUUUAUUUGAACCUAUCCCUCUCAUUUGAACAUGACAAAAGAAAAAUGGAUGAUGGACUUACAACACUCCACCUGCUGCACUGGUCUAGUGAUGGCUUGUGGUGGGGUUGGCCACCCACAUCUUAGCGAGCCACACCCGUUGCUCCAUGGACACGGGCGCCUCCUCCUCUUCUUCCUAGUCAUCGACGCAGAAGGACGAACUCGAUCCAUCCAAACCCACAUGGUCAUCGCUCCCGAGGCGAGGAAGGUCGCCAUAGCCUCCCACGACACCGCCGCCAUCGGGGAUCACUGUAGCCAUCACGUGAGAUCCAUGGGGAGAGAGGAUAGGGAGAGGGGAUAAUGAGAUCUAGGGUUCGUGGGGUUCAAGCUUAGUCCGACUGAGCCCACUAGGACCGACCUCGCCCGCCUCGUCCUAGUCAGCGCACCGGCAUGCGUUGAUUGACCAACGUGGCGCCCGACAGGUGGGACCAUGAUGCUAGAUACAUGGUAAAUACACGGUUAUACAACUGCCAGUCAAUUUGUAAUGAUUAGGCCGAAUAGUGGUACUGUACUACGACAUGCAUUAACUGUGGUACUGAUUCCUUACAUGGUGUAGAAGAGUGGUAUCUCCAUGCAAUUAACUCCAACGGGGCAGUGAGAGGGUUGGAAGAACUAUAUUCCCACACUAAGGCCACACAGUCACCUCGCCAAUCCAUACCAAAUACAAUGACUUCCUAGAGUAAAACAGAAAACAUCACUCCCGUUGCUGCAUGCUAGGUACGAGUUUGAUGUCGAACUCAUGGAAUGGUCUGGACAAACAUUUCCCCCAAAACCGAAAGCAAAGUGAGGGGGCUUUGCGAGUAUCUAGACCACUCCUACACACUCGUUUGACAACCUAGUCCCACCCGAAACCAUCCCCCUCGCCCUUUUGCAUGCAAAGUAGUUGUCGUGCUUUUAGGCCGGCCAACGUUACUGCAGAGCGUCGGCGCCACAUUCAUGUUUGUCCAGAGCGGACACAAACUUUCACUCGAGACAGUAUUGAAGCGGCGUGCCGCCCAUGCCGUGUUCUGGUGUAUGCGCCUUCUCUCCGCAUGCAAAUUCUAGCCGUGUGUCCGCCUACUGGUAUUACACAAGCACGGUUUCCGAGAAACCCACUCCGGCAGUCGCAUGCGAACGCCACACGCCUAUUUGCCGACAUUAAACACCUCGCCGCUUUGCAUGGCCGUCGCGCGCUAUUUAUACGUGGCCACGCGCAGCAAGAGCUGCAUUUCACCUCCGGACCAUGAUACAUCUCCAACAUAUCUAUAAUUUUUUAUUGUUCCAUGGUGUUAUAUUAUCAUUCUUGGAUGUUUUACAAUCAUUUUAUAGCAACAUUAUAUCAUUUUUUGGGACUAACCUAUUGACAUAGUGCUCAGUGCCUGGUGUUGUUUUUUGCUUGUUUUUUUACUUUGUGGGAAAUCUAUAUCGAACGGAGUCCAAAUGUCACAAAAAAAUGNGAUUUUUNUUNCCACGAAGAACAUCCGACGGACCGAAACGGAAAGGAAAAAUACAGAGGAAGGGCCGAACGGACGUACCCAACCUAAGGCGACCACGGGNNNNNNNNNNNNNNNNNNNNNNNNNNNNNNNNNNNNNNNNNNNNNNNNNNNNNNNNNNNNNNNNNNNNNNNNNNNNNNNNNNNNNNNNNNNNNNNNNNNNGGACCUAACCUAUGACAUAGUGCUCAGUCGCSUGGUGUUGUUUUUUGCUUGUUUUUUUACUUUGUGGGAAAUCUAUAUCGAACGGAGUCCAAAUGUCACAAAAAAAUUGGAGAUUUUUUUCUUGCCCAGAAGACAUCCGAGGACCAAGGAAGAAAAUCAGAGGAGGCCAAGGCUACCCACUAGGCACCAGGGUGAGCCUUCCCCCCGUGGUGCGGCCUGGUACCUAGUGGGCACCUCAUGGCCCAUCGUGGCAUGAUUCCAACGCCAAAAAAUCUUAUAAAUAAAGAAACCUCCAGAAAUAACCCUAGAUGAGAAGUUCCACCGCCGCAAGCUUCUGUAGCCACGAAAAACUAAUCGGGAGCCCGUUCCGCCACCCUGCUGGAGGGGAGAUCAUCUCCGUUGGCCAUCUUCAUCAUCCCGAUGGAGGCCGGGAGUAGUCCACCCUCGGGGUUGAGGGUUUGUACCAAUAGCUAUGUGUUUAAUAUCUCUCUCUCUCCCUCCCUCUCNNNNNNNNNNNNNNNNNNNNNNNNNNNNNNNNNNNNNNNNNNNNNNNNNNNNNNNNNNNNNNNNNNNNNNNNNNNNNNNNNNNNNNNNNNNNNNNNNNNNUCUCUUCUUUCGUGCUUCUUCUUCCUCUGUAUCUCCUCCUCCUCCUCUUGUUUCUUUCUUUUCUCUUCUUCCUCCUCCUCUCGCUUCUUCUUCUCCUCGUCCUCCUCCUCUCGCUUCUUCUUCUCCUCGUCCUCCUUCCUUUUAUCUUCUUCCUCCUCCUGCUUCUUCUUGGCCGCCUCCGCCUCCUCCGCCUCCUGCUUCUUCCUCUCCUCCGCCUCCUGCUUCUUGGUCUUCUUCUUCUUUGGUGGGCGCCCGCGCCCGCGCCGCCCGGUUGCCGCCUUCCUCUUUCCUYCCUCCUCCKUUCUCGCUGUCCACCAGUAAGAUGACCUCCAGCGAGAUCUCUUCCUUCUGCUUCUUCUUCCUCUGUUUCUCCUCCUCCUCCUCCUGCUUCCUUUUCUCUUCUGCCUCCUCCUCUCUCUUCUUCUUCUCCUCCUCCUCCUUCCUUUUCUCUUCUUCCUCCUCCUGCUUCUUCUUGGCCGCCUCCGCUUCCUGCUUCUUCCUCUCCUCCGCCUCCUGCUUCUUGGUCUUCUUCUUCUUUACCUCCUCCACGACCGCCUGAACGGCCGGCUUGGCCACUUCGGCGACCGGCUGGUCGACGUACUCCUCGAUCCCGUCGACCUGCAAGGACAAAAAACGCGCGAUUCAGUCAAAUCAGCCCACGGCGACCCAGAUCUGUCGCGAGAGGGCGAUUCAAAAGACCAAGAACUUACCGCGGGGAGCGCGGCGAGGGCGUCGGCGAUGGCGGCGUUGCUGAGGUUGGCGCGUACGCCGUUGCGCUUGGCCAGGGCCUGGAGGUCGCGGCGGGGGAGCGCGUGGAAGUCCAUGGUCGCCGGCGGCCGGGUCCGUCUCCUACUACCUUUACCUACCUACCUCUCUCCUCUCCUCGGCCCGCCGCCUCGGUCUCUGAAAUCUUUGGUGGAGCGACUGUGCGGAGAUGCGAUUGGGAAACCGGAGGAAUGGAGCGUCGGGGCUGGAUUUAAAGGGGGAAAAGUUCGGAUUUUGAAUUCGGGGCAGGCCGACCGUUGGACGGGUUGGAGCGUCCCUCGGCCUCUCGUCUCGUCUCCCUGCCGACCGUUGGGGGUUGGAGCNNNNNNNNNNNNNNNNNNNNNNNNNNNNNNNNNNNNNNNNNNNNNNNNNNNNNNNNNNNNNNNNNNNNNNNNNNNNNNNNNNNNNNNNNNNNNNNNNNNNCUCUCCUUCUUCUUUUUACCGAAGACUCGCCAUAUCCCUUUCUUCUUUUAUUACUACUUUCUACUUCCAUAGCUUCCAUUGCAUUGUCUAAAUUUUGUAGUCCCACAUCAUCUAGUGAGUUAUAAAAAUCACUAUUCUGCUCCCAAUCAUUAUAAUUUUCAUCUUCUAACCUCAUAUCUUUUACUAAUUCCUCUUCCUCUUCAUAACUUUCUAGUAAUAACUUGUUAUUUAUAUCCCAUUGCUCUUCUUCACUAACAACUUCUUCCUGAGCAAUAUUCUUAUAUCUAUUAGUGAUAGCAUCAUUAUUACUACCAGCAUGUUCUCUCCUUUCAAUUGAUGAUGUAUUUGGCAUAAUUGAACCACUAGUUACCAACUUUUUCUCAUUUUUUAGUUUUUUUAACCUUGCAAUUUCUCUAAUUAUAAACAAUUCACUUUCUCUUAUCUUAGGCCAAUCUUUUGUCAUAGAAUUUUUAUAUUCCCAAUCUAUAUGCUUUAGCUUAUUUUCCCAGUGAAUUAUUUCAUCAUCUAAAUUAGCCUUUUCCAUGCAUUCGGUCACACCUUUAUUCUUAUCGUCAAUAGAUUCUGUUUCUGACAUAAAGGAUUCUGCGUCUUCUAUUGAUGCCGAUUUAUAGUUCAUAAAUCUAAUGCUACUACUUCCUUCACAAUUUUGAUAACUUAUAUAGUUUUCAGGUUGCUUUAAUUCUUUUUUCUCUAUUAAUUCACCAAUCUUCCACUCUUCUCCCGCUCUUUCUUUAGAACCAAUUUUAAGUGGAUUCAUAAAUUUAAUACCCUUUGAUUGCAUACUAUCAAUUACAUCGCUCACAUUAACUCUAUAUCUAGAGUUACUUCUGUUAGUGAGCCUUCCUAUAAAUUCUAUGCUUACUAACAAAUUUGUUCCUUUAAAAUCUUCAUAUCCCUUAGUUUGGAAACCAAAACUCAUUUUUUCAAUAAAUUCUUUUACAGGCAUCAUUAGGUCUGGAGCUAUAUAUGUUAUUAAUCUAUUCUCAUUCAUGUCUCCUUCUAAAAAUCCUAAUGCUGCUUUAUCUACUGAUUCCCACCUUCGGUCUAAUAGAGUUAUAAGCACCUUUGCUCCUAAUUUCUUUCUUGUCAUACCUUUAACUCCUAUAAUAUACAUACCUUGAUGAAUAUAUUUCUAACCACAAUAUUUUAGUUCAUUUUUAAUAUUUUUGCUUACUAUUCUUAAAUCAACUGGGUGUGUUAACACACUUAGUUCUACUUCUCUUGAUAUUCGGUAUAACCCGCUCUUACUCUCAAACAUACCCAUGUGAUAUACCUGUUGCGGUUUUAUUUUUCUUAGGGUAUCCUUUUGAUAUCUUUCGAGGUCUCUCUGAAUAUCUAUAACUUCUUCAAUACUAUCAAUAUCAUCGGCUUUACAUGAUAAUCUAUGCUUCAUUGCGAGUGGUCUUGAGUCUUGCCUUACUAACUGGAGGGUUUUAUCUCUUCUAAGGAAGCCUUUAGAUAUGUCCAUUUUUCUGAAUUAAUAUUUCUUGAUGAUGUUACGAUUCCAGAUGACGAUAGCACAAUUUCUUUGUUGUUUUGGACACUUUUUAGCUUGUCUAAAACUUGAAUUAAUAGCUGAAGAAUUGUAUUAUUUUGUCUUAUUAUAAUUUUAGAGUCUUCUUUUGGUGAGUCGUGAUCAGAAAAUCCUACAGGAGGUGACAAGUAUUUGGCUACUUCGUUUAAUGCUUGGCUAUAUUCAGUCAUAUAAUUAUGAGACAAUCAAAGUUUUAACUUCUUGCAGCAACUUCUUUAUAUCGAGUAUAUCUUGUCUUGCUUCUGUGCGAGGGAGUGAGUCUUUGCCUUUACUUAGGUAACGGCCAAUUGACAACACUUCUUCUUUAAUAUAAUCGUUAUUCUUGCAAAGUACGUUCUGCCUGGCCUUUGCUUCUUCUAGCUUAUGUAAGGCGAGAUCGAUUUUAUUGUUCAGACCAGAAUAUUUAUCCGCAAGCUUUUGGUAUUCUUUGGAUAAACUCUCAAAUUUUUGGUCUAAAUUAUCUUGUCUUUUCCCCCAAGAUAUGUAAAAGUUAUAUAUCAAAUCGACAAUUGUAUUUAGCUGGCUAUGAGAUGUAUGCCAGGUAUGCUCUUCAGAAGGAUUUAUUCUGCACCUUAUAUUAAUAUUCUCUUUAGUAUUUAUUACCUUACCUGUGCUAACUUCUAAAUUUAAAUACUUUAACCUAUCAAUGUUUAAAACGCUGGACCUGAUACCAAAUAUACAAAAUAAAUAAAAUAUUUAUAAUAAAUCUAAACUAUAUUAAGUUAUAAAUUCAGGUUUUAAUGUUGAUAUACGUGAUUACGUAUACAAGUAAAUACAAACUUAUUUAUUUAUUUUAUAUUAUUUUUAAUAUGAAGUGUUUUUAAAUUAUUUCGCUUAUAUUGCAGGAUCUUUGAGGGCUGUCGAGGCCAACAAGACGACUGAGGUGUACGCAGUGGUGUAAUAUCCUACUCAGUACUCACCAUAUUUAUCAUUAUGUUGUUUCAGAUGUAGCUAAGUUCGUUCACUUGAUGUUUUAGUUGCAAAUUUAUGGAGUAAAUUCCUAUCGUCUUCCCAGGCAGUUCCACCCAAAGGGAACACUUCUCUACGGCCAUAAGGUUCUCAUUCAAAUGCCAUAAAAGGCUACACAGAGAACUACUGGCAGAGUUUUCUCCUAUAGGAUCCCUAGCAUAAGAACUCGUUCCAUAAAUUCAAAAAUAAAAUACCAAGUGAAAACACGAAACUGCAUCAUUUCCACAACAUAAUUUACAUAUGGUUUUCCCUUUCGGGAACCCCCGAAGGGUUUACACAAGGGUAAAGAAAUUACCUUCUAACCACCUUCGCGAGCUUACAAAUGCUCUAAAUAUUGUAGCUCUUUAUUACACGAUGAGGAAGUACUACUACUACUACUACUACUACUGAGCAAAGAGCUUGCUAGCUGAGUUGCAACUCUGUGCUCCNNNNNNNNNNNNNNNNNNNNNNNNNNNNNNNNNNNNNNNNNNNNNNNNNNNNNNNNNNNNNNNNNNNNNNNNNNNNNNNNNNNNNNNNNNNNNNNNNNNNUAAUAUGAAAUAUAAAACUAAAAUACAUCUAAAACUCAUCUUUGACUCACCGGGGCCGAUGGGCUCGGGGCGGCGGCGAUGACGGGCUCGGGGGCGGCGACGACGACGAUGAGCUCGGGUGCGACGACGACGGGCUCGAGGGCGACGUCGACGGGCUCGGGGGCGAUGACGACGGCCUCGGGGCGGCAUCGGCGGCAUGCUCGGGGGCAGUGAUGAUGACGGGCUCGGAGACGGCGACGACGACGAGGAGGACUGGAUCGGGGGCGGCGACGACGACGUGCUCGGGGGCGGCAACGACGACGGGCUCGUGGACGGCGGCGAAGACGAGGAGGACUGGAUCGGGGGCAGCGGCGACAACGAGGAGGAGGAUGACCUCGGGGUGGCGGCGAUGACGAGGAGGAUGACGGGCUCGGGACGUCGGCGACGACGAGGAGGACGGGCUUCGGGGGAAAAUGGGAGAGUUUGGGGGAAAUUCGACAACUCCCGCCUAUAUGCAAAAACUAGUGGUCCCGGCACAAACCGGGACCAAUGCACCCCUUUCGUCCCAGUUGGUGCCUCAAACCGGGACUAAAGGCCAAUUUCUAGCAGCCCAAACGGCGGGAAGAAGAGACCUUUAGUCCCGGUUGGUGCCAAUAACCGACACUAAAGGGGGUAUUUCGUGUCGGUUGGUGGCACAAACCGGGACUAAAGGCCUGUCCCUGCCACAGCCGCGGUGCGGUUGGAUGUUUAGUCCCACCUCGCUAGCCGAGAGAGCCCGGGAGUGGUUUAUAAGCGCUGGUGCGCACACCCUCUCGAGCUCCUCUCAACUGCAGGCUUCCGGGCCUAACUUGUCACUACCUGUGGGCCUACUAGACCUUCUGCGGGCCUGAAUUCUGGCCCAACACUCUCAUUGGGUUUCUAGUCGUAUUCAUGCCGUGGUGGCCUAGUAGGUGGCAUUUUUUUUAAAUCUAGUUUUUAUGUUUCGUUUUUUACUUUACUUAUUUAAUUCUGUGACUAACUUUACUAAAAAAUAGAUUUUUGAGUGAUUCUUUUUCCUGCUAUUUAAUAUUACUGUAUUUUUAUCAUUAUAUUCAAUUUGGUACGUUUUAGGUUAUUUUAUCUCAUUAUUUUAAUAAAAAACAAAUAUGUUACAAAAGGGAUUUCAUUUUUUGAACUUAUUUGAACUCAAGACUUUUUGUGUGUUCAAAAUGCACCAUUCAAGACCACAUCAUCAAUUUUCAACACUUUGUGAGUUCAUUUUGUAUUUUUCAUGCAUUUACUCAUUUGUUUGAGCUAAAGGGCCUAGAAGUUGAAAAGCACUGCAAAUGAACUCCGAAUAGGUUGAAAGUUGGCAUGGUAUCAUCAUUUCACCCACAUAGCAUGUGUUAAAAAGUUUAGAGGGUUGCGGCAAAAACUGGAUGCACUUCGUGUACAAAUCGGACAAUCUCUUUCGAAGUAUGAGGGCUUCUUACAAAACUCAUCUAUUACAAAGGGAUUUCAUGUUUUCGAACUUAUUUGAAAUCAAGACUUUUUUGUGUGUUCACAAUGCAUCAUUCAAGGUCACAUCAUCAAUUUUCAACACUUUCCGAGUUCAUUUCGUAUUUUUCAUGCAUUUACUGAUUUUUUUKGAGCUAAAUGGCCCAGAAAAUGAAAAGCACUACAAAUGAACUCUGAAUAGGUUGAAAGUUGGCAUGGUAUCAUCAUUUCACCCACAUAGCAUGUACUAAAAAGUUGAGAGGGUAGCUGCAAAAACUGGAUGCACUUCGUGUACAAAUCACACAAUCUCUUUCGAAGUAUUAGGGUUUCUUACAAAAACUCAUGUGUUACAAAAGGGAUUUCAUUUUUUUGAACUUAUUUGAACUCAAGACCUUUUGUGUGUUCAAAAUGCACCAUUCAAGGCCACAUCAUCAAUUUUCAACACUUUCUGAGUUCUUUUGGUAUUUUUCAUGCAUUUACUGAUAUUUUGGAGCUAAAUGGCCUAGAAAUUGGAAAGCACUAAAAAUGAACUCUGAAUAGGUUGAAAGUUGGCAUCGUAUCAUCAUUUCACCUACAUAGCAUGUGCUAAAAAGUUGAGAGGGCUGCGGCAAAAACUGGAUGCACUUCGUGUACAAAUCAGACAAUCUAUUUCGAAGUAUCACGGUUUCUUACAAAAACUCAUGUGUUACAAAAGGGAUUUCAUUUUUUUGAACUUAUUUGAACUCAUUUUGUGUGUUCAAAAUGCAUCAUUCGAGGCCACAUCAUCAAUUUUCAACACUUUUUGAGUUCAUUUGGUAUUUUUCAUGCAUUUACUGAUUUUUUAGCUAAAUGGCCUAGAAAUUGAAAAGCACUACAAACGAACUAUGAAUAGGUUGGAAUUUGGCAUGGUAUCAUCAUUUCACCCACAUAGCAUGUUCUAAAAAGUAGAGAGGGUUGGGGUAAAACUGGAUGCACUUCGUGUACAAAUCGGACAAUCUCUUUCGAAGUAUGAUGGUUUCUUACGAAAAAUCAUCUGUUACAAAAGGGAUUUCAUUUUUUGAACUUAUUGGAACUCAAGACUUUUUGUGUGUUCAAAAUGCACCAUUCAAGGCUAAAUCAUCAAUAUUCAACACUUUUUGAGUCCAUUUGGUAUUUUUCAUGCAUUUACUGAUUUUUUUGAGCUAAAUGGCCAGAAAUUGAAAAGCACUACAAAUGAACUCUGAAUAGGUUGAAAAGUUGGAAUGGUAUCAUCAUUUCACCCACAUAGCAUGUGCUAAAAAUUUGAGAGGGUUGCGGCAAAAACUGGAUCCACUUCGUGUACAAAUCGGACAAUCUCUUUCGAAGUAUUAGGGUUUCUUACGAAAACUCAUCUGUUACAAAAGGGAUUUCAUUUUUUGAACUCAAGACUUUUUGUGUGGUCAAAAUGCACCAUUCAAGGCCACAUCAUCAAUUUUCAACACUUUCCAAGUUCAUUUGGUAUUUUUCAUGCAUUUACUGAUUUUAUUUAGCUCAAUGGCCCAGAUAUUGAAAAACACUACAAAUGAACUCUGAAUAGGUUGAAAGUUGGCAUGGUAUCAUCAUUUCACCCACAUAGCAUGUGAUAAAAAGUUGAGAGGGUUGCGGCAAAAACUGGAUGUACUUCGUGUACAAAUCGGACAAUCCCUUUCGAAGUAUGAGGGUUUCUUACGAAAACUCAUCUGUUGCAAAAGGGAUUUCAUCUUUUUGAACUUAUUUGAACCGAAUUUUUCGUUUUUCACUUUAUUUAUUUUAUUUUGUGAAUAAAUUUACUAAAAAUUAGAUUUUUGAGUUAUUCUUUUUUCUGCUAUUUAAUAUUACUGUGUUUUUAUCAUUAUAUUCAAUUUGGUAGGUUUUAGGUUAUUUUAAAUGACUGUUUUAAUAAAAAAAACAGAUCUCUUAUAAAAGGGAUUUCAUUUUUUGAACUUAUUUGAACUGAAGACUUUUUGUAUAUAUAUGUGGUCGAAAUGCAUGAUACGAUGAAGUUAUAAAGGUCUAAACCGUUCAAAAGUAGCAAAUGAAGUUAGAAAGGGCUAAACCAUUCAAAUUUGGAAACUAUAAUGGCACAAACAGAAACUAGACAUAUAUAAAUUGGUCCAAGCAGUACAUAAUUAUACUAGUCCAAACAGUACAUAAUAUAGCUAGCAUAUAUAUAUAUACAAGUGUUCGCCGUUGUGAACACUACUCGUGUGAAUCGUCUGAAUCAGAAUGUCCACCUUGUCUCAGGUGACGCUGGCCAUAGUUGACGACUCGAAUCUUGUGGUACAACUCGUAUGAAACGUAUGCAUCUUUUGCUGCAUACUCAAUGUUGAUACGGUCAAGUGGGUUCCUCUCCCAAAGUAUGUGCUGAGACUUUGGGAAUUUGGUCUUCAUAUCACCAUACUCCUCGUCAAUUAAGGCGACUGCCAUAUGAGCCAUCAAAGUCCUGUCAUGUCGAAGCCUGAAUUUCUGUUGGAGAUCAAUGAGGCAAUCAGCUAGUAUCUCAAUAUCGAAGUUGUGCCUCAUCUUCAGCUUGUCGUUCCUUAUGUCAACGGUAGCAAAACUGAUGCCGCUGCGAAGGAAGUCCAUGAGUUCUGGACAAUGCUUGUCACUACUGCAACAACAACAAAUUUAAAUUGAACAAAUGUUACAUACUGCUGCAACAAGGAAAAAUGUUUCACUACAACUAAAGAAAAAUUAAUCUUUAGGAUUCAAAUGGAACAUAUUGCUAUUCUAUGCAAUUUUCAUAUCCUAUGAAUUGAUCAAGNNNNNNNNNNNNNNNNNNNNNNNNNNNNNNNNNNNNNNNNNNNNNNNNNNNNNNNNNNNNNNNNNNNNNNNNNNNNNNNNNNNNNNNNNNNNNNNNNNNNGUCGAGUCGGCCGGCCGUCCCCGCCCCGCCCGGACGCCGCCCGCCCGCGCCCCGCCUCGGCCGGCCGUCCCCGCCCCGCCCCGGUUGUAGUUUUUUUUUUACUUUUAAAGUUUUUAAUUUUUGCUUCAUUGGCACUAAUUGUAGCCACUUGGUAUGUAGAUGGACUCGUUGUCGGAUUCGUCGUCAUCCGACGAUUCGGACAUUGACGAGUUGUUGCAAGACGACGACGUCGAGAUGAUGAGCCUCCUCGUCGACGUGCAAGCAUUUGAAGACCGCGUGAAGCUUUUGGAUCAGAGGAGAGGGUCGAAGAUGGGGCGACUCACCAUCUACUGGAACCGCGCUCUUGGACACGAGCAUUUGAUGCGAGACUACUUCGCGGAGGUACCUACAUACCCUCCUCGUCUCUUUCGCAGAAGGUACCGGAUGCGUCGUAGUUUGUUUGUGAAGAUUGUCACCGAUUGUGAGGCCGCCUCCUAUUAUUUUAAACAUCGUAGAUCCGCCGCCGGUAUCAUGGGGUUUAGUGCAUAUCAAAAGAUAUCGGUGGCAAUGCGGGUACUCGCUUAUGGCAUACCCGCGGAUUAUACCGACGAGUAUCUUCGCAUUGGGGAAGAUACAACCACAUAGUCCGUCCGUAGGUUUGCCAAGUUGGUCAUCCAGUUGUAUGGUGAGCAGUAUCUUUGGGCACCAAACGAGGAAGAUACAAAGAGAUUAAUGGAAAUGAAUGAAAAAAGGGGAUGGCCGGGGAUGCUUGGUAGUCUUGAUUGCAUGCAUUGGAGGUGGAAAAAUUGCCCAAAGGCAUGGCAGGGAAUGUAUUGCGGUAAAAGCCGUGAUGCUACCAUUGUGCUUGAGGCCGUAGCAUCGGAGGACACAUGGAUUUGGCAUGCAUUCUUUGGGUUGCCGGGAACACUCAAUGAUAUCAAUGUCCUCAAUAGAUCUCCUUUGUUCAAAAGAUUAAUUUCUGGGGAUGCUCCAGCUUGCAACUACAAAAUCAUGAACAAUGAGUACUCAAUGGGAUACUAUCUCACCGAUGGCAUCUAUCCCGAAUGGGCAACUCUUGUGAAGUCCAUCAAGGAGAAAAAUGGGGUGCCCUUAACAAGAAAACAGGCUCAUUUCACCAAGGCACAAGAGGAAGCCCGCAAAGAUAUUGAGAGAGCUUUCAGUGUUUUGCAAGCAAGGUUUGCCAUAGUUCGGGGUCCAGCUCGGUUUUGGGACAAAAAAACCUUGAUGAACAUCAUGAAAUGUUGUGUGAUUCUACACAACAUGAUCCUAGAGGAUGAGAGAGGGUUAAACCUCCCUUGUUUCUAUGACAAUGUUGGUACCUGUGUGCAACCGGAAAGAAACCCUUCUCGCAUACAAGCUUCUCUUCAAGCACAUCGUGAGAUUGAGGAUGGAACCACUCAUGGUCGGCUCCGGGAUGAUCUAGUAGAGCACCACUGGCAUUUGGAUGGGCGGCACAUUGGCCCAUGAUGUAUCUUUGUUUUACUUUUCUAUGUGCUAUUUGAUUCGAACAAUUGUUGUAAUUUGCUCAAACAUUAUUGUAAUGAUUUGAAUGAUUAUUGUUUUAUUCGGUGGUGUAAUAAUAACUAGAAUGAUUAUUGUUUUAUGUCAAAUGUGAUUGAAUUUGUGGUAUGUCAUAUGAUGAAAUGUGAUGAAAUGUGUGAUAUAUGAAAUGACAGUUUUAAGGGUUGGGUUUGAGGGUUCUAGUCUUUGCCCCUGUUUUUCAACCCUUAAAAGUGUGAAAAAUGGCCAAUUCUCAACCCUUAAAACUAGUUUUAGAUUUAAGGGUUUGAGGGUUCUACUAGAGAUGCUCUUAGUGAGGGCAACAUCAAUCGCGGAGUAUAUGAAUUAGCUGCAGUCUUACAUGAACCACCUAUUGUGUGUGAUCUCAAUAAUCCUGGUGUUCUUGUUGUUGAUUAUCAUGGUGUAGUUUUCAAAGUUAGGGCAGCAGCAGUAGUACACUUCAACCUACUGAACAUACUGCUAUGUGCACACAAGAGCGUAGAAAUGUGAGCAAGGGGAAGCAGAAAGUUGUGUUUGAAGAAGAGGAUGAGGAGGGAUAUAAGAGUGUUGAUGAGGACAUUGCAUACGAUAGUGAUAACAACCCUUUUAGCCUAGAGCAACACGUGAUUGUUGAUGUGGAAGAUGAAGAUGAAGAUGAAGAAUCGGAAGAGGAACACUUACAUUGUGAGGGUGACAUUGAGGUUGAGGAUUUUUUUGACGACGACGAGGAGGAGGACAUGUUGUUGCAACAGAAGAACAUGCAAGGAAGAGACAAAAUCUACAAGUUAGGAGAGGUCCCACCACUAGGUCACACUCUAAUGUUUUAGAGGAGGUGAAACCUGGUUUCAUUCCUUCAUCAGAUGAAGAAGAUCAUGGGCUGCUAUUUGACAGUGAGGAUGAUGGACAUGAGGCAUCAACAUUUGUCCUAAAAAUGCAAUAAGAGUAGGGCCAAGAAAAGAAAACCUAGGAUAUGGUACAAUGACAAACUUGAGCAACCACAUCAGCAGUUGUGUCUCUACAUGUGCUUUAAGAAUCAGUAGAAAUUCAGAGAAGUAUUGUUGAGUUUGCACAUUACACGGGUAAGAAAUUUCACGUACCACGGAAACUCAAACAAAAGGAUAAUUGCAUGUUGCAAACAUGAGAAGUGCGAGUUCUGCAUAGUUGUUGCAGUUAUCAAAGGGGAAAAGACAUUUGCUAUUAAGAAGACGAGGCUGCAGAACACUUGCCCUAGCAGUACAAAGUCAUCUAGGGUUAGUGCAACGUGGCUUGCAAAGACAUAUGAGUCAUUUUUCAGAUAUGAUCCAAGCACUAGCAUAGCCACUGUGAUUUACAACUCCUAGGAGAAGUAUGGUAGUGAUGUGCCCACGCACAUGGCCAAUAGGGCCAAGAACCUUGCUAUGGAAGUUCUUUUAGGAGACCACAAACAGCAGUAUCCCAGGUUGAGGGACUAUUCUCAAACCAUCAUGGAUACAAACCCCCGAAGUAGAGUUAAUGUGACAACAGUUACUCCAAAACCUACAACAAAAAUACCACAUCCUAGACCAAGGUUUCAUGAUUUGUUUUCUGCCUAAAUGGAGCAAGAGAGGGAUUUCUAAAUGGAUGCGGGCCAUUCAUUGGUUAGUAACAUGUUUAUUUCAUUAUAGAUGUUGACUAACAUCUUAUGAAUGAUAGAUGUUGACUUUAAAUGUUGAUUUCUUGUACAAUUAGGUGUUGAUGGGUGCUUUAUUAAGCUGAAUACUGGUGCUCAAAUCCUAUCUACCACUGGGGGAGAUGGAAAUAACAACAUAUUACCACUAGCAUUUGCUAUAGUUGGACAAGAGGACACAUCAAACUGGUGUUGGUUUCUACACCAAUUCAAGAUAUUUAGAGGAGGUGAAUAUGGAAAAUAUGUCCCUUACACAAUCAUGUUUGAUAGACAUAAGGUAUGCAUGCAUCACCAUUUUUAUAUUUAUGUUGUAGACUCAAUAAUCAAGUAUGUUGUAUUAUGUGAACAGGGGCUACUAAAUGCAGUAAAUCAAAUCUUUUCAAACUGCCAUCAAAGAUUUUUCCUUAGAUGCCUAUAUGCAAAUUUCCAGAAUGUCGGGUUUAGGGGGAAGAUCUUAAGAAAUGUAUGGAUAAUGUUAGCUAUGCUUAUAACCAACACAAGUAUAGCAUUGCAAUGAAUGAUUUGAAAAUGAGACCUAGGAAGCCUGGAAGUGGCAGAGUGGAAUACUAAAACACACAUGGGCUAGACAUGCUUUUGACACUAACUGCAAGACAGACUUAGUUGUUAACAACCUGUCAGAGGUGUUCAACAAGUACAUCUUAGAUUUUAGGAAAAAAAAUUCUCUUAGAACUAUGGUUGAUGGUGUUGGAAUUAUGCCCUAGAGGCAAUAAUAAAUAUGGUUAUUAUUAUAAUUCCUGUAUCAAGAUAAUAGUUUAUUGUCCAUGCUAUAAUUGUAUUGAAUGAAGACUCAUUUACAUGUGUGGACACAUAGACAAAACACCGUCCCUAGCAUGCCUCUAGUUGGCUAGCCAGUUGAUCAAUGAUAGUCAGUGUCUUCUGAUUAUGAACAAGGUGUUGUUGCUUGAUAACUGGAUCACGUCAUUGGGAGAAUCACGUGAUGGACUGGACCCAAACUAAUAGACGUAGCAUGUUGAUCGUGUCAUUUUGUUGCUACUGUUUUCUGCGUGUCAAGUAUUUAUUCCUAUGACCAUGAGAUCAUAUAACUCACUGACACCGGAGGAAUGCUUUGUGUGUAUCAAACGUCGCAACGUAACUGGGUGACUAUAAAGAUGCUCUACAGGUAUCUCCGAAGGUGUUAGUUGAGUUAGUAUGGAUCAAGACUGGGAUUUGUCACUCCGUGUGACGGAGAGGUAUCUCGGGGCCCACUCGGUAAUACAACAUCACACACAAGCCUUGCAAGCAAUGUAACUUAGUGUAAGUUGCGGGAUCUUGUAUUACGGAACGAGUAAAGAGACUUGUCGGUAAACGAGAUUGAAAUAGGUAUGCGGAUACUGACGAUCGAAUCUCGGGCAAGUAACAUACCGAAGGACAAAGGGAAUGACAUACGGGAUUAUACGAAUCCUUGACACUGAGGUUCAAACGAUAAGAUCUUCGUAGAAUAUGUAGGAUCCAAUAUGGGCAUCCAGGUCCCGCUAUUGGAUAUUGACCGAGGAGUCUCUCGGGUCAUGUCUACAUAGUUCUCGAACCCGCAGGGUCUGCACACUUAAGGUUCGACGUUGUUUUAUGCGUAUUUGAGUUAUAUGGUUGGUUACCGAAUGUUGUUCGGAGUCCUGGAUGAGAUCACGGACAUCACGAGAGUUUCCGGAAUGGUCCGGAAACGAAGAUUGAUAUAUAGGAUGACCUCAUUUGAUUACCGGAAGGUUUUCGGAGUUACCGGGAAUGUACCGGGAAUGACGAAUGGGUUCCGGGAGUUCACCGGGGGGGGCAACCCACCCCGGGGAAGCCCAUAGGCCUUUGGGGAGACACACCAGCCCUUAGUGGGCUGGUGGGACAGCCCACAAGUGGUCUAUGCGCAAAGAGAAGAAAAUCAAGAGGAAAAGAAAAAAAAGGAAGGAGGUGGGAAGGGAGGAGGACUCCCUCCCACCAAACCUAGUCCAACUCGGUUUGGGGGGGGGGGGAGAGUCCUCCCCCUUGGCUCGGCCGACCCCCUUGAGGGUCCUUGGACCCCAAGGCAAGGCCCCCCUCCCUCCCACCUAUAUAUACGGAGGUUUUAGGGCUGAUUUGAGACGACUUUUCCACGGCAGCCCGACCACAUACCUCCACGGUUUUUCCUCUAGAUCGCGUUUCUGCGGAGCUCGAGCGGAGCCCUGCUGAGACAAGGUCAUCACCAACCUCCGGAGCGUCGUCACGCUGCCGGAGAACUCUUCUACCUCUCCGUCUCUCUUGCUGGAUCAAGAAGGCCGAGAUCAUCGUCGAGCUGUACGUGUGCUGAACGCGGAGGUGCNNNNNNNNNNNNNNNNNNNNNNNNNNNNNNNNNNNNNNNNNNNNNNNNNNNNNNNNNNNNNNNNNNNNNNNNNNNNNNNNNNNNNNNNNNNNNNNNNNNNAAGCGCAACGGCGUACGCGCCAACCUCAGCAACGCCGCCAUCGCCGACGCCCUCGCCGCGCUCCCCGCGGUAAGUUCUUGGUCUUUUGAAUCGCCCUCUCGCGACAGAUCUGGGUCGCCGUGGGCUGAUUUGACUGAAUCGCGCGUUUUUUGUCCUUGCAGGUCGACGGGAUCGAGGAGUACGUCGACCAGCCGGUCGCCGAAGUGGCCAAGCCGGCCGUUCAGGCGGUCGUGGAGGAGGUAAAGAAGAAGAAGACCAAGAAGCAGGAGGCGGAGGAGAGGAAGAAGCAGGAAGCGGAGGCGGCCAAGAAGAAGCAGGAGGAGGAAGAAGAGAAAAGGAAGGAGGAGGAGGAGAAGAAGAAGAGAGAGGAGGAGGCAGAAGAGAAAAGGAAGACAGGAGGAGGAGGAGGAGAAACAGAGGAAGAAGAAGCAGAAAGAAGAGAUCUCGCUGGAGGUCGUCGAGGAGGAGGAAGAGAAGGCGGCAACCGGGCGGCGCGGCCGCGGGCGCCCACCCGGAUGCGGACGCGGCGCCGGCGGGCGCGCACAGGUCGAGCCUGUGGCUGCUCCGGCCACGAGGAGAAGGGCUGCGGCAAGCAAGACGGAGACGGAAGAUACACCUGCGGAGCCUGUGGCUGCUCCGGCCACGAGGAGAAGGGCUGCGGCAAGCAAGACCGAGACAGAAGAUACACCUGCGGAGCCUGUUGCUGCUCCGGCUACCAGGAAAAGGGCUGCGGCAAGUAAGACCGAGACGGAGGAUGACGCUGCGGAGGGCGUGCCGGCCCGCGCCACUCGCGCUCGGACCCAGACGACGGCGGCGCCCGUGGCCGAGGAAGAGGCGCCCAAGACAAGACGGGCGUCGAGGCGGGCCGCGGCGACGAAGACUGGUACGCAGCAGGAAGAAGAAGGAAAGGGGACACAAGGUAUUUUUUUUCUUCAAAUCUUUCCAAAUCAAUUUUCUGGUACUGUUUAAUUCUUGCCUAAUUCUUCCCGAAUCAAUUUCAAUUCUUUAAUUCUUGACUAAUUCGAUGAUUGAUUGCAUUCAGCUGUCGCCUCUGAUAUGGAAACUGCAGAAAUGGAAGAAGAUUCCACGAAUCCUCAGAACGAGGAGCACACCGAGGUUGAGGAACAG
rnacentral:lncRNA from 1 species